NCAAGACCUACUAAGUUGUAUACCCGUGAAAACUAUCCAAGACAUAAUAUUUGUUUGAAUGCAUAUCAAGUCAAGAACAGGUCUCGACUAUGACAAGUAGUGAACUAUAACUAUAAUUCAAAGUGAACAAAGGUUCUUUUGAUUAAAAUUUCAUCUAUCUCUUUUUUCCAUGCAUAAUUGGCUUAUAUGAAGCCUUUAUUACAAAGUUGUUGGUUACAAACCACCCAACCAACUACUCAGUAAAACUAAUAAUGGAAAUUAAAGAAACUCAUGAAACCACACAAAAAAAACGUCUGACACACUAAUGAAUGAAAAAAGUGUCCAUGCUCCAUUAAGUAGCAAAAAGAAGCAAUAAAGUGUAACCCAAAUCCACCAAAGAGUAUCAACAAUGACUAGAAGGCUUGAUGAAGCAAAAAGUAACGAUUUUGAGCACUUAUUAAGCCUUUAAAAUGUUGCCCUAGCCUUCAUGCGACCCUAAUUCAAUACGUAGAUUACCAUACACAACCCAACCGUUGAGUAUAAACCUCCUUCUAGCCUACUAUUAAUCAAUCACUAAUCCAUCACCUUUUUCGGCUUUUAAUGAGCCAUGCAUGGAUCCUCCCCUCCCUCUUUGAAAGUAAAUGACCUUAAUUCAAAAAGGCCAUCCUCAACUAGAUACGGUGAAAGCUCUCCCACAUUAAAGGUAGCAUGCACUCCAUGGUCUCCUCCCAGAUCCACCUUAUAAGCAUUAUCAUUGACAUGUGUCACCACUUUGUAAGGACCUUCAGCUCUUGGCAUCAACUUUUGUUCUUCCUUUUGUUAGGAAAAUAUUCUUUCCUCAUAUGCACCUAAACCAAGUCACCAUCUUGUAAGACACGUGGUUUCAUAUGCAUGUUGGAAUUCUGUUUGUACAUGUCAUUCACAGCUUCCAUCUUCACACAAACUUGUUGGUGUAGUUACAUCAUGGCCUUCAAAUAGUCAUUUGCAUCCUUGUGAACCAAUUCAUCAUUUGGAAAUGGAAUCAAAUACAAAGGCUUGUAAGGAUUCACACCAUACACCACUUACAAAAGCUUGUAAGCACAGCUCUCGGCAUCAACUUUUGUUCAUCCUUUUGUUAGGAAAACAUUAUUUCCUCAUAUACACCUAAACCAUGUCACCAUCUUGAAAGACACGUGGUUUCCUAUGCAAGUUGGAAUUCUAUUUGUACACGUCAUUCACGGCUUCAAUCUUCAGACGAACUUGUUGGUGUAGUUUCAACAUGGCCUUCAACUUGUCAUUAGCAUCCUUGUGAACCAAUUCAUCGUUUGGAAAUGGAAUCAAAUACAAUGGAUUGUAAGGAUUCACACCAUACACCACUUAUAAAGGAGUGACCUAUAGCAUAAGUAGGAGAAUGAUUACUCGUAAACUCAGCAUGUGUAAGUUUGAUGUCCAACUGUUUUUGAGUUUUGCUAACCAACCCCCUCAACAACGUACCCAAAGUUCUAUUAGUCACCUUCGUUUGCCCAUCAGUUUGUGGUUGAUGGGACGUACUAAAAAGUAACUUAGUACCAACUUUCCUCCACAAAGUGUUCCAAAUUUAACUCAAAAACAAGGUUUCCCUAUCAGAAACAAUAGUUUUAGGAAUAAUAUGCAAGCGAACCACUUCUUUAAAGUACAAAUCAGACACAUUAGAUAAAUCAUUGGUUUUAUGACAUGGCAUAAAGUGAGCCAUUUUUAAAAACCUAUCCACCACCACUAUAAUGGAUUCCUUCCCCCCUUUGAGUUCUAGGCAAAGCCAUACUAAAUACCAUUGACACAUCUUGCCUAGGACGAAUAGGAACCGACAAAGGAGUGUAAACACCAUGCUUGAAAGUUUUUUUCAUCAUCUGACAUGUAACACACUUUCCCGUUAUGUUGGUUACAUCCCUAACAUCUUUAGGCCAGAAGAAAUGUUCUUAAAGCACCUUCAAAGUUUUGGUAAUGGAAAAAUGACCCGCCAAACCACCACCAUGAGCUUCACGAAUCAGCAACUCCCGUAUUGCAUGUUUAGGGACACAAAUGUGAUUGCCUUUUGAUGCCUUUAUGGGCUUGAUUAAGUGAGUAGGGCCGUGUUUAGGUAAAUUAAGCUACAAUAACAACCACAAAUGAUAGGUGUAUGGGAAGAAAUGGAUCGAUUAGUAACAAAUCAAGACCUACUAUGUUGUAUACUUGUGAAAACUAUCCAAGACAUAAUAUUUCUCUGAAUGCGUAUCAAGUCAAGAACAUGUCUCGACUAUGACAAAUAAUGAACUAUAACUAUAAUUCAAACUGAACAAAGGUUCUUUUGAUUAAAAUUUCGUCUAUCUCUUUUUUCCAUGCAUAAUUUGGCUUAUAUGAAGCCUUUAUUACAAAGUUGGUGGUUACAAGCCACCCAACCAACUACUCAGUUAAACUAAUAAUGAAAAUUAAAGAAACUCAUGAAACCACACAAAAAAACGUCUGACACACUGAUGAAUGAAAAAAGUGUCCAUGCUCCAUUAAGGAGCAAAAAGAAGCAUUAAAGUGUAAUCCAAAUCCACCAAAGAGUAUCAACAAUGGCUAGAAGGCUUGACGAAGCAAAAAGUAACAGUUUUGAGCACUUAUUAAGCCUUUAAAAUGUUGCCCUAGCCUUCAUGCGACCCUAAUUUAAUACGUAGGUUACCAUGCACAACCCAACCAUUGAGUACAAACCACCUUCUGGCCUACUAGUAAUCACUAAUCCAUCACAUUUUUCGGCUUUUCAUGAGCCAUGCAUGGAUCCUCCCCUCCCUCUUUGAAAGGAAAUGACCUUAAUUCAUCAAGGCCAUCCUCAACAAGAUACGGUGAAAGGUCUCCCACAUUAAAGGUAGCAUGCACUCCAUGCUCUCGUCCCAGAUGAACCUUAUAAGUAUUACCAUUGACAUGUGUCACCACUUUGUAAGGACCUUCAGCUCUUGGCAUCAACUUUUGUUCUUCCCUUUGUUAGCAAAACGUUCUUUUCUUAUAUGCACCUAAACCAAGUCACCAUCUUGUAAGACACAUGGUUUCCUAUGCAUGUUGGAAUUUUGUUUGUACACGUCAUUCACAGCUUCAAUCUUCACACAAACUUGUUGGUGUAGUUACAUCAUGGCCUUCAAAUUGUCAUUUGCAUCCUUGAAAACCAAUUCAUCAUUUGGAAAUGGAAUGAAAUACAAAGGUUUGUAAGGAUUCACACCAUACACCACUUACGAAGGCUUAUAAGGACCUUCAACUCUUGGCAUCAACUUUUGUUCUUCCUUUUGUUUAGAAAACAUUGUUUCCUCAUAUGCACCUAAACCAAGUCCCCAUCUUGAAAGACACGUGGUUUCCUAUACAUGUUGGAAUUUUGUUUGUACACGUCAUUCAUGGCUUCAAUCUUCACACGAGCUUGUUCGUAUAGUUUCGUCAUGGCCUUCUACUUAUCAUUAGAAUCCUUGUGAACCAAUUCAUUGUUUGGAAAUGGAAUCAAAUAUAAAGGCAUGUAAGGAUUCACACCAUACACUACUUAUAAAGGAGAGUGACCUGUAGCAUAAGUAGGAGAACGAUUACAGGCAAACUCAGCAUGUGCAAGUUUAAUGUCCAACUGUGUUUAAGUUUUGCUAACCAACCCCGUCAACUACGUACCCAAAGUUCUAUUAGUCACCUUUGUUUGCCCAUGAGUUUGUGGAUGAUGGGACGUACUAAAAAGUAACUUAGUACCAAUUUCCCUCCGCAAAGUGUUCCAAAUGUAACUCAAAAAUAAGGAAUCCCUAUCAAAAACAAUAGUUUUAGAAUAAUAUGCAAGCAAACCACUUCAUUAAAGUACAAAUCAGACCCAAUAGAUGAAUCAUUGGUUUCAUGACAUGGCAUAAAGAGAGCCAUUUUUGAAAACCUAUCCACUACCACUAUAAUGGAUUCCUNNNNNNNNNNNNNNNNNNNNNNNNNNNNNNNNNNNNNNNNNNNNNNNNNNNNNNNNNNNNNNNNNNNNNNNNNNNNNNNNNNNNNNNNNNNNNNNNNNNNCGCCCCGGAACGUUUCCGCCAUCGGUUUCGGGGUGUGACACAUAUGCAUGUUGGAAUUCUAUUUGUACACGUCAUUCACAACUUCAAUCUUCACAAGAACUUGUUGGUGUAGUUUCAUCAUGGCCUUCAACUUGUCAUUAGCAUCCUUGUGAACCAAUUCAUCGUUUGGAAAUGGAAUCAAAUAUAAAGGCUUGUAAGGAUUCAGACCAUACACCACUUAUAAAGGAGAGUGACCUGUAGCAAAAGUAGGAGAACAAUUACAAGCAAACUCAACAUGUGCAAGUUUGAUGUCCAACUGUUUUUUAGUUUUGCUAACCAACCCCCUCAAUAACGUACGCAAAGUUCUAUUAGUCACCUUCAUUUGCCCAUCAGUUUAUGGAUGAUGGGACGUACUAAAAAGUAACUUAGUACCAACUUUCCUCCACAAAGUGUUCCAAAUGUAACUCAAAAAUAAGGAAUCCCUAUCAGAAACAAUAGUUUUAGUAAUAAUAUGCAAGCGAGCCACUUCUUUAAAGUACAAAUCAGACACAUUAGAUGAAUCAUUGGUUUUAUGACAUGGCAUAAAGUGAGCCAUUUUUGAAAACCUAUCCACCACCACAAUAAUGGAUUCCUCCCCCCUUUGAGUUCUAGGCAAAGCCAUACUGAAUUCCAUUGACACAUCUUGCCAAGGAGGAAUAGGAAACGACAAAGGAGUGUAAACACCAUGCUUGAAAGUUUUUUUCGUUAUCCGACAUGUUGCCCACUAUGUUGGUUACAUCGCUAACAUCUUUAGGCCAUAAGAAAUGUUCUUAAAGCACCUUCAAAGUUUUGGUAAUGGAAAAAUGACCCGCCAAACCACCACCAUGAGCUUCACGAAUCAGCAACUCCCGUAUUGCAUGUUUAGGGACACAAAGGUGAUUGCCUUUUGAUGCCUUUAUGGGCUAGAUUAAGUGAGUGGGGCUGUGUUUAGGUAAAUGAAGCUAGAAUAAAAACCACAAAUGACAGGUGUAUGGGAAGAAAUGGAUAAACUAGUAACAAAUCAAGACCUACUAAGUUGUAUACCCGUGAAAACUAUCCAAGACAUAAUAUUUGUUUGAAUGCGUAUCAAGUCAAGAACACGUCUCGACUAUGACAAGUAGUGAAAUAUAACUAUAAUUCAAUGUGAACAAAGGUUCUUUUGAUUAAAAUUUCAUCUAUCUCUUUUUCCAUGCAUAAUUGGCUUAUAUGAAGCCUUUAUUACAAAGUUGUUGGUUACAAACCACCCAACCAACUACUCAGUAAAACUAAUAAUGGAAAUUAAAGAAACUCAUGAAACCACACAAAAAAAAACGUCUGACACACCAAUNGUCCACGCUCCAUUAAGGAGCAAAAAGAAGCAUUAAAGUGUAACCCAAAUCCACCAAAGAGUAUCAACAAUGGCUAGAAGGCUUGAUGAAGCAAAAAGAAACAUUUUUGAGCACUUAUUAAGCCUUUAAAAUGUUGCCCUAGCCUUCAUGCGACCCUAAUUCAAUACGUAGGUUACCAUGCACAACCCAACCAUUGAGUACAAACCACCUUCUAGCCUACUAGUAAUCACUAAUCCAUCACCUUUUUCGGCUUUUCAUGAGCCAUGCAUGGAUCCACCCCUCCCUCUUUGAAAGGAAAUGACCUUAAUUCAUCAAGGCCAUCCUCAACAAGAUACGGUGAAAGGUCUCCCACAUUAAAGGUAGCAUGCACUCCAUGGUCUCGUCCCAGAUCAACCUUAUAAGUAUUAUCAUUGACAUGUGUCACCACUUUGUAAGGACCUUCAGCUCUUGGCAUCAACUUUUGUUCUUCCUUUUGUUAGCAAAACGUUCUUUCCUCAUAUGCGCCUAAACCACGUCACCAUCUUGUAAGACACGUGGUUUCCUAUGCAUGUUGGAAUUCUGUUUGUACACGUCAUACACAGCUUCAAUCUUCACACAAACUUGUUGGUGUAGUUACAUCAUGGCCUUCAAAUUGUCAUUUGCAUCCUUGUGAACCAAUUCACCAUUUGGAAAUGGAAUGAAAUACAAAGGCUUGUAAGGAUUCACACCAUACACCACUUACGUAGGCUUAUAAGGACCUUCAGCUUUUGGCAUCAACUUUUGUUUGGAAAACGUUCUUUCCUCAUAUGCACCAACACCAAAUCACCAUCUUGAAAGACACGAGGUUUCCUAUACAUGUUGGAAUUCUGUUUGUACACGUCAAUCACGGCUUCAAUCUUCACACUAGCUUGUUGGUGUAGUUUCGUCAUGGCCUUCAACUUGUCAUUAGCAUCCUUGUGAACCAAUUCAUCGUUUGGAAAUGGAAUAAUAUACAAAGGCUCGUAAGGAUUCACACCAUACACCACUUACAAAGGCUUGUAAGGACCUUCAGCUCUUGGCAUCAACUCUUGUUCAAAGUGAACAAAGGUUAGUUUGAUUAAAAUUUCAUCUAUCUCUUUUUUCCAUGCAUAAUUGGCUUAUAUGAAGCCUUUAUAACAAAGUUGGUGGUUACUAGCCACCCAACCAACUACUCAGUAAAACUAAUAAUGGAAAUUAAAGAAACUCAUGAAACCACACAAAAAAACGUCUGACACACUGAUGAAUGAAAAAAGUGUCCAUGCUCCAUUAAGGAGCAAAAAGAAGCAUUAAAGUGUAAUCCAAAUCCACCAAAGAGUAUCAACAAUGGCUAGAAGGCUUGACGAAGCAAAAAGUAACAGUUUUGAGCACUUAUUAAGCCUUUAAAAUGUUGCCCUAGCCUUCAUGCGACCCUAAUUUAAUACGUAGGUUACCAUGCACAACCCAACCAUUGAGUACAAACCACCUUCUGGCCUACUAGUAAUCACUAAUCCAUCACAUUUUUCGGCUUUUCAUGAGCCAUGCAUGGAUCCUCCCCUCCCUCUUUGAAAGGAAAUGACCUUAAUUCAUCAAGGCCAUCCUCAACAAGAUACGGUGAAAGGUCUCCCACAUUAAAGGUAGCAUGCACUCCAUGGUCUCGUCCCAGAUCAACCUUAUAAGUAUUAUCAUUGACAUGUGUCACCACUUUGUAAGGACCUUCAGCUCUUGGCAUCAACUUUUGUUCUUCCUUUUGUUAGCAAAACGUUCUUUCCUCAUAUGCGCCUAAACCACGUCACCAUCUUGUAAGACACGUGGUUUCCUAUGCAUGUUGGAAUUCUGUUUGUACACGUCAUACACAGCUUCAAUCUUCACACAAACUUGUUGGUGUAGUUACAUCAUGGCCUUCAAAUUGUCAUUUGCAUCCUUGUGAACCAAUUCACCAUUUGGAAAUGGAAUGAAAUACAAAGGCUUGUAAGGAUUCACACCAUACACCACUUACGUAGGCUUAUAAGGACCUUCAGCUUUUGGCAUCAACUUUUGUUUGGAAAACGUUCUUUCCUCAUAUGCACCAACACCAAAUCACCAUCUUGAAAGACACGAGGUUUCCUAUACAUGUUGGAAUUCUGUUUGUACACGUCAAUCACGGCUUCAAUCUUCACACUAGCUUGUUGGUGUAGUUUCGUCAUGGCCUUCAACUUGUCAUUAGCAUCCUUGUGAACCAAUUCAUCGUUUGGAAAUGGAAUAAUAUACAAAGGCUCGUAAGGAUUCACACCAUACACNAAGGAUUCACACCAUACACCACAUACAAAGGCUUGUAAGCACCUUCAGCUCUUGGCAUUAACUUUAGUUCUUCCUUUUUUAAGUAAACGUUCUUUCCUCAUAUGCACCUAAACCAAGUCACCAUCUUGAAAGACACAUGGUUUCCUAUGCAUGUUGGAAUUCUGUUUGUACACGUCAUUCACGGCUUCAAUCUUCACACGAGCUUGUUGGUGUAGUUUCGUCAUGGCCUUCGACUUGUCAUCAGCAUCCUUGUGAACCAAUUCAUCGUUUGGAAAUGGAAUAAUAUACAAAGGCUUGUAAGGAUUCAUACCAUACACAACUUACAAAGGCUUGUAAGGACCUUCAGCUCUUAGCAUCAACUUUUGUUCUUCCUUUUGUUAGGAAAACGUCCUUUCCUCAUAUGCACCUGAACCAAGUCACCAUCUUGAAAGACACGUGGUUUCCUAUGCAUGUUGGAAUUCUGUUUGUACACGUCAUUCACGGAUUCAAUCUUCACAUGAACUUGUUGGUGUAGUUUCAUCAUGGCCUUCAACAUGUCAUUAGCAUCCUUGAGAACCAAUUCAUUGUUUGAAAAUGGAAUCAAAUAUAAAGGCUUGUAAGGAUUCACACCAUACACCACUUAUAAAGGAGAGUGACCUGUAGCAUAAAUAGGAGAACGAUUACAUGCAAACUCAGCCUGUGCAAGUUUGAUGUCCAACUAUUUUUGAGUUUUGCUAACCAACCCCCUCAAUAAACAUACCCAAAGUUCUAUUAGUCACUUUCAUUUGCCCAUUAGUUUGUGGAUAAUGGGACGUACUAAAAAGUAACUUUGUACCAACUUUCCUCCACAAUGUGUUCCAAAUGUAACUCAAAAACAAGGAAUCCCUAUCAGAAACAAUAGUUUUACGAAUAAUAUGCAAGCGAACCACUUCUUUAAAGUACAAAUCAGAGACAUUAGAUGAAUCAUUGGUUUUAUGACAUGGCAUAAAGUGAGCCAUUUUUGAAAACCUAUCCACCACCACUAUAAUGGAUUCCUUCCCCCUUUGAGUUCUAGGCAAAGCCAUACUGAAUUCUAUUGACACAUCUUGCCAAGGAUGAAUAGGAAACGACAAAGGAGUGUAAACACCAUGCUUGAAAGUUUUUUUUGUCAUCCGAUAUGUAACACACUUGCCCACUAUGUUGGUUACAUCCCUAACAUCUUUAGGCCAUAAGAAAUGUUCUUAAAGCACCUUCAAAGUUUUGGUAAUGGAAAAAUGACCCGCCAAACCACCACCAUGAGCUUCACGAAUCAGCAACUCCCGUAUUGCAUGUUUAGGGACACAAAGGUGAUUGCCUUUUGAUGCCUUUAUGGGCUAGAUUAAGUGAGUGGGGCUGUGUUUAGGUAAAUGAAGCUAGAAUAAAAACCACAAAUGACAGGUGUAUGGGAAGAAAUGGAUAAACUAGUAACAAAUCAAGACCUACUAAGUUGUAUACCCGUGAAAACUAUCCAAGACAUAAUAUUUGUUUGAAUGCAUAUCAAGUCAAGAACAGGUCUCGACUAUGACAAGUAGUGAACUAUAACUAUAAUUCAAAGUGAACAAAGGUUCUUUUGAUUAAAAUUUCAUCUAUCUCUUUUUUCCAUGCAUAAUUGGCUUAUAUGAAGCCUUUAUUACAAAGUUGUUGGUUACAAACCACCCAACCAACUACUCAGUAAAACUAAUAAUGGAAAUUAAAGAAACUCAUGAAACCACACAAAAAAACGUCUGACACACUAAUGAAUGAAAAAAGCGUUCGUGCUCCAUUAAGGAGCAAAAAGAAGCAUUAAAAUGUAACCCAAAUCCACCGAAGAGUAUCAACAAUGGCUAAAAGGCUUGAUGAAGCCAAAAGUAAUGGUUUUGAGAACUUAUUAAGCCUUUAAAAUGUUGCCCUAGCCUUCAUGCGACCCUAAUUCAAUACGUAGGUUACCAUGCACAAUCCCACCAUUGAGUACUAACCACCUUCUAGCCUACUAGUAAUCACUAAUCCAUCACCUUUUUCAGCUUUUCAUGAGCCAUGCAUGGAUCCCCCUCCCUCUUUGAAAGGAAAUGACCUUAAUUCAUCAAGGCCAUCCUCAACAAAAUACAUGAAAGGUCUCCCACUUUAAAGGUAGCAUGCACUCCAUGGUCUCGUCCCAGAUACACCUUCUAAGCAUUAUCAUUGACAUGUGUCACCACUUUGUAAGGACCUUCAGCUCUUGGCAUCAACUUUUGUUCUUCCUUUUGUUAGGAAAAUAUUCUUUCCUCAUAUGCACCUAAACCAAGUCACCAUCUUGUAAGACACGUGGUUUCAUAUGCAUGUUGGAAUUCUGUUUGUACAUGUCAUUCACAGCUUCCAUCUUCACACAAACUUGUUGGUGUAGUUACAUCAUGGCCUUCAAAUUGUCAUUUGCAUCCUUGUGAACCAAUUCAUCAUUUGGAAAUGGAAUCAAAUACAAAGGCUUGUAAGGAUUCACACCAUACACCACUUACGAAGGCUUAUAAGGACCUUCAGCUCUUGGCAUCAACUUGUUCUUCCUUUUGUUUGGAAAACGUUCUUUCCUCAUAUGCACCUAAACCAAGUCACCAACUUGAAAGACACGUGGUUUCCUAUACAUGUUAGAAUUUUUUGUGUACAUGUCAUUCACGGAUUCAAUCUUCACACGAGCUUGUUGGUAUAGUUUCGACAUGGCCUUCUACUUGUCAUUAGUAUCCUUGUGAACCAAUUCAUCAUUUGGAAAUGGAAUCAAAUACAAAGGCUUGUAAGGAUUCACACCAUAAACCACUUACAAAGGCUUGUAAGGACCUUCAGCUCUUGGCAUCAACUUUUGUUCUUCCUUUUGUUAGGAAAACAUUCUUUCCUCAUAUGCACCUAAACCAAGUCACCAUCUUGUAAGACACGUAGUUUCCAAUGCAUGUUGGAAUUCUGUUUGUACACGUCAUUCACAGAAUCAAUCUUCACACAAACUUGUUGGUGUAGUUUCAUCAUUGCCUUCAACUUGUCAUUAUCAUCCUUGUGAACCAAUUCAUCGUUUGGAAAUGGAUUCAAAUAUAAAGGCUUGCCAGGAUUCACACCAUACACUACUUACAAAGGCUUGUAAGGACCUUUAGCUCUUGGUAUCAACUUUUGUUCUUCCUUUUGUUAGGAAAACGUUCUUUCCUCAUAUGCACCUAAACCAAGUCACCAUCUUAAAAGACAUGUGGUUUCCUAUGCAUGUUGGAAUUUUAUUUGUACACGUCAUUCACGUCUUCAAUCUUCACACAAACUUGUUGGUGUAGUUUCAUCAUUGCCUUCAACUUGUUAUUAGGAUCCUUGUGAACCAAUUCAACAUUUGGAAAUGGAAUCAAACACAAAGGCUUGUAAGGAUUCACACCAUACACCACUUACACAUGCUUGUAAGGACCUUUAGCUCUUGGCAUCAACUUUUGUUCUUCGUUUUGUUAGGAAAACGUUCUUUCCUCAUAUGCACUUAAACCAAGUCACCAUCUUGAAAGACAUAUGGUUUCCUAUGCAUGUUGGAAUUCUGUUUGUACACGUCAUUCACAACUUCAAUAUUCACACGAACUUGUUGGUGUAGUUUCAUCAUGGCCUUCAACUUGUCAUUAGCAUCCUUGUGAACCAAUUCAUCGUUUGGAAUUGGAAUCAAAUACAAAGGUUUAUAAGGAUUCACACCAUACACCAAUUAUAAAGGAGAGUGACCUGUAGCAUAAGUAGGAGAACGAUUACAGUCAAACUCAGCAUGUGUAAUAUUGAUGUCCAACUCUUUUUGAAUUUUGCUAACCAACCCCUUCAACAACGUACCCAAAGUUCAGUUUGCCCAUCAGUUUGUGGAUGAUGGGACGUACAAAAAGUAACUUAAUACCAACUUUCCUCCACAAAGUGUUCCAAAUGUAACUCAAAAACAUGGAAUCCGUAUCAGAAACAAGAGUUUUAGGAAUAAUAUGCAAGUGAACCACUUCUUUAAAGUACAAAUCAGACACAUUAGAUGAAUCAUUGCUUUUAUGACAUGGUAUAAAGUGAGCCAUUUUUGAAUACCUAUCCACCACCACUAUAAUGGAUUCCUUACCCCAUUGAGUUCUAGGAAAAUCCAUACUGAAUUCCGUUGACACAUCUUGCGAAGGACGAAUAGGAACCGAAAAAGGAGUGUAAACACCAUGCUUGAAAGUUUUUUUCGUCAUCCGACAUGUAACACACUUGCCCACUAUGUUGGUUAGACCAGAAGAAAUGUUUUUAAAGCACCUUCAAAGUUUUGGUAAUGGAAAAAUGACCCGCCAAACCACCAUCAUGAGCUUCAUGAAUCAGCAACUCCUAUAUUGCAUGUUUAGGGACACAAAGGUGAUUGCCUUUUGAUGCCUUUAUGGCCUAGAUUAAGUGAGUAGGGCUGUGUUUAGGUAAAUUUUGCUAGAAUAACAACCACAAAUGAUAGGUGUAUGGGAAGAAAUGGAUAGAUUACUAACAAAUCAAGACCUACUAAGUUGUAUACCCGUGAAAACUAUCCAAGACAUAAUAUUUGUUUGAAUGCGUAUCAAGUCAAGAACACGUCUCGACUAUGACAAGUAGUGAACUAUAACUAUAAUUCAAAGUGAACAAAGGUUCUUUUGAUUAAAAUUUCAUCUAUCUCUUUUUUCCAUGCAUAAUUGGCUUAUAUGAAGCCUUUAUUACAAAUUUGGUGGUUACAAGCCACCAAACCAACUACUCAGUAAAACUAAUAAUGAAAAUUAAAGAAACUCAUGAAACAACACAAAAAAAACGUCUGACACACUAAUGAAUGAAAAAAGUGUCCAUGCUCCAUUAAGGGGCAAAAAGAAGCAUUAAAGUCUAACCCAAAUCCACCAAAGAGUAUCAAUAAUGGCUAGAAGGCUUGAUGAAGCAAAAAGUAACGGUUUUGAGAACUUAUGAAGCCUUUAAAAUGUUUCCCUAGCCUUCAUGCGACCCUAAUUCAAUACGUAGGUUACCAUGCACAACCCAACCAUUGAGUACAAACCACCUUCUAGCCAACUAGUAAUCACUAAUCCAUCACCUUUUUCGGCUUUUCAUGAGCCAUGCAUGGAUCCUCCCCUCCCUCUUUGAAAGGAAAUGAACUUAAUUCAUCAAGGCCAUCCUCAACAAGAUACGGUGAGAAAAGUCAGUGUCACCCUAUAGACGAUAGACUGCAUUCUCCGAAGUUAAUACUAGAUUGAUAAGAACCACAUGACCACCUCCGCAACCAAGAAUACUUGAAUAAAGUAAAAUGGUAUGUUGCGUUAAAUCUUAUAACCCAGACAAUAAAGAGAUUACAGACUCGACGCCGGUCUAGGUGCUAGUCGAUGGGUUAUACAAGAACAUACACUUCCUACAAAACUGGUGGGAGCUAACUCACAGGAGAAUGGGGCAUGUCUUAGAGAUUCGUUGGACUACUAGGUGUUCCAAAGAAUACUAUCUCAAAAGAAAUAGUAGAACCACCUCCUGAAAUAGUCCAACACUCCAGAAAAUCUCUAAGGGCUAAGUUAGCCCUGAUCAGAGACUGUUAUCCAUGAAACAGAAAAGCAAGUAAGAGCAUAAUUCUUUCCGAUUAGGGAUCAUGUUGUGAAAGCAUCUAUUAGAUGAUAAUGAAAAUUUAAAUUUUCUAAGCAUCGUCUGGUAAAACUCCCCCUAUCUUCCCAAGUGAUGAUCUAGCCAUGGAAGUACAUUAUGUUCUAAGUACUGAAGAGCUCUAUCUUCCCAAGAGCUUAGGGCCAUAUGAGAUUCUUGAUAAAAAUUGGCCCAACCCCCGUCGGACCACAACUUCUAUUGGAAUUCCAUAAAUUCCACCCGAACCUAUCCACGUCUUAGACUUGAAAAAGUGCUUGGCCGACGUGACUCUCGAAAUCCCACUCGUCGAGAUCGAAAUCAAUUAGAGCCCAACUUCGUACAAGAACCUAUAGAGAUCGACGAACGAGAGGUCAAGCGACCGAAAGAAAUCUGCAUCCCGUUAUUAAAGAUUCGCUGGAACGCCAAACGAAGACCUAAAUUCAUCUAGGAGCAUGAAGACCUGUUGAGUCUAAAGCAUCGUUAUCUUUUGAGUCGCUCAAUUGCAUAUGUGUAUGUGUGCUUGAACUCUAAUUUCGGGACGAAAUUCCCUCUAUCGGGGGAACGAUGUGACAACCCGAAAUUUUCGUUGUAUAAACUCCGUAAUCAAGCUCAUCAAAGAUUUGCCAAAUUCACCUCAAAACAUUUUUGGCCGGAUUUAAGCCCGUUCGAGUAUUUUAUUUUAUAUUCGUCAAGCAAACAAAAAUAAGGAAGUAUACUUUAGAGUUUACCGUAUAUCACGUAAGUCGCGAAACUCCAAAAGUUUGGAAUUUAUGGACGUAAAAAUGGAGUUUACGGCCGUAAACCCCAAAGAGUAUAAAUAUGACACUUAGUCAUUUUUAGCUCAUUUGUCACUUCCUAGUUCAAGAACACCAAGAAUUCUCUCUCAACUAUCAUAAAAUCAUUUCGUCAAAUCCGCCAAAAUGUAAGUGUUUUCUUCCUAGAUUCGUUCAUAUAACACUUAAUCUUGUGUUUUUACACGAUUUCAUCCAUGAAAUCUUGUCUUUUUCUUAGAUCAAGUGUUCAUCAAGAACACCAAGAAAACACUAGUGUUCUUGGGCUCCAAACACUCUUUUGAGCUUCCUAUAAGUAAGUACACUCCUCCUAUCAAGUUAUUCACUUAGAAUUCAUGUUAAACCCUUGAAGAACAUCAAGAUCCCCAAGAAAAUAUGUGUUUACGGUUUGGGAAGAUCUCCCAAAACCAUAAACACCUGGUUCAAAGGGUGUUUAAGUGCCCUUAACACCUUCCAAUGCUUGUAUAAGUGACUAGAACCUUGCAUGCAUAAGAUAGAACCACCAAAACACGAAAUGAAUGGGCAAACAUGAGCUUACGGCCAUAAACCCAUGUGUUUACGACCGUAAACUCCCAAGGAGUGGUCCAAGGACCGUAAACUCCAAACGAGGGUCAUUUUGAGCCCUAGUCACUUCCUUAGCCCUUGAUUUGAGUCUAGCUAAACUCCUUGAGUGGUUUAGGACCUUUGAACACCCAAUGGCACCACUUCCAUGAGUUUACGACCGUAAAAUCAUGGGGGAAGUGGUCUAGAAAUUGUAAACACCCCUAAGGGCCACCAUUUGAGGAGUAAACUCCAAUGUGAGGCCAUACUCUCUUUAUAUGCAACCCUUGGUAAUCCUAACACUUGUAGCAAAGUGUUUUCAUGCUUUAGGAUGUCCUUACUUGCAUAAUUAGUUGUUAAAUGACUAAUUUGAUACUUAAAUGUAUCAUUACAUGUUAAAUAGGAUUCGCAUGUGUGUUCAAGUCCUCACUUGACACUUAGCAUCCUAUAUCGUCUGUUCAUCCGAGUCACCCACAUCAGGUGAGUUCAUACCCCUGAAUUAACCUUUUAAAUGAUUUUAAAUGCUUUUAUGGGCCGGGGGGAUACAAGUUGAACUAUAGAGUUAUUAUAUCAAUCACAUGUGAUUAAUAACUGUAUAGCAAAUAGAUUUCUGCAUGUUAAACUGUUUUAUCCAGCUAAAGGUUUUCAAAGCUUGUUUUAUAAAUUGACAUCAAGUCAUAAAUCCUUAUUUAUAAGUUUUUCCAAAGGUUUUACCAAAACUUCUUUUUAUACUCUUGUGUUGUUAAAUGCAUGCCUGUAUAUGUAUAGCUAUAUAAGUAAUUUUUAAAGGACUUAGGAAGGCUAACUCGCUUUAAUUCCUUUUCCUUGUUUGGAUGUGGCUUUAGGGUAUCGGUUAUCCGUCCGAAGGUCGUUUAAAUAGUAGUUAUAUAUCAUGUAUACAUAUGUAGUCAUAAAGGUUCCAUCAGCCAGAUCAUCACCCUUUGGGUAGCAAAGGCAUCUAGAUAACUUCUCAAGUAAACUAUAAUAGGUAUAGUUUAGAAACCAACCAUAACAUUCAUGAAAGAGAACUUCGUUAUAUCUAUAUUCUAAAACAUAUAGUUUUUAGUAAAAGGAAAGGUUUAUAGAAAUCAAAACACGAGAUACAUCCUCAUGACGCGGAUUCCACCAUUGUCAAGUUGGUAACCAGAGUCUCCUGGAGUGAGAGCGGGUAUUGUGUGUAUAGAUCUAUACGGGACAAACACUCCCACAUCCUGACUGCUAGCUACAGUCCCGGCCGACCAAGCCAAGGGGUGACAAAUGUCACAUUCAUUCCGACGCCAGCAGGUCGUCAAGUAUUCGAUUGUCAAUCAGUAUGGUUACGAGUAUCUGUACAUUUACCUUAUAAUUCAUUGCUUUAAGGUAACAAGUAUUAUCAUGGUAUUUCUAUAUAUGAAACCAUCAUAACCUAUUUUCCUAGUUAUAUACUAGGUCACAUUAUAAACCUUUAAACUAACCCACAUAGGAUUAAAGGCUAAUUUAGACUCUCUGAGGCGUAUUGUUCACUUAAUACUUCGUGGAGUCUAUAUUUCAUUCUUUUAGACUAUCCGAGGCGUAUUGUUCACUUAAUACUUCCUGGAGUUUGUAUUUCAUUCUUUUAGACUCUCUGAGGCGUAUUGUUCACUUAAUACUUCCUGGAGUCUGUAUUUCACUCUUUUAGACUCUCCGAGGCGUAUUGUUCACUUAAUACUUCCUGGAGUCUGUAUUUCAUUCUCUUAGACUCUCCGAGGCGUAUUGUUCACUUAAUACUUCCUGGAGUCUGUAUUUCAUUCUUUUAGACUCUCCGAGGCGUAUUGUUCAUUUAAUACUUCCUGGAGUCUAUGUUUUAUUUACCUUUAACCAGCAGUGUUAUUGCUAAGGAAAAAUAUUAUUUUCCCUAUUACUUUUGCUUGUGAUUUCCUCACAUAUUCUGUAAAGUAAAAACUAUAUUUUGAUAAUGAUAGUACCUUUAAAGGGAAAAUGAUUCUUAAACAUAAAUCAGAUGGUUCUUGGUAGAAGACUGCUUAUAAUAGAGAUACUCCUUGGUUUAAACAUAAAACAAUUGGGUCUUGGUAGAAGACUACUUUUAUUAGAAAAUAUAGGAUUUUUUGGAAGGGAUUCUAAUACUCUGUAAACUCAAAUCACCAUCAUUGUGUGAGAUUAUUUUUGAAGUAAAACAUGUAUUUAUACCAAUGUCAUUAAAUACUUAUGAACUCACCAGCAUUUAAAAAUGCUGAAACUCGCUUUCAAAAUAACUUGUAUUCUCAGGUCAUCGGUAGACAGGUAUACUUCGGGAGCUUUUGCGAAGUCAGCCUAGUACCAAACUACAGCUUAUGUUAUUUCCUAUAUCUAUUUUGAUGUUACUGUUAAAUGUAACCUAUGUAAAAUUAUUACUAUUAAUGCAAUGGUUUUUGUACUUUGAUUACUAUACUACAUAUGUUGUGAUACUCGACAUGACGUCCUCCACCCCAGAAUGUUUCCGCCGUUCCGGUUUUGGGGUGUGACAGAUUGGUAUCAGAGCAUUGUUUAUAGUGAGCUCAAUAUAUCAAACCAUAAAAGAUGUAUACCUAUAAAUACAUUGGGAUAAAACACUCUGACCAAGAAUUAUACUUUAAAAUAUAACCAUAUUUUACAAAAGUAUAAGAGCAUCCAUAAUAUAAAAACCAAAACAAAGUAUCACAAGAAAAACAAGAAUAAAAGUCUUUGGAUGUUGACCAUUACCGUCAAACCUGGGCAGUUAUGUAAUCGUAAGCAGGAAUAAAUGUAACCUGAUCAACUACAUUUAUUCGAGAUGCGACUAACGUGUGCUUGGGAGUGAUGGUGAUGUUGCAACAAGUCUGAAACUUACCAAAUAGGAAUGCUCUGCCAAACAUAAAGUUUAAAAAUACUAUAGGAGUAUUUUAUGAUACUAAAAGAUUUAUAUUAAUCCCAGAAGCAUAUUCAGAAGUUAAGAAUCGAACAUGUAAUUAAAAUACCAUAGGAGUAUUUUAGAAACCAUAAAUAACCUUGCAUGAAAACUAAAAAGACCUUUAUUGAUAAACCUAUGAUUACAAAGUGCAUACUCCCAAGGUUAUAUAUAGUAAGGAUCUCAUAGGCUAAGAAUGUGUGGUUUCACUCUACUUCCUUUUCCUUGUUUGGAUGUGGAUAUAAAGUAGUAUCACAUAUUCGAAGGCUUAUCAGAUCUAAGUUAUAUAUGAUUUGUGUACACUUUGUAAUUCUCGCAGGACUCUAUAUGGGUCACCCAGUAAAAUGUUUUAAUAAUCUCUUAGGAUUCUUUAGACAAUUCCAUUCUCACACGAACCCCUUUAGAAAACCUUAUCCACUUCAGUGAUCGGCAGAAGAGUCGAUUCAGACCCAGAUGUCACACCCCGAAACCGAAGGCGGAAACGUUCCGGGGCGGAGGUGACGUCAUGUUAAGUAUCACAACCAAUGUACAUAGUAAGCAUAGUAAACACAAAACAUUACAUUACAUUGAAUCAUUACAUUUGUUUGAAAGUAAGGUAAUACAAGUUUUAUAGAUACAUUAGCUUAAACAAAAGUAAGACGUCACUUUCAUACGCUCCGUCUUCUCCAAAAGAUCGCGGGAUACCUGUCUAAGGAGAACCUGAGAAUACAAGCAGUUUCAAAAAUAUCAGCAUAAAGCUGGUGAGUUCAUAAGCGGUUCGUUUUCUGAAAAUGAACAAGUUUCCUUUAGUUUUCACUUUUCUGAAAUAGUUGUUAUCCAAGAAAAUCUUAUAUUUUCUUAUAAGUAAGGUUUUGUUAUCCGUUUGUUACACAAUCUGGUUAAGAAUAGUUUGUUAUCCCAGGAAAAACCCUUAUUUCCCUAAAAAGUUUGUGGUUGGUUAUCGAUUUGGAAUACGGUGUACAAGUAUCUACCAUACUUGUACCAUUUGUAUGAAGUUUCCUAAAAGCCUAGUUAUCCUUGAAAAGUAUGCUAGUUUUAACAUGUAUAUAAAACUAUUAAUUAAAUAGUAAACUAAUUUCUAAGGUUAUUAAUUUACUAAAUUCAUUAUUACUAACAUGUAAAUCUCUAUUAUUCAAGAUUACGAGUUCCAUAACCAUACGGUAGACUAGAUAUGGCAAAGGAAGGCUAGUAUCAUUUAUGACUUUUGUCACCCUUGGACCUUUCGGUCCGACUGUAGCUAGUAGCCAGGUGCGGGGUAGUCAGCCCCAUAUAGAUCUAUACACUCAAGUCACGCUCUCCUUCCAAGAGAUUCUGGUUAUAGGGGCGGUCUUCCACUCGCAUAUCUCUGUGGAGUGUUUCCGAGGACGUGUCUCCAAUCUUAAGAAUAACAAAUUUACAAGUAAUAAUGCGGAAAAUCCUGUUUUAAAUUCUAAUUACAAAAGCGGUCCUCCACUCGCGUAUCUCUGUGGAGUGUUACCGAGGACGUAUCAAAAGUUCUAAGAUUAAUGAUUUUUAACAAUAAUGAAGUGGAAAAUCAUUUGUGAAAUGUACAAUAUAACACUAUAUAACAAGAUUUGAAAUCGGUAUGAAAACUAACUCUGCAAGUCAAACGGUUGGUUAAUACGGUUUCGAUGGUUAAAAGCAUAUGGAAUAUGAAACAUUUCAAAUGAAAUAAUAAGUUUGAGUACAAUAUAUUCUUGUGCUUUUGCUUGUAUUCCCCCCAAAAAACAUUGAAAACACUGAAAAAGGUGUAGGGUAUGAACUCACCAGACGAGAAAUGUGUCGGCUAGGAUGCUAAGUGUCAGUUCGGGGCUUGAAAACACGCGAGGUUCCUAUGUAAUAUGAAGAGAUACAUAAAUUGUAUCUAAUUAGACCUUGAUCUACUAAUUAAAUAAGAAUAAACACUUCGAGGCACGAAAACACUUCAAUUCAAGUGUUAGGAGUGGUCCGGGUAGCAUCUAAAGGGGUGUAUGGCCUAGAUAUGGAGUUUGCUCUUCAAGAGUAAACUCCUUGGGGAGUUUUCGGCCCAAUAACCAUAUCCCCAUGAGUUUAUGGCCGUAAACUCAUGGGUGGUGUCUUCUUGGUUGCUUAAAAGUCUUAUAACACUAGUGGAAUAAAGCUAGGUUAAGUUCUAAGGCAUGGGAAGUGAAUUGACCAACACAUUGACCAUUCAAGGAGUUUAUGAAUGUAAACAAGGAGUUUACGACCGUAAACUCUCAUGUACCCUUUCCUUAUGUGUUUUGGUGGUCCUAGGUUAAGCACAAGUGGUUCUAGUCCAAAGUACAAGCCACAGAAGGAAGUUAGGGCACCAUUUGACCACUAUAAAGGAGUUUACGGCCUAGGAACCUUUCCUUGGGGGUUUACGGCCAUAAUAUCCUAAGGAGGUGGUUUCUUUCAUGUUUAAGGUCCCUAACACAAUGGAGGUUGGUUCUAAACAUUAUUCCAAGGCUUAGAAGGUGUUUAAGGGGCAUCUUAACGCCUUAAAAGGUGUUCACGGCCUAUGAAUGAGGGUUUAUGGUCCAAGCAUGUUCUUGGGCCGUAAACUCAUGUUUAAUCCUCAAAUGUCAAGGUUUUGGUGUUCUAAGUCCAUUCAUGUAAGCCCCUAAGUCAAUGCUAAGCAGUAGAAGUGAUUUGGGAGGGUUUGGGGCUCCAAAACCCCAUUUUUGUGUGUUUACGGUUUGGGAUAGUUCAUGGGCCGUAAACACAAGUCUUUCACACAUUAGGAUGAUUUAGACACGAAUUUUUAAGCUAAACAAUCAAAACUAUAAGCUAGGAUGGAUUUCUUACCGAUUUAGAGCUUGAAAUGGGUGAUUUUGCAUCAAGAUUUGGAUUGAAGAGAGAGAGAGAGAGAGAGAGAGAGAGAGAGAGAGAGAGUAGAGAGAGUGGAAAAGCUUCAAAUGAAGUCCACUCAACCUUAUAAAGGGCUGCUAUCUCAAAGAUCUAAGAUCAAAUGGUUAACUGAUGGGGAUAAUAAUACAAAGUUUUUUCACAGUUGUUUGAAAAGCAGGAAUAACAAAACUCGAAUUUUGAUGGUUCUUGAUGAGGAUGGAAGAUGGAUUAGGUGGAAUGCUAUGAAGGAGAAAUUUAUUAACCAUUUUAAGAAUUUCUUGGGUUGUGAAGAUGUCACUGAUUUGUCUAUACUUAAUGAUGAUUUUUUUUCAUAAUAAGUUGGAUAAAAAAGUGGCAAUGAAUAUGAUAAGGGUGGUCACAGAUGAAGAAGUUAAAGUGGCUAUGUUUGAUAUUGCUGACAACCAUGCCCCUGGACCUGAUGGUUUUUCCUCUAAGUUCUUUAAGAGUGCUUGGAGUAUUGUUGGGCCUGAAAUCUGCAAAGCUGUGAGGGAAUUCGUUUGGACAGGCAAAUUAUUGAAGGGUAUUAAUGCCACAAGGAUUGUAUUGGUUCCUAAAGUGGAAAAUCCGAGGAAAGUCACUGAAUUUCGGCCUAUUUCUUGUUGCAACACUUUAUAUAAGUGUAUCAGCAAGAUAAUAGUUAACAGAAUAAGGAACAACUUAGGUGACAUAGUUAGCCAAAAUCAAUCAGCCUUUAUUCAAGGGAGAUAAAUUCUCGAUAAUAUCCUUCUUGCCCAAGAAUUGAUGGUGGGAUACAAAAAUAAUAGUGGAGUGCCUAAAUGUACCUUAGGCAGGGAGAUCCUUUAUAUCCCUAUCUGUUCACUUUGGUAAUGGAGGCCUUCAAUCUAAUUCUUUUGAAGAGAAUUGAAGAAAGCCAAAGCUUCAAAUAUCACUAUAAGUGUGAAUCUCAGAAAAUCACUCAUUUAUGUUUUGCAGACGAUUUAUUAGUAUUUUCUUAUGGCAAUGGAAAUUCUACAAGAGUGAUAAAAGCUGCACUUGAUGAAUUUAAAUCUGUUUCUGGGCUGAAAGCUAGUAUGGAAAAAAGCCAAACAUGAGAAGGAUUAUUUUGGGAAUUUUACCUUUUGAUAUUGGUAAAAUUCCCUUCAAAUACCUUGGAAUUACCAUGUGUGUGAAUAUGCUUUUCAAAAGAGAUUGUAAAUCUCUUGUUGAUAAGAUUAAAUUGAGAGUGUGUAAUUGGAAAAAUAAGAUGCUUUCUUUUGCUGGGAGAUUACAGCUCAUAAACUCUGUUUUGACUUCAAUUCAUGUUUAUUGGGCUUCAAUUUUCAAAAUCCCUAUAGCUACUAUAAAGGAGAUAGAAAUGAUUUGUAGAAGUUUCCUAUGGGCUAAUGGAGAAGUGGUUAGAGGGAAAACUAAGGUUAAAUGGGUGUUUGCUAGUUUUGUUUCUCCUAUUUGGAAAGAAAGGAAUUCGAGUAUUUUUUGUAAAAUGAGAAAAUCAAAUGAUGGAGUGAUUUCUUGUAUUGUGAAUGAAAUUCAAUUGAAGUUGUUAGGGUUGAGGAAAAUGAAUGUUAUGGUCAGUGAAAGUUUUUUACAGACUUGGGGUAUUUUGGGAAAAAUGAUUGUAAAUAAUGAAGUUCUUUUUUAGGGAUAACUGUUUUGUUACAGUUUUUUUUUUAUGAUUGGGAUGGUAUGGAGUUGAUGGUUAGUAUGGCUGUUAUUAAUGGAAUUCUGUUUUGGGGGUAUUUUCGGAAUGGCAGAUUUAAAGGAAUUGACGGAUAUAAAGGAAUUGACAGAUUAACUCGCUGGUUUAAGAGCUUGCUCUUGAAUCAAGUGAUUUGUACCUUUGGGAUUUUUUGUUUGGAUAUGAUAUUUAAUUGAGAAUAUUCAAAUGGAAAAUCCUAGACAUGUGAUUGAUGCCAUGUCUAGUCUCUGCAGCUGGUUCUGAAUUUAUGGUGUAAUUGUGGAUUCCUGUGUUUCUUAUUUUAUGAUUGCAGGAAGAGCAUACAACAGCUGAUGGUCAAGCUUUUUGAUCGAGGGAUUGCUUAUAGGAUGAUGUCUAUUAUGAUGAGUUAUCUUUUGAUGAUGAAGGAUAAGAGAAGGAAAAAUAAAUGAUGGAUACAAGGGCUGAAAGAAGGUAGAAACUGGUGGAUUGGUUUCUUGAUGAUUCUGCAGUGGAAUUUGCUGAACGUUUUUUGUGUUUUUUGUUUCAAUCUUUUUGUCUUUAGUUUGUUUGGAGUUGGGUCUUUAUGGCAUUGGUUCUUAAGAUUACACUAUUGGACUAUGGGUUUUUUAAGGGCCUUACCCCUUGCUUUGGUCUUAAUGGUGAUUGAUGGUGUGGUUAUUGCAAGGGGAUGAAGUUACCUUUUUUCCCACUUUCAAUAAGUCUUUGGUGUAGUCUUAUGAACAUUAAGGUCUUUUGGGGUAUUUGGAGGAUUGUUAAGGUGUUUAAGAAAUGGUUAGGAAGUUGGUUAUGGAUAGGUUGGAUAUGUUUAGGAUUUUUGGGAUGACUAUUUUAUUUUUAUUUGUAUUUGUAUUCUUUUAUUCUUUUUAAUAAAGUUUGCUAACCUUUGGCUCUUUCAAAAUAAAAGUUGGUGGUUACAAGCCACACAACUAGCUACUAAGUAAAACUAAUAAUGAAAAUUAAAGAAACUCAGGAAACCACACAAACAAACGUCUGACACACUAAUAAAUGAAAAAACGUUUGUGUUCCAUUAAGGAGCCAUAAGAAGCAUUAAAGUGUAACCCUAAUCCACCAAAGAGUAUAAAAAAUGGCUAGGUGGCUUUAUGAAGAAAAAAGUAACGGUUUUGAGCACUUAUGAAGCCAUUAAAAUGUUGCCCUAGCCUUCACGCAACCCAAAUUCAAUUCGUAGGUUACCACGUACAACCCAACCAUUGAACCUAAACCACCUUCUAGCGUACUAGUAAUCACUAAUCCAUCACCGUGCGCUUUCAUGAUCCAUUCAUGGAUCAUCCCCUCCCCCUUUGAAAGGAAAUAACCUCAAUUCAUCAAGGCCAUCCUCAACAAGAUAAGGUCAAAGGUCUCCCACAUUAAAGGUAGCGCGCACUCCAUGGUCUCCUCCCAAAUCCACCUUAUAAGCAUUAUCAUUGACAUUUGACACUACUUUGUAAGGACCAUGUGCUCUUGGCAUCAACUUUUGUUCUUCCUUUUGUUAGGAAAAUGUUCUUUCCUCAUAUGGAGCUACACCAAGUCACCAUCAUGAAAGAUAUGUGGUUUCCUAUGCAUGUUGGAAUUCUGUUUGUACAACUCUUACACGGCUUCAAUCUUCACGUGAACUUGAUGGUUCACGUGAACUUGUGAACCAAUUCAUCCUUUGGCAAUGGAGUCAAAUCGAAAGUCAUGUAAGGAUUCACACCAUACACCGUUCAAAAGGAGAGUGACCUAUAGCAUAAGUAGGAGAACGAUUACAGGCAAACUCAGCAUGUGCAAGUUUGAUGUCCAAAUGUUUUUGUGUGACAAACCGAAAUUUCUAUCUUGUACAAUUAUUCAAGUCAAUCAAGUUCAGACUCGUUUUACCAUAUUCUAGCAUUGUUUUGAGUCAAUUAGAGUGUUCUAAGCCUAGUACCUUCAAGUUAGGGUGUUGAAAUGGGUCCCACAAGUCCAAACACUUCACGAAAUGGCCAUACACUCCAUCAUGAGGAGUGUACGACAGUACACUUGGGUCUGCGGCCGUACACCCCCCUUUGGCCCUACACUCUGGGUUAUAUAUUGAGGACUUAGCCUUCAUUCUACCCUUUUCACCUCCCUUAGCCAAGAACUCGUUUAUUCUCUCAACUAUCAUCCGAUUCUUCACCUAGAUUUUCAAAAUAGUAAGUAUUUCUUCCCUUGAUCUAUUGAUUCUUCCUCCAUCUAGUAUGAAUCACUGAUUUCAUCCACAAAAUCACUUCAUUUUGGUAGAUCUUCAAGUAUUCUUCAAUUUCACCAAGAACACCUACUAAGUUCUUGGACCUCAAGCACCCCUAAAGGCUUCUAUAUCAUAAGUACUCCUUCCCAUGCUUGUUACUUACUAGAUAUGCCAUUAGAAAUCGUCCAAAAUCAUGAACAUUAAGGAGUGUACAGCCGUACACACCCAUGUGGCCGUACACCCCUUUGUUUGGUGCAAAUUAGCCUCAAAACUUACAUUCUAUGCUAAAGCAUGUUCAAGAACACGUUGAGGAUGCAUGAUAUGGCCUUGAAACACACCUUUGACAAUCUUUACAAGAUCAUCAAGGUGUAUGGCCGUACACACCCUUUCUGUGGCCGUACACACCCUUUUAGGACCCAAAAUGAUAACAAACACCCCUUUAAGUUAAGCUAUGACUAAGACACACUUCGUAGAUAACCUUAAUUCUUGUUCCUUGUUUGGUUGUGGGCUUAGGGUAGGAUACACUAGUCCGAAUGUCGAUUAACUCAUAAUUAUACAUGUUAAAUACGUAAUAGAAUAUAAAAUUUUAACUUAAAAGUUUUACUUAACUUAAUUGUUCAAACCGAGCAAUUCAGACUUGUCCAUAAGUCGAGAUCAAACAAACAUCUAGUAAACUAUAAUAGGUAUAGUUUAAGUGAACAUAUAAAUAUACAUUUACAUAUACAAAGAACGGAAGUGAACUUAUACACAUACAUUUACAUGUACAAAGAACGGAACUGAACAUAUACAUAUACAUACAAGUACAGUAAGAACACGAUAACUGGAAUGUGAAAUACUACGUCACGAAACAACAAUACAUUGUUGUAUCACAUUUGUAACCAGAGUCUCUCGGAGGGAGAGCGGGCAUCGUGUGUAUAGAUCUAUAUGGGACAGACACUCCCACACCCCGACUGCUAGCUACAGUUCUAGCCGAUAAGGCCAAGGGGUGACAAAAUGCACCUCACUAUUUUAUGACGCCAGAAGGUCGUCAGGUAUUCAACCGUCAAUCAUUAUGGUUACAACUAAUUCACAUCGACCCUUUUAAUUAAACAAAUCGGAAUUUAAAGCAAUAAGACUCUCCAAGGAAGUAUAGUACAUUUAAUACGACUACAAGUCUUAAUUUUAUUCAUUUCAUAUUCAGUAGUAUCACUACUGAGAUAAAACAUUCUAUUUUCCUAAUAGAUGAUAGUAACGAAUGGGAGAAAACAUACUUUUACACAGACAUAAAGUACUACUAUAUUUUCCACACUAUUCAAAGUAUAUAUGCAAACAUUACAUUUUUAUACAAGAUCAAACAUGCAAACAGUCGAGCCUCGGGUAGGAGGCUACUUUAAUUAAAAGUGACAAUUAUAGGAUUUUCUGGGAAAACUUACAAACAUUUCAAGGUUUUUAAUGCAAAUAUUCAAGAUUCUUUAAAUGACACUAAACACUUAUGAACUCACCAGCAUUUUAUGUUGAUACUCUCUUUCAAAAUAACUUCAGGGAACUAGUAAGACAGGUACAUCCAUGCAGCUUUGAAGGACGACAUGGAUUCAAGUACAAAGUGUCCAAAAACAUGGAAUCCCUAUUAGAAACAAUAGUUUCAGGAAUAAUAUGCAAGCGAACCGCCUCUUUAAAAUACAAAUUACACACAUUUGAUGCCUCAUUGGCUUUAUGACGUGGCACAAAGUGAGCAAUUUUUGAAAACCUAUCCACCACCACUAUAAUGGAAUCCUUCCCCCUUUGAGUUCAAGGCAAAGCCGUAAUGAAUUCCACUGACACAUCUUCCCAAGGACGAAUAGGAACCAGCAAAGGAGUGUAAACACCAUGCUUAAAAGUUUUUUACGUCAUCUAACAUGUAUCACACUUGGCCACUAUUUUGGUUACAUCCCCAACAUCUUAGUCCAAAAGAAAUGUUCUUAAAGCAUCUCUAAAGUUUUGGUAAUGGAAAAAUGACUCGCCAAACCACCACCAUGAGCUUCACUAAUUACCAACUCUCGUAUUGCAUGUUUAGGGACACAAAGGUGAUUACCUUUUGAUACCUUUAUGGGCUUGAUUAACUGAGUAGGGUUGUGUAUGGGAAGACCUACUAACCUGUAUACCGGUUAAAACAAUCGAAGACAUACUUGAUUGAAUGCGUAUCAAGUCAAGAACACAUUUUGACUAUGACAAGCAGUGAACUAUAACUAUAAUUCAAAGUUAACAAAGGUUCUUUUGAUUAAAAUUUCAUCUAUGUCCUUUUUCCAUGCAUAAACUUAGCGUUUAUGAAGCCUGUAUUACAAAGUUGGUGGUUACAAGCCACCCAACCAACUACUCAGUAAAACUAAAAAUGAAAAUUAAAGAAACUCAUGAAACCGCACAAAAAAACGUCUGACACACUAAUGAAUGAAAAAAACAUCCAUGUUCCAUUAAGGAGUCAUGAGAAGCAUUAAAGUGUAACCCUAAUCCACAAAGAGUAUCAAAAAUGGCUAGGAGGCUUUAUGAAGCAAACAAUAACGGUUUUGAGCACUUAUGAAGCCUUUAAAAUGUUGCCCAAGCCUUCAUGCGACCAUAAUUCAAUUCUUAGGUUACCACGCACAACCUAACCAUUGAGCCCAAACCACCUUCUAGCCUACUAGUAGUCAUUAAUCCAUCACCUUGGACUUUCAUGAUCCAUGCAUGGAUCACCCCCUCCCCCUUUGAAAGUCAACUACCUCAAUUCAUCAAGGCCAUCCUCAACAAGAUAAGGUCAAAGGUCUCCCACAUUAAAGGUAGCACGCACUCCAUGAUCUCUUCCCAAAUCCACCUUAUAAGCAUUAUCAUUGACAUGCGACACCACUUUGUAAGGACCAUCUGCUCUUGGCAUCAACUUUUGUUCUUCCUUUUGUUAGGAAAACGUUUUUUCCUCAUAUGUACCUACUCCAAGUCACCAUCUUGAAAGACACAUGGUUUCCUAUGCAUGUUGGAAUUCUGGUUGUACAACUCUUUCAUGACUUCAAUCUUUCACACGAACUUGUUGGGGUAGUUUCAUCAUGGCCUUCAACUUGUCAUUAGUAUCCUUGUGAACCAAUUCAUACUUUGACAAUGGAAUUAAAUCCAAAGGCAUAUAAGGAUUCACACCAUACACCACUUCAAAAGGAGAGUGACAUGUAUCAUAAGUAGGAGAAUGAUUACAGGAAAACAUAGCAUGUACAAGUUUGAUGUCCAAAUGUUUUUGAGUUUUGCUAACGAACCCCUUCAGCAACGUACCCAUAGUUCUAUUUGUCACCUUCUUUUGCCCAUCAGUUUAUGGAUGAUGGGAUGUACUAACAACUAACUUAUUAUCAACUUUCAUCCACAAAGUGUUGUGAAAGUAACUCAAACACAUAGAUUCCCUCUCAUAGAUAAUUGUUUUUGGAAUAAUAUGCAAGCGAACCACCUCUUUAAAGUACACAUCAGACACAUUAGAUGCAUCAUUGGUUUUAUGACAUGGCUCAAAGUGAGCAAUUUUUGAAAACCUAUCCACCACAAUAAUGGAAUCCUUCCCCCCUUUGAGUUCUAAGCAAAGCUAUAAUGAAUUCCACUGACACAUCUUCCCUAGGACGAAAAGGAACCGACAACGGAGUGUAGCACCUGGUUCCUGGUAUGUAAAUCUUAUUUGAGUAUUUUCCAUUUUUAGCCUUGGACUCGACAAGUCAUAGGUCCGACUCGCCGAGUAGAGACGGGAUCCGGGACAUGUUUAAGUUGGUGACUCGGCGAGUCCAUAUUCCGGACUCGGCGAGUCCCCGCUGUUGGAUGAAACCCUAAGUUUCAGGGGUUUGCACCCUAUUUAAGCCUCAUGUUCGCCCCAAGCCAGCCCCCAUUCACCCUCAGAGCCCCAACCCUCGUUCAAAGCUUAUUUCCUAGAGAGUUUGAAUCAUUUUUGUGUGUUCUUGAAGGUUUUGAGAAGGAAGUGGUGUAGAUCAAGAGGAAGGGAAGGAAGCCAAGCAUCUUAGUGUUCUCUCAGUGAUUCCUUCGAGGUAUAACCCGUUUUCCCUCUGUUUCUAUACUUAUUACUCCAUUAAGUCUUUCUUGAGCCCUUCUCCAAGUUUGGUUGUGCAUUGUUGGAUGAUUCAAGAUGUUUAGCCUUUAGAUCUAGACCCUAUUCAGUCCCUGGAACAUGGAUCUACUGCCUUUAUGGACCCAUAUUGCUUGUACACUCUAGAUCUACCCCUUUUAGUGCACUUUAAGCCUUAAAAACCUUAUUGGCGAUGAUCUACACGUAAAGUUGGAAACUUUACGUGUAAACCAGGCCCUAGGAGCCCAGAUCUGUGGAUAGCAUAAGUUGGAUUCAAGCAAAAUCGACCAUAUAUAGACUGCAUGGUAACGACUCGGAGAGUCGUUCAUCUGACUCGACGAGUAUGCUAGCGAAUCUCUGAGUUUGUCCCCUUUUCGUGGUGUCGAUUAGAGUAGUGAGUCACGGGAUGUGACUCAGUGUGUUGGAAGCCGGACUCAUCCAUGAAGGAACUCGGCGAGUCAUUGCCCUGACUCGGCGAGUUCAAGGCAAUCUUCUUAGAUCAAGAACAGACUCGGCGAGUUGUUCAUACAACUCGGCGAGUCUCAGCAUAAGUGUUCAUCGGAUGAAGAUGAACUCGACGAGUUGUUCAUACAACUCGGCGAGUAGGAUGAAGGACUUGAACAUCAGUUUGGAAGGAGAACUCGUCGAGUCGUCGCCUAACUCGACGAGUAGNNNNNNNNNNNNNNNNNNNNNNNNNNNNNNNNNNNNAGCCAACUCGGGGAGUCGGGUCAACUGAAAGUUGACUCUGAUUUGGACUUAUGACAUGAUCAGGGGUAAAAUGGUCAUUUUACCCAAAGGUCAGUUAGCAGUGAUUGAUUAAUUAUGUUGUGGGAAUUACAGCCGGAGGAUUUCUAGAGCAGCAGCAGCAGCAGUAGACAGUCAAUUCCCGAUCAGAUCAGCAGCUACUUUGAGGUGAGUUACCUUCCAGUAGCGGUGGGUCUACGGCCACAAUGCCGGCCCACCAGUAGGAGUUGUAUGUUAGAUGAUUGUCUUUGUGAUAUCAUCUAGGUUUGCUACUACCUGAUAUGUUNNNNNNNNNNNNNNNNNNNNNNNNNNNNNNNNNNNNNNNNNNNNNNNNNNNNNNNNNNNNNNNNNNNNNNNNNNNNNNNNNNNNNNNNNNNNNNNNNNNNNNNNNNNNNNNNNNNNNNNNNNNNNNNNNNNNNNNNNNNNNNNNNNNNNNNNNNNNNNNNNNNNNNNNNNNNNNNNNNNNNNNNNNNNNNNNNNNNNNNNNNNNNNNNNNNNNNNNNNNNNNNNNNNNNNNNNNNNNNNNNNNNNNNNNNNNNNNNNNNNNNNNNNNNNNNNNNNNNNNNNNNNNNNNNNNNNNNNNNNNNNNNNNNNNNNNNNNNNNNNNNNNNNNNNNNNNNNNNNNNNNNNNNNNNNNNNNNNNNNNNNNNNNNNNNNNNNNNNNNNNNNNNNNNNNNNNNNNNNNNNNNNNNNNNNNNNNNNNNNNNNNNNNNNNNNNNNNNNNNNNNNNNNNNNNNNNNNNNNNNNNNNNNNNNNNNNNNNNNNNNNNNNNNNNNNNNNNNNNNNNNNNNNNNNNNNNNNNNNNNNNNNNNNNNNNNNNNNNNNNNNNNNNNNNNNNNNNNNNNNNNNNNNNNNNNNNNNNNNNNNNNNNNNNNNNNNNNNNNNNNNNNNNNNNNNNNNNNNNNNNNNNNNNNNNNNNNNNNNNNNNNNNNNNNNNNNNNNNNNNNNNNNNNNNNNNNNNNNNNNNNNNNNNNNNNNNNNNNNNNNNNNNNNNNNNNNNNNNNNNNNNNNNNNNNNNNNNNNNNNNNNNNNNNNNNNNNNNNNNNNNNNNNNNNNNNNNNNNNNNNNNNNNNNNNNNNNNNNNNNNNNNNNNNNNNNNNNNNNNNNNNNNNNNNNNNNNNNNNNNNNNNNNNNNNNNNNNNNNNNNNNNNNNNNNNNNNNNNNNNNNNNNNNNNNNNNNNNNNNNNNNNNNNNNNNNNNNNNNNNNNNNNNNNNNNNNNNNNNNNNNNNNNNNNNNNNNNNNNNNNNNNNNNNNNNNNNNNNNNNNNNNNNNNNNNNNNNNNNNNNNNNNNNNNNNNNNNNNNNNNNNNNNNNNNNNNNNNNNNNNNNNNNNNNNNNNNNNNNNNNNNNNNNNNNNNNNNNNNNNNNNNNNNNNNNNNNNNNNNNNNNNNNNNNNNNNNNNNNNNNNNNNNNNNNNNNNNNNNNNNNNNNNNNNNNNNNNNNNNNNNNNNNNNNNNNNNNNNNNNNNNNNNNNNNNNNNNNNNNNNNNNNNNNNNNNNNNNNNNNNNNNNNNNNNNNNNNNNNNNNNNNNNNNNNNNNNNNNNNNNNNNNNNNNNNNNNNNNNNNNNNNNNNNNNNNNNNNNNNNNNNNNNNNNNNNNNNNNNNNNNNNNNNNNNNNNNNNNNNNNNNNNNNNNNNNNNNNNNNNNNNNNNNNNNNNNNNNNNNNNNNNNNNNNNNNNNNNNNNNNNNNNNNNNNNNNNNNNNNNNNNNNNNNNNNNNNNNNNNNNNNNNNNNNNNNNNNNNNNNNNNNNNNNNNNNNNNNNNNNNNNNNNNNNNNNNNNNNNNNNNNNNNNNNNNNNNNNNNNNNNNNNNNNNNNNNNNNNNNNNNNNNNNNNNNNNNNNNNNNNNNNNNNNNNNNNNNNNNNNNNNNNNNNNNNNNNNNNNNNNNNNNNNNNNNNNNNNNNNNNNNNNNNNNNNNNNNNNNNNNNNNNNNNNNNNNNNNNNNNNNNNNNNNNNNNNNNNNNNNNNNNNNNNNNNNNNNNNNNNNNNNNNNNNNNNNNNNNNNNNNNNNNNNNNNNNNNNNNNNNNNNNNNNNNNNNNNNNNNNNNNNNNNNNNNNNNNNNNNNNNNNNNNNNNNNNNNNNNNNNNNNNNNNNNNNNNNNNNNNNNNNNNNNNNNNNNNNNNNNNNNNNNNNNNNNNNNNNNNNNNNNNNNNNNNNNNNNNNNNNNNNNNNNNNNNNNNNNNNNNNNNNNNNNNNNNNNNNNNNNNNNNNNNNNNNNNNNNNNNNNNNNNNNNNNNNNNNNNNNNNNNNNNNNNNNNNNNNNNNNNNNNNNNNNNNNNNNNNNNNNNNNNNNNNNNNNNNNNNNNNNNNNNNNNNNNNNNNNNNNNNNNNNNNNNNNNNNNNNNNNNNNNNNNNNNNNNNNNNNNNNNNNNNNNNNNNNNNNNNNNNNNNNNNNNNNNNNNNNNNNNNNNNNNNNNNNNNNNNNNNNNNNNNNNNNNNNNNNNNNNNNNNNNNNNNNNNNNNNNNNNNNNNNNNNNNNNNNNNNNNNNNNNNNNNNNNNNNNNNNNNNNNNNNNNNNNNNNNNNNNNNNNNNNNNNNNNNNNNNNNNNNNNNNNNNNNNNNNNNNNNNNNNNNNNNNNNNNNNNNNNNNNNNNNNNNNNNNNNNNNNNNNNNNNNNNNNNNNNNNNNNNNNNNNNNNNNNNNNNNNNNNNNNNNNNNNNNNNNNNNNNNNNNNNNNNNNNNNNNNNNNNNNNNNNNNNNNNNNNNNNNNNNNNNNNNNNNNNNNNNNNNNNNNNNNNNNNNNNNNNNNNNNNNNNNNNNNNNNNNNNNNNNNNNNNNNNNNNNNNNNNNNNNNNNNNNNNNNNNNNNNNNNNNNNNNNNNNNNNNNNNNNNNNNNNNNNNNNNNNNNNNNNNNNNNNNNNNNNNNNNNNNNNNNNNNNNNNNNNNNNNNNNNNNNNNNNNNNNNNNNNNNNNNNNNNNNNNNNNNNNNNNNNNNNNNNNNNNNNNNNNNNNNNNNNNNNNNNNNNNNNNNNNNNNNNNNNNNNNNNNNNNNNNNNNNNNNNNNNNNNNNNNNNNNNNNNNNNNNNNNNNNNNNNNNNNNNNNNNNNNNNNNNNNNNNNNNNNNNNNNNNNNNNNNNNNNNNNNNNNNNNNNNNNNNNNNNNNNNNNNNNNNNNNNNNNNNNNNNNNNNNNNNNNNNNNNNNNNNNNNNNNNNNNNNNNNNNNNNNNNNNNNNNNNNNNNNNNNNNNNNNNNNNNNNNNNNNNNNNNNNNNNNNNNNNNNNNNNNNNNNNNNNNNNNNNNNNNNNNNNNNNNNNNNNNNNNNNNNNNNNNNNNNNNNNNNNNNNNNNNNNNNNNNNNNNNNNNNNNNNNNNNNNNNNNNNNNNNNNNNNNNNNNNNNNNNNNNNNNNNNNNNNNNNNNNNNNNNNNNNNNNNNNNNNNNNNNNNNNNNNNNNNNNNNNNNNNNNNNNNNNNNNNNNNNNNNNNNNNNNNNNNNNNNNNNNNNNNNNNNNNNNNNNNNNNNNNNNNNNNNNNNNNNNNNNNNNNNNNNNNNNNNNNNNNNNNNNNNNNNNNNNNNNNNNNNNNNNNNNNNNNNNNNNNNNNNNNNNNNNNNNNNNNNNNNNNNNNNNNNNNNNNNNNNNNNNNNNNNNNNNNNNNNNNNNNNNNNNNNNNNNNNNNNNNNNNNNNNNNNNNNNNNNNNNNNNNNNNNNNNNNNNNNNNNNNNNNNNNNNNNNNNNNNNNNNNNNNNNNNNNNNNNNNNNNNNNNNNNNNNNNNNNNNNNNNNNNNNNNNNNNNNNNNNNNNNNNNNNNNNNNNNNNNNNNNNNNNNNNNNNNNNNNNNNNNNNNNNNNNNNNNNNNNNNNNNNNNNNNNNNNNNNNNNNNNNNNNNNNNNNNNNNNNNNNNNNNNNNNCCGAGCAGUUCACCCUGGGGAGCCCCGAUUCUGUUCGUGAAAAAGAAGGACGGGUCGCAUCGGAUGUGUAUAGAUUACCGGGAGCUAAACAAGGUAACGGUGAAGAACCGUUACCUACUCCCGAGGAUUGAUGAUCUCUUUGACCAGCUUCAGGGAGCAACUUGGUUCUCCAAGAUUGAUUUGCGUUCGGGUUAUCAUCAUAUGAGGGUUAGGGAGGAGGAUACGCAUAAGACCGCGUUUCGGACGCGCUAUGGCCAUUAUGAGUUCGUGGUGAUGCCGUUUGGGCUCACCAAUGCUCCUGUCGCGUUCAUGGACCUCAUGAACCGCGUAUGCAGACCGAUGUUGGAUCGGUCUGUGAUAGUCUUUAUCGAUGACAUCCUAGUUUAUUCCAAGAUGCAGGAAGAGCAUGAGGAGCAUCUGAGAGAGGUAUUGGAGACCCUGAGGAGGGAGAGCUUGUAUGCCAAAGUUCUCCAAGUGUGAGUUUUGGUUGCGAGGUGCAAUUUCUCUGGCACCUUGUCAACCAAAACGGGAUUCUGGUCGAUCUGGCCAACGUCGAGGCCGUAAUGAGAUGGGAGGUUCUGAAGUCUCCAUCUGAGAUUCAGAGUUUCCUAGGAUUGGCAGGCUAUUAUGUGAGAUUCAUUCAGGACUUCUCCAAGAUAGUCGUACCCCUGACGCGGCUAACAAAGAAAGUCAUAGUCUUUCGGUGGGGACCCGAGCAGCAGGCGACAUUUGAGACGCUGAGAUGGAGAUUGUGCAAGGCGCCAAUCUUAGCCCUGCUAGAGGGCGUAGAGGAUUUUGUGGUAUACUGUGACGCGUCCAUUUCAGGGUUGUGCACGGUACUGAUGCAGAGGGGGCAUGUCAUUGCCUACGCUUCGAGGCAGCUCAAGCCUCACGAGGCGAACUACCCGACGCAUGAUUUGGAGUUGGGGGGGUGGUUUUUGCCCUCAAGAUUUGGCGACAUUACCUCUACGGGGUUCGAUGUACCAUCUACACGGACCACAAGAGUUUGAGGUACCUCAUGGAUCAGCCGAAUCUGAACAUGAGGCAGCGUCGGUGAUUGGACGUGGUGAAGGAUUAUGAUUGCGAGAUCCUUUACCACCCGGGGAAGGCCAACGUGGUGGCCGAUGCACUUAGCCGCAAAGCAGCGCCGAUCAGGGAUAUUUGCAUGAGGAUGACCAUAGUGACUCCCCUGUUGGAGCAGAUUUGGGAGGCUCAACAGGAGGCUAUCAAGGAGGAACAUCGGAAGAACGAGCGUGUGGUGGGUCAGGUUUCCUCCUUCGAUUAUGACAGCCGAGGACUAUUGACACUACACCGUAGGGUGUGGGUGCCAUAUCACGGAGGCGUGCGCCAGAUCUUGAUGGAGGAGGCGCAUAAAUCCCGAUUCUCUAUUCAUCCAGGGGCGACGAAGAUGUAUAGGGAUCUUCGUCUAGAUUAUUGGUGGCCCUGCAUGAAGCGGGAUGUGGCUUGGUACGUCGAGCGGUGCUUGACCUGCAGGAAGGUCAAGGCCGAACAUCAGAGACCGCAUGGCAAGAUGCAGUCGUUGGACAUCCCGUUGUGGAAAUGGGAAGAUAUCACGAUGGAUUUUAUCACGAAGCUUCCCAGGACCGCACGUGGAGUGGAUUCGAUUUGGGUCAUCGUGGAUAGAUUGACCAAGAGUGCUCAUUUUNGAUAUCACGAUGGAUUUUAUCACAAAGCUUCCCAGGACCGCACGUGGAGUUGAUUCGAUUUGGGUCAUCGUGGAUAGAUUGACCAAGAGUGCUCAUUUUAUUCCGAUUCAGGAGAGCAUAUCGGCCGAGAAAUUGGCCGACAUCUAUAUCAGGGAGAUCGUGGCACGGCACGGGGUGCCAGUAUCGGUUAUCUCGGACAGGGAUGUGCGUUUUACUUCCAGGUUUUGGAAGAGAUUUCAUGACGAAUUGGGCACUCGUUUACAUUUUAGCACCGCCUUUCACCCGCAGACGGAUGGUCAGAGUGAGCGGACCAUCCAGACUUUGGAGGAUAUGUUGCGGGCAUGCGUGUUGGAUUUCGGUGGUAGUUGGGAUACCUAUCUUCCCUUGGCCGAGUUCUCUUACAACAACAGCUACCACGCUAGUAUUGACCGUCCCCCAUUUGAGAUGUUGUACGGUCGGAGGUGCAGGACCCCGAUAUGCUGGGGUGAAGUUGGCCAGAGAGUCAUGGGGAGCACCGAAGUGGUGCUCAAGACGACCGAGAGGAUCCAGCAGGUUCGGAGCAAGCUUCAGACUACUCAGAGUCGGCAGAAAAGCUACGCCGACAAGCGCCGAUCUGACCUGGAGUUCCAGGUCGGGGAUAUGGUUCUCUUGAAGCUGUCGCCGUGGAAGGGCGUCAUUCGAUUCAGGAAGCGAGGCAAGUUGGGCCCGAGAUUCAUCGGACCGUUCCGAGUUGUGGCCCGGGUGGGCAAGGUGGCGUAUAGGCUGGAUCUACCAGUCGAGCUCAGCCAGAUCCACAGCACUUUCCAUGUUUCUCAGCUGCGGAAGUGCCUAGUGGACAUUUCAGCAGUAGUGCCGUUAGAGGAUAUUCAGGUUGAUGACAGCCUGAAUUACAUUGAGCGCCCAGUCGCAAUCCGCGACAGAAAGUCGAAGGAUUUGAGGAACAAGAGGGUGGAGCUCGUAAAGGUGCAAUGGCAGCACUGUAAGGGUUCGGAAUGGACUUGGGAGCCGGCGGACGAGAUGAUGGAGCAUUAUCCCAAGCUAUUUCAGGAUCGAGCAGCAGACUUCGAGGACGAAGUCUAAAAUAAGCGGGGGAGAUUUGUAGCACCUGGUUCCUGGUACGUAAAUCUUAUUUGAGUAUUUUCCAUUUUUAGCCUUGGACUCGGCGAGUCAUAGGUCUGACUCGCUGAGUAGAGACGGGACCCGGGACAUGUUUAAGUUGGUGACUCGGCGAGUCACUGCUGUUGGAUGAAACCCUAAGUUUCAGGGGUUUGCACCCUAUUUAAGCCUCAUGUCUGCCCCAAGCCAGCCCCCAUUCACCCUCAAAUCCCCCAACCCUCGUUCAAAGCUUAUUUCCUAGAGGGUUUGAAGCAUUUUUGUGUGUUCUUGAAGGUUUUGAGAAGGAAGUGGUGUAGAUCAAGAGGAAGGGAAGGAAGCCAAGCAUCUUAGUGUUCUCUCAGUGAUUCCUUCGAGGUAUAACCCGUUUUCCCUCUGUUUCUAUGCUUAUUACUCCAUUAAGUCUUUCUUGAGCCCUUCCCCAAGUUUGGUUGUGCAUUGUUGGAUGAUUCAAGAUGUUUAGCCUUUAGAUCUAGACCCUAUUCAGUCCCUGGAACAUGGAUCUACUGCCUUUAUAGACCCAUAUUGCUUGUACACUCUAGAUCUACCCCUUUUAGUGCACUUUAAGCCUUAAAAACCUUAUUGGCGAUGAUCUACACGUAAAGUUGGAAACUUUACGUGUAAACCAGGCCCUAGGAGCCCAGAUCUGUGGAUAGCAUAAGCUGGAUUCAAGCAAAAUCGACCAUAUAGAGACUGCAUGGUAACGACUCGGCGAGUCGUUCAUCUGACUCGGCGAGUAUGCUCGCGAGUCUCUGAGUUUGUCCCCUUUUCGUGGUGUCGAGUAGAGUAGUGAGUCACGGGGUGUGACUCAGUGUAUUGGAAGUCGGACUCAUCCACGCAACUCGGCGAGUCAUUGCCCUGACUCGGCGAGUUCAAGGCAAUCUUCUUAGAUCAAGAACAGACUCGGCGAGUUGUUCAUACAACUCGGCGAGUCUCAACAUAAGUGUUCACUGGAUGAAGAUGAACUCGGCGAGUAGGAUGAAGGACUUCAACAUCAGUUUGGAAGGAGAACUCGUCGAGUCAACGCCUAACUCGACGAGUAGAAACGGGAUUCAGGACAAUCGUUUGGGUAGGGACUCGGCGAGUUGGAGAGCCAACUCGGCGAGUCGGGUCAACUGAAAGUUGACUCUGACUUUGACUUAGGGCAUGAUCAGGGGUAAAAUGGUCAUUUUACCCAAAGGACAGUUAGCAGUGUUUGAUUGAGUAUGUUGUGGGAAUUGCAGCCGGAGGAUUUCCGGAGCAGCAGCAGCAGCAGUAGACAGUCAGUUCCCGAUCAGAUCAGCAGCUACUUCGAGGUGAGUUACCUUCCAGUAGCGGUGGGUCUACGGCCUCAAUGCCGGCCCACCAGUAGGAGUCGUAUGUUAGAUGAUUGUCUUUGUGAUAUCAUCUAGGUUUGCUGCUACCUGAUAUGUUAUAUGCUAGCAUGAUAUGUUUUAUGUGAUAGAGGUAGAGAUCGGUUGUUAGGACCGAAGGGCAGUUCGGACACCCCAGAAAUGUCUGACAGUAUAUGAUUAUGUGUUUGCAUGUUGGCUUGUUAUGUUAUAUGCAAUAGAGGUAGUAGGAGGGGACCAGUCCCCGAGUUCGGUUGUUAGGACCGAAUGGUAGUUCAGACACCCCAUAUAUGUUUGAUAAUAUGUUAUGUAUGAUAUAUGUGUUAGUAGCAGUAGGGGUAAAAUAGUCCCCGAGGCUCGAUUGUCAGGACCGACGGGUAGUCAGCACCCCAGAAUAGCUUGACACGUGUAGUCAGCACCCCAGAAUGGCUUGACAUGGGUAGGUUGGCACCCCCAUAAUGGCCGCACAGGUAGUCGGCACCCCAGAAUGGCCGUACCGGGUAGUCAGGCACCCCAGAAUAGCCUGGCAGUAUGUACGUUAUGUGUUGUAUGGUAUGUGGUACGAUGGGGGAACUCACUAAGCUUUGUGCUUACGUUUUUCAGUUGUUGUUUCAGGUACCUCUUCAACCAAGGGGAAUGAGCAGGCGCGGUAGCAGCUCAUCACACACACUCCUUGAUUCCGCAUUUAUAAGUUUACCCUGGGAUUGAUACUCUAAUAUUUUGGUUGUUUGACUGUUAUGGAUUUCAAAUUUGGUUUUCGAUGUGAAAUGGUUUAAUUAAGCAAUGUUUUAAUUAUUAAUGUUUUCUAAAGUAAUGUUUUAAAAACAAAAUUUUUGGACGUGAAAAUUGGGUCGUUACACGAAGUGUAAACACCAUGCUUGAAAGUUUUUUCGUCAUAUGACAUGUAACACACUUUCCCAUUACGUUGGUUACAUCCUAACAUCUUAGGCCAAAAGAAAUGUUCUUAAAGCUCCUCCAAAGUUUUGGUAAUGGAAAAAUGACUCGCUAAACCACCACCAUGAGCUUCACGAAUCAGCAACUCCUGUAUUACAUGUUUAGGGACACAAAGGUGGUUGCCUUUUAUGCCUUUAUGGGCUUGAUUAGGUGAGUAGGGUUGUGUUUAGGUAAAUUAAGCUAGAAUAACAACCACAAAUGAUACGUGUAUGAGAAGAAAUGGAUAGAUUAGUAAAAAAAUCAAGACAUUCUAACAUGUAUACCGGUGAAAACAAUCCAAGGCAUAUUUGAUUGAAUGUGUAUCAAGUCAAGAACACGUCACAACUAUGACAAGUAGUGAGCUAUUCUGAACAAAGGUUCUUUUGAAUAAAAUUUCAUCUAUCUAAUUUUUCCGUGCAAAAACUUUGCAUUUAUUAAGCAUUUAUUACAAAGUUGGUGGUUAUAAGCCACCCAACCAACUACUCAGUAAAACUAAUAAUGAAAAUUAAAGAAACUCAGGAAACCACACAAACAAAUGUCUGAGACACUAAUGAAUGAAAAAAUGGUCAUACUCCAUUAAGGAGCCAUAAGAAGCAUUAAAGUGUAACCCUAAUCCACCAAAGAGUAUCAAAAAUGGCUAGGAGGCUUUAUGAAGCGAAAGGUUAUGGUUUUGAGCACUUAUGAAGCCUUUAAAAUGUUGCCCUAUCUUUCAUGCGACCCUAAUUCCAUUCGUAGGUUACCACACACAACCUAACCAUUGAGCCAAAAGCACCUUCUAGCCUACUAGUAAUCACUAAUCCAUCACCUUGGGGUUUCAUGAUCCUUGUAUGGAUCAUCCCCUCCCCCUUUAAAAGGAAAUAACCUCAAUUCAUCAAGGCCAUACUCAACAAGAUAAGGUCAGAGGACUCCCACAUUAAAGGUAGCACGCACUCCAUGAUCUCCUCCCAAAUCCACCAGAUAAGCAUUAUCAUUGACAUCUGUCACCACUUUGUAAAGACCAUUUGCUCUUGGCAUCAGCUUUUGUUCUUCUUUUUGUUAGAAAAACGUUCUUUCCUCAUAUGCACCUACACCAAGUCACCAUCUUGAAAGACACGUGGUUUCCUAUGCAUGUUGGAAUUCUGUUUGUACAACUCUUACACUACUUCAAUCUACACACGAACUUGUUGGUGUAGUUUCAUCAUGGCCUUUAACUUGUCGUUAUCAUCGUUGUGAACUAAUUCAUCAAAAGGGCAAUGGAAUCAAAUCCAAAGUCAUGUGUGGAUACACACCAUACACAGUUCAAAAGGAGAGUGAGCUGUAGCAUAAGUAGGAGAACGAUUACAGGCAAACUCAGCAUGUGCAAGUUUGAUGUCCAAAUGUUUUUGAGUUUUUCUAACCAACCCCCUCAACAACGUAACUUAGUACUAAAAAAUAACUUAGUACCAAGUUUCCUCCACAAAGUGUUCCAAAAGUAACUGAAAAACAUGGAAUCCCUAUCAGAAACAAUAGUUUUUGGAAAAAUAUGCAAGCAAUCACGCACAUUAGAUGCAUCAUUGGCAUUAUGAAGUGGCACAAAGUGAUCAAUUUUUGAAAACCUAUCCACCACCACUAUAAUGGAAUCCUUCCCCUGUUGAGUUCUAGGCAUUUAAAUGAAUUCCAUUGACACAUCUUCCCAAGGACGAAUAGGAACCGACAAAGGAGCAUAAACACCAUGCUUGAAAGUUUUUUUCGUCAUCUAACAUUCAACACACUUGCCCACUAUGUUGGUUACAUCCGCAACAUCUUAGGCCAAAAGAAAUGUUCUUCUCCAAAGUUUUGGUAAUGGAAAAAUGACCAGCCAAACCACCACCAUGAGCUUCACUAAUCAGCAGCUCCCGUAUUACAUGUUUAGGGACACAAAGGUGAUUACCUUUUGAUGCCUUUAUGGGCUUGAUUAAGUGAGUAGGGUUGUGUAUGGGAAGAAAUGGAUAGAUUGGAAGCAAAUCAAGACCUACUAAGCUUUAUACCGAUUAAAACAAUCCAAGACAUAUUUGAUUGAAUGUGUAUCAAGUCAAGAACGUGUUUGGACUAUGACAAGUAGUGAACUAUAACUAUAAUUCAAAUUGAACAAAGGUUAUUUUGCUAAAAAUUUCAUCUAUGUCUUUUUUCCAUGCAUAAACUUGGCUUAUAUGAAGCCUUUAUUACAAAGUUGGUGGUUACAAGCCACCCAACGAACUACUCAGUAAAACUAAAAUUAAAAAUUGAAGAAACUCAUGAAACCGCACAAUAAAACGUCUGGCACGCUAAUGAAUGAAAAAAACGUCCAUGCUCCAUUAAGGAGCCAUGAGAAGCAUUAAAGUGUAACCCUAAUCCGCCAAAGAGUAUAAAAAAUGGCUAGGAGGCUUUAUGAAGCAAAAAGUAACGGUUUUGAGAAGUUAUGAAUCCUUUAAAAUGUUGCCCUAGCCUUUAUCCGACCAUAAUUCAAUUCAUAGGUUGCCACAAACAACCCAACCAUUGAGCCCAAACCACCUUCUAGCCUACUAGUAAUCACUAAUCCAUCACCUUGGCCUUUCAUGAUCCAUGCAUGGAUCAUCCCCCCCCACCCCCCUUUAAAAGGAAAUGACCUCAAUUCAUCAAGGCCAUCCUCAACAAGAUAAGGUCAAAGGUCUCCCACAUGAAAGGCAACAUGCACUCCACGGUCUUCUCCCAAAUCCACCUUAUAAGCAUUAUCAUUGACAUGUGACACCACUUUGUACGGACCAUCUGCUCUUGGCAUCAACAUUUGUUCUUCUUAUUGUUAGGAAAACGUUCUUUCCUCAUAUACACCUACAACAAGUCACCAUCUUGAAAGAUGUGGCUUCCCACGCAUGUUGGAAUUCUGUUUGUACAACUCUUUCACGACUUCAAUCUUCACACGGAGUUGUUGCUGUAGUUUCAUCAUGGCCUUCAACUUGUCAUUAGCAUCCUUGUGAACCAAUUCAUCCUUUGGCAAUGUAAUUAAAUCCAAAGGUAUAUAAGGAUUCACACCAUACACCACUUCAAAAGGAGAGUGACAUGUAGCGUAAGUAGGAGAACGAUGACAAGAAAACUUAGCAUGUACAAGUUUGAUGUCCAAACGUUUUUGAGUUGUGCUAACCAACCCCCUCAACAACGUUCCCAAAGUUCUAUUUGUCACCAUCGUUUGCCCAUCAGUUUGUGGAUGAUGGGAUGUACUAAAAAGUAACUUAGUACCAACUUUCAUCCACAAACUGUUUCGAAAGUAACUUAAAAACAUAGAUUCCCUCUCAGAGACGAUAGUUUUAGGAAUAAUAUGCAAGCGAACCACUUCUUUAAAUUACAAAUUAGACACAUUAGACGUAUCAUUGGUUUUAUGACAUGGCUCAAAGUGAGCAAUUUUUGAAAACCUAUCCACCACCACAAUAAUGGAAUCCUUGCCCUUUUGAGUUCUAGGCAAAGCCAUAAUGAAUUCCAUUGACACAUCUUCCCAAGGACGAAUGGGAACCGGCAAACGGAGUGCAAACACCAUGCUUGAAAGUUUUUUCGUCAUCUGACAUGUAACACACUUGCUCACUAUGUUGGUUACAUCCCAACAUCUUAGGCCAUAAGAGAUGUUCUUAAAGCUCCUCCAAAGUUUUGGUAAUGGAAAAUGACCCGCCAAACCACCACAAAGAGCUUCACGAAUCAGCAACUCCUAUAUUGCAUGUUUUAGGACACAAAGGUGAUUGCCUUUUGUUGCCUUUAUGGGCUUGAUUAAGUGAGUAGCAUUGUGUUUAGGUAAAUUAAGCUAGAAUAACAGCCAAAAAUGAUACGUGUAUGGGAAGAAAUGGAUAGAUUAGUAAAAAAAUCAUGUGACAAGUCGAAACUUCUACCUGGUACAUCUUGUUAGUUAAUCUAAGUUAAACUCAUUUUUGUUAAUUCCUAACACUGAUUAAGGGUUCAUUUAAGCGUUCUAAGCUUUAGUGCAACAAAGGUCGAGAUUAGGAAUGAGUCAGCAAAUCAUACAGUGAUAAAAUCCGGCCAUACACCCCUUUUGGACGAGUGUGCGGCCGCACACAUGGGUGUAAGGCCGUACACACUCCUCAUGCCCACACACCCACCCCUAUAUAAUGGGUAGACCCCUUUUCUUUCAUUCCGUUAACAUCCUGGCAGCACACAACACCUUUUUCCUCAAGACUCUUCAACCGCAAACCCGUCAUGUUCUUCAUCUCUUUGAAGGAGUGUGGCCUCACACCUACAUAGGUGGCCUCACACUCCUAAAAGACCCUCCAAAGUGAGAGUUGGACUUCCAUAUUCGAAUCGGACAUGAACCUAGCUUUGCUACACCUUAGAAUUGGCUUUUUAGGCAUCAUCAUGAAGGGUCUAUGACCGCACACACCUGUGUACGGCUGCACACACCUGUGUACGACCACACACACCCUUUUGGGGCAGCACACUCCUUGUGUGCGGCAGUACACUCCCGUGUGCGACCACACACACAUCCUAGGACCACAAACUCAUUUCUCAGACCCUAAACUUGUAGUACAACUUAGUAUGUACCUAGAACACUUCAUGGAUGCGAGUAUGGACCUUAAAAACACCUCAAAAGCACCUUCCAUCAUGAGUGUACGAUUGCACACCCAUUGGGCUACAUACCCAUGGCCGUACACACCUUUAUGGUGGCCAUACACCUCCCUCAUCCAAUCCUUUAAGGUUCUAGCACUUAGUGUAGGUAGUCCCAAGUUCCUAGAGUGGUUCUCCAUCACAUUUAGUAGAGAACUACCUUCAUUUGACUCCUUUAUGUGUCAUUGCAUGUUAAUUAGGAUCCAAUCCUAUUCAAGGCUUCACUUGAACAUCUGACAUUUCGUAUCGAUCUUUCAUUCAAAUCGCCCGAGGUGAGUUCAUACCCCUACUCUUUUCCGAGUUUUUCAUGUUUUCAGGGGGGAAUACAAGCAAAAGUACAAGGAAACUUGUGCUCAAAGUAUAUUAUUUUGUUUAAGAUAAUUAUAUUUUGAAAACGCUUUUAACAUGGAAAGUAGUUUUUACCAAACGAUUAAGAAAUCAACUUGUAGAAACAGUUUUCAAAACCAGGGUAACAAACUUGUGAAUCAUGUAAGGAUUCAUGCAAAUCAUAAACAGGACUAUCAGUAUUAUUAAUUGUAAAUUUGUUAGUCUAAGUUGGAGACACGUCCUUGGUAACACUCCCUCAGAAUCAGAGUGUAGGACUAGCACUUGUAACCAGAAUCUCUUGUAGGGAGAGCGCGAGUGUUAUGUAUAGAUAUACGGGACUGACAACCCCACACCUGGCUGAUAGCUACAGUCGGACCGGUAGGUCUAUGAGUGACAAAGUCAUAAAGGAUACCGGUCGUUGCGGGCCAUAUCCAGUCAGUUAUGGUUAUAAAACUCGUAACCUAGAUAGCAGAGAUUUACUUUUGUAAUAAUGAAUCAAGUGAACUAACCUCAAAGUAAUAACCGAUUUGAUUACUGGAGGGUAUUAAUAGUACCUUCAAGAUUUAAUUCAACAAGUUUUCUUUUAUUAGUUUUAUUUAUAUAAUAGGGCUAAUAUACCUCGCUGGGAGUAAACAGAGUUUUUAAAAGAAAAACUACGUUUAUCGAUAUAAAUAUGGUCACUUGUACACCUCAGUUUAGAACGGAUAACCAACCAUCAACUUUUAGAAAAAUUUAGGAUUUUCCCAGGAUAACUCAUCUUUUCAAAACGGAUUGUUUAAUAUGUGACUAACGGAUAUUCAUAUUCAUUCCAUGACUCCUUGAAUUGUACAUAUCCUAUAUGAAUCUAGAAGUCAUGGAAUGAAUGGGCUUUCAAACACACUUUUCAGAAGAAAUAUAGGAUUUUAUUGAGGAACAUUUUUCAAAGGAUUAAAGAAACAGUUUUCACCAAAACUAAAAUGCUUAUGAACUCACCAGCUUUAUGUUGAUAUUCUUUCAAAACUGCUUGUAUUCUCAGGGAAUUAGUAGACAGGUACUUCCAGGACUUUUGGAGAAGUCGGCGCGUUAGAGUCACGUCUUUCGAUUUUGCUUUUGUCAUGAACAAAACUAUGUACUAAGACAAUGUAAACCUUAUUCAUAUAUGUACUCAAUGUUUGGUUAUUUUUACUAUGCUUGCUAUGAUAAAACUGUUGUGAUACUACGCAUGACGUCAACCACCCCCGAACAUUUCCGCCGUUCCGGUUUGGGGGUGUGACAAAUCAAUACCUACUAAGUUGUAUACCGGUGAAAACAACACAAGACAUAUUUGAUUGAAUGCGUAUCAAGUCACGAACACGUCUUGACUAUGACAAGUAGUGAACUAUAUUGAACAAAGGUUCUUUUGAUUAAAAUUUCAUCUAUCUAAGUUUUCCAUGCAUAAACUUGCCAUAUAUGAAGCCUUUAUUACAAACUUGGUGGUUACAAGCCACCCAACCAACUACUCAGUAAAACUAAUAAUCAAAAUUAAUGAAACUAAGGAAACCACAAAAACAAACUUCUGACUCACUCAUGAAUGAAAAAAUAGUCCAUGAUCCAUUAAGGAGCCACAUGAAGCAUUAAAGUAUAACCCUAAUCCACCAAAUUCAAAUCCUAUGCAUGUUGGAUUUUUGUUUGUACAACUCUUACACGACUUCAGUCUUCACACGAACUUGUUGGUGUAGUUUUAUCAUGGCCUUCAACUUAUCAUUAUCAUCCUUGUGAACAAAUUCAUCCUUUGGCAAUGGAAUCAAAUCCAAAGUCAUGUAAGGAUUCACACCAUACACAGUUCAAAAGGAGAGUGAGCUGUAGCAUAAGUAGGAGAACAAUUACAGACAAACUCAGCAUGUGCAAGUUUGAUGUCGAAAUGCUUUUGAGUUUUUCUAACCACCCCCCUCAACAACGUAACUUAGUACUAAAAAAUAACUUAGUACCAAGUUUCCUCUACAAAGUGUUCCAAAAGUAACUCAAAAACAUGGAAUCUCUAUGAGAAACAAUAGUUUUAGGAAUAAUAUGCAAGCGAACCACCUCUUUAAAGUUCAAAUCAUACACAUUAGAUGCAUCAUUGGCUUUAUGACGUGGUACGAAGUGAGAAAUUUUUGAAAACUUACCCACCAUCACUAUAAAGGAAUCCUUCCCCCUUUGAGUUCUAGGCAAAGCCAUAAUGAAUUCCAUUGAAACAUCUUCCCAAGGACGAAUAGGAACCAACAAAGGAGUGUAAACACCAUGCUUGAAAGUUUUUUCAUCAUGUCACUUGUAACAUACUUGCCCACUAUGUUGGUUACAGCCCCAACAUCUUAUGCCAAAAGAAAUGUUCUUAAAGCACCUCCAAAGUUUUGGUAAUGGAAAAAUGACCUGCCAAACCACCACCAUGAGCUUCACUAAUCAGCAACUGCCGUAUUGCAUGUUUAGGGACACAAAAAUGAUUAUCUUUUGAUGCCUUUAUGGGCUUGAUUAAGUGAGUAGGGUUGAGUAUGGGAAAAAAUUGAUAGAUUAGUAACAACUCAAGACCUACAAAGCUGUAUACCGGUUAAAACAAUCCAAGACAUAUUUGAUUGAAUGUGUAUCAAGUCAAGAGCAUGUUUUGACUAUGACAAGUACUAAACUAUAACGAUAACUCAAAGUGAACAAAGGUUGGUGGUUAUGAAGCCUUUAUUACAAAGUUGGUGGUUACAAGCCACCCAACCAACUACUCAGUAAAACUAAAAAUGAAAAUUAAAGAAACUCAUGAAACCACACAAAAAAACGUCUGGCACGCUAAUGAAUGAAAAAAACGUCCAUGCUCCAUUAAGGAGCCAUGAGAAGCAUUAAAGUGUAACCCUAAUCCGCCAAAGAGUAUAAAAAAUGGCUAGGAGGCUUUAUGAAGCAAAAAGUAACGGUUUUGAGAAGUUAUGAAUCCUUUAAAAUGUUGCCCUAGCCUUCAUCCGACCAUAAUUCAAUUCGUAGGUUGCCACAAACAACCCAACCAUUGAGCCCAAACCACCUUCUAGCCUACUAGUAAUCACUAAUCCAUCACCUUGGGCUUUCAAGAUCGAUGCAUGGAUCAUCACCUCAUCCUUUGAAAGGAAAUAACCUCAAUUCAUCAAGGCCCUCCUCAACAAGAUAAGUUCAAAGGUCUCCCAUAUUAAAGGUAGCGCGCACUCCAUGGUCUCCUCCCAAAUCCACCUUAUAAGCAUUAUCAUUAACAUCUGACACCACUUUGUAAGGGCCAUCUGCUCUUGGCAUCAAAUUUUAUUCUUCCUUUUGUUAGGAAAACGUUCUUUCCUCAUAUGCACCUACACCAAGUCACCAUCUUGAAAGACACGUGGUUUCCUAUGCAUGUUGGAAUUAUGUUUGUACAACUCUUACACGGCUUCAAUCUUCACACGAACUUGUUGGUGUAGUUUCAUCAUGGCCUUCAACUUGUCAUUAUCAUCCUUGUGAACCAAUUCAUCCUUUGGUAGUGGAAUCAAAUCCAAAGUUAUGUAAGGAUUCACACCAUACAUAGUUCAAAAGGAGAGUGACCUAUAGCAUAAGUAGGAGAACGAUUAUAGGCAAACUCAGCAAGUGCAAGUUUGAUGUCCAAAUGUUUUUGAGUUUUUCUAACCAACCCCCUCAACAACGUAACUUAGUACUAAAAAGUAACUUAGUACCAACUUUCUUCCACAGAGUUGUAACAUUCGAAUCUAGGUAUAUUAUUUUAAUCAUCUAAUUUGAGAAUUUUAGAGGGACUCGACGAGUUGGUGCCUCAGCUUGUCGAGUAGGGUUUUGAAUGGUGACAAGGAUUAAUGAGUGGACUCGACGAGUCGAUGAAUCGACUCGCCGAGUCAACGUUGUUAACAGAAACUCUAAUUUUCUUGGGCAUGGGCCUAUUUAAAGGCACUUAUAGCCUCCAUAUCAUCUCGAUCAGUGCCCAUUCGACUCCUGAGAGAAACCCUAGCGUUUAUUGUGAGCAAGAGAGGGAAUGAGACUCAUUUGAAGUCAUUCUCUUAAGAAGAAGAGCAAGGUGCUUCAAGGAUCAAAGAGGAGAUCUUGUGGAUCUGUUUCAUCUUCAUUUCAGGCUUCAGAUCUAGGCAUAAGCUCUUACCUUCUUUGUUGAUUGAUUAGAUUCCUUGGUUGUGAAAUUAGGGCUUGUAUCACCUUUUUGAUGGGGUUUUGGGUGCAUCAAACCCCCUAGCAAGUCAUUCUAUAGAUCUGGACCUUGUAAGGUCUAGAAAGUCAGAAAGUAGGAAGCUAUGGCUGAGUAACCAUGGAGCUUUGAAGCUAAGAAGCUUUAAUGGAGUCUUAAUGACAUAAGAGCAAUAUAUUUCAUGCAUGGACAAUAAGAUGAGACCUUUACGUGACUUUUGGGUACCAGGAGACUAGAACUUUGAACUAGGGUUGUAGAUAUGACCUCAGAAGACCAAAUAAGAAACCCAAUGGAGACAACUCGACGAGUCUAUGAGAUGACUCAACGAGUCGGAGCGGGUUUGACCUGACACCCUUGACCCAGUGAUAACUCGUUGAGUUGGGGGUCAACUCAACGAGCUAAGUCAACCUUCACGAGACUUCGAGGAAAUCGAUGGGACUCGAUGAAUCACACGGGUGCACUUGGCGAGUCAGGUCAAUUAUGGGUUGUUGACUUGAGUUUGACUCUGUUGACUUUAGGGUUUGGUCGACAGAAGAAAUGGAGACCUGGGAGGGGUAAAAUGGUCUUUUAGCAUUCCAAGAGAUUGUAGAGAUAGGAGGAACAACCUUUGAUAUAUUUGAGUAUGAGUAGAGUAUUAAUUAGAGAUGUUUGCCUUAUGUGUUAGGCGGUGGUUGGUUCGAGAUUCGAGCGCUAGGAUUAGUGCUUGCUUUCUUUCGAGGUGAGUCUUCCCAUUAUACUUUACCUAGAGUGGUGGUUAUGUGUGACCAGAGGGACUUAUGUGAUUUCCCUAGUGUGCAUUUUCUAUGUGAUAUGUGUUGUAUGCUAUAUUAUGUGAUAUUUAGACUGGAUCAAAUGGUCCAACGGAUUAUGAGAUCCGAAGGUCCUCACUUAGACCGGACCAAAGGGUCCAACGAGCAAUAAGACCGUAGGAUUUUCACUUAGACCAGACCGAAGGGUCCAACAAGCAGUAAGACCAGAGGAUUUCACAUAGACCGGACUAAGAGGUCCAAUGAGCAGUGAAACCGGAGGAUUUUCACUUAGUCCGGACCGGAGGGUCCAACGAGCUGUGGGACUUAAGGGUCCUACUGAGACACAUUGACCAGAAGGUCUUACAGAGCUAUAGCCUCGAGUGGCUAAUUAUUUGUGUGUGGUAUUUUGAGGAACUCACUAAGCUUCAUGCUUAUCGUGUUAUGUGAUAUGUGUUUCAGGUUUUUCUCAGGAUUGCGGGAAGGCACUAGCUUGAUUGUACACAUCAAAGCAGGAGUUAUGCUUUGAGGAUCCUGGAUUAUUAAUCAAGCAAUUAUGGAUUUGUGUUUUAUAAAAUUAAACAAAUGAGAUUUUUGUGAUAAGUUUUUAUCUGAUUUUAAAAUGAAAAAUUUGUUCGAAAAUUUACGGUGUUACAAGUUUGUAUCAGAGCCUUAGUUUGAGGGAUUCGGAUGCACCUUCGGGUAUGUCUGGACUCAAACUGAGGAUUUGAGAAAAAAUUUCAAAAUACAUGAAUUUUUCUAAAAUGAGCAAAGAAUUUCUUAGAGAAAAACGAGAAGGAGCAAUGUGUACAAUCAGCUAGAGCCCGAACGGUGAUUUCCCAAAAUGCCCCUACUUUUGUGUUAUGAAUUAUUUAUGAGAUAUUAUGCAUGCUAGAGAGUAGGCUAGGUAUUUCAUAUUUUAGGACUAGACUGGCCUGAUUUAUGAUGCCUUAGCCUAGGAGCUGCUGCUAUCUGUGAUUUGCUUUUGAUUAUGCGCGGUGUAAGAGUAUCCAACAUGAAUCCUUUGGAGAAAGUUUUAAGUAGAGGAGUAAUCUAGGAGAGGUACGUAGACGAGCAUCAGAUGAGCCUACUGAGAAGUAGUUAGAUGCCCGCAUGAGGGUGGAGUUGCUUGAGUUCAGUGACACCUUUGAGUGUGUGUAGGGCAAGUGGAGUUGUAACUUAGAGUGGCUUUACGUGCUGGAAGAGAUUAUUCAAUGCACGAAUGCUGCUUGCUUUGUGCUUUGUGGAACUCUUGAUGAUGGGAGUCAGUUACUAAGUAAAUAUGACGAUAUUCAGGAGGUAGAUGGCUGGCAUCAUAAGGAGUUCUUCAGCAGCUGAUGGCAGAGAAGUGUGAGAACCUAGGAAGAGCCUAGAGAGUGACCUUUGUCAAGUGAGUAUGCUGAUACAGGAGAGUAUUCGCAGGAGAGCGACCAGGUAUGACGAGAUUAGUGAUUAAGGAGGUUGAGCAGCUACUUAGGAAAUUUGGGAUGAUUCGUGUGGAAAGUAUGGGUAGACGUGGCAGGUAGUAUGGGCCCGAACUAUUGAAAGCAGAGGACCCAUACUCAAUACAGGGAAAAUUCCAGAGGUUCUAAGUUGCAGAUUAAGAGGAGAUAUCAUGGUUCGAGUACCAUGAUUCGUGAAGGAUAGUGCUUCUGGUUUACCAGUUAUCCCGUUGAGAUUGACCAGACUGGGAUCAUAUAUGAUAGAGUGUGGGGCCAGAGGGCCAUGUUGGAAGAGUUUCAAUGGAGCAUACCUUGAAGAGAAAUCGAUUUGGUUUCCGAGAGAUUUUGGUGAGAUGUCAGUUGGAGUCGCAAGACUCAGGGAUGAGUAGAGGUGGUGCUUUACGGAGGAUUACGGUUUGAGCUAAGCAGUCAGCCGAUAGCGGAAAUGCCACUUUCUGUGACCAAAGUUGUGCUAUUUUCUGUGAUAAGCGGAAGGGAUAUUGAGCUUUCGGUUUCAGAGUUGGAGGUAGAUUGACAAUGAGAAUGAGACCUAUUGCUUUCAUGAUUUUUACGAAUUGGAAGCUGGUCGAGAGGUCAAAAUUGAAGUGGGUGAUAGUGCAUUAUUUCCGGACCGAGAGUUAGAACUAAUUUGGAACAGUGGGGUACCCGGCGGUGUGACGGUCUAAGGCUUCGAGAUGAAUAGAGGCAGUCACGUUGGGAGAAUUCUGAGAUGCUGUCAGGGACGGGAUAUUUGGAGAUUGUUUGGUUUCCACUGGGAAAGUCUUUGAGUGAUUAUGUGGUACGUUUCCAAGAUUCAAGUGUAAUAUGCCCGGUGAAGCAGUCUAUGGAGUAGAUUGUGGGUAUGCCAAUUGGUGACGAUUCGGACCCUAAGUGGGGGAGAACUAUAUAUUCGAGUGAUGAGAUCUGUGAUCCGUUCAAGUGAGGUUAGAGAAAUGAUUAUGGAGAUCUAUAGUGUGGUCUCAUGAGACAUGGGUUAUUGGUGAAUGAGGCGAGGUGACAGAUGGGAAGAUGUAUGAGUAUGUGUUUAAGAAAGGGUGAGUGAAUCCACGGUGAGUGGCCCUUGGUUAGAGGAUUUGUUGUGGCUUGGGACCUUUCGGGCUUACAAAUGUCAAGUUCAAGUGUGGUUGGGUUGCUGAAUUUGGGGUGUAAGAACAGAGAUUUGCAAGUAUGGGUAUAGAUUGUGAUCCAUACUCUAGGAAGGACAACAAUUUAAUUGUAAACCAAUUUUAGAGUUGGUAUGAGUAGUUCCGUAUGGGUAGUGAUCAGUCGAAGGUAGAGCUUCGGAUUUUCGUCAACGUGUUUUGAGUCAUUAUUGAUGCCUUUAGGUUGCAAAUCGAGAAUUGGAAUGUUCCAAGGUUAAAAGUGGUGCGAGAAGAAGAUCGGUUGUGAGAUUCUGAAGGGGCAAUGCGGUAUAUGAGUAUGAUGUUGUUAGUAUGACAUCAGUGGUUGAGGCAAGACAUCGUGAGGUUUUGUGAUGGUAUACUGAGGUAUCCGGGUAUGAUGUCCUAAAUUUCGAAGUAUUUUGAGUAUUGAAUUUGAGAUGGCAAGUGGUGUAUAAUGUAUUUAUGAUCCCAGUGGGAGCCCUUCGGCUAAUUGAUGUCAAGCGAGAUUAUUUAAGAAUGUGAAUUGCAACGAGAAAAGGGGUUUUGUCAUGACGGUUGCCAUCAGGAAUAGUGAGGCUUAUUUUGGAUGGGUGUGUGUGCACACCUAUAUUGAGUUGCGGAGCAUGAGUUGAUGAACUCAGUAUAGUAAUGACUUGACGAUGAGAUUAUGGGGUGAUAAGAAGGCAAGUGGAUUCGAGUGGGAGAGUGUUGUGAUACUGUGGGGAUCCGUAGUACUCCCUGGUUAGCGAGAGAGUGUUGUGAUACUACGAGGAGGAGUCGUAGCGCUCAAUAGUCGAUAUGAGUGAAAACUGUUCUGAGGAGAACUAUAGUUUUCACUAGCCGGAGCAAGACACGGAGGAGCUCCUAGGCUUGGGUAGCCUUACCAUUAGGUCUUUCGGAACUUGGUUGCUAGUUCAGGGGUGAGAUUGGGGUCUCCGUGUCGGUCAAGGUUUGUUGUAUCCCGGGUUGAGGAGGGAUUAUCCUAAAUGGAAGGAAUUGGAGAGUUGGUGUAGGCGUCAAUUCGUGAAUCGCGGGUGUAGGUCCAGUGUCAGAUUGGAAAUGAGUGGUUCCAACUCUGCGUCGGGCCAAACUCCCAAGUUUGAGUUGGAUUUAGUGGUGUAACAAGAAGGCGGAAUGAGAUUCCGGGCUCAGGAGUGAGUUCCAUUUUGAGAGAUAUUGUUAAUCAUCCAAUGUCUUAGACCUAUGUGGGUCAGUUCGUUUGUAAGGUAAGGACCGCGGUUGGAAUUGUAAUGUUCGCAUGGGGUAAAUUGAACUUCGUGACUUGUGUUUCAUACUGGGCCAAGAUAGUUAUUGUGAGAAAGAAGUCAGUGAGACAUUUUGGGUGUGCAAGGGGUAACCCUUGGAGGUACAACUGUUGGGUCGGGAGAUGACCUAGUGCUGAGUGCUAAAAGGGAUAAUUGAGAAGGAAGUUGGGGUUUGUGAUUGUUAUAUGUCAGAUGGAUGCUUCUGAGCAGAUAUGGUCUUUUUCUUGUGUUAGAGGGCAAGGUGUUGGGAGUUCAUUGUUUAGAUGGGUUUUAAUUGCAGUAUAGUGAGUGGGUAUCUGGUUUGAUAUGAUCCUUUCCAUUUCUCAGAAUAUGAUAUGGAUUGUUUAAUCUAUCUGGUUUAAGUGAUCGGCAACUGAUUUUUUUAGCAUUGUCUUGUUUCACUAAUCGCAAGAAGAGAAUUGGAAGGGCAAGGAGUUAUCGUGCUCUGCUAUUCAAGGAGCAGAUAACAUGGUGAUAUUUUGAGAGGGCGGUCUGACAGUGACACAGGCCACUAGUGUUACCAGAGUCUAGAGAGUCAGAAGGGGGAUCGUAACAGCAGAAGGGUCUAUCUUCUUCCGAGUUUGGGAGUUCCGGUUUGGAUUUAGGCGUUCAUGGAGGAAGAUAGUUAUGUAUUAUGAGAUCCUUUUGCUGGUAUUUUUGGGUUUGGGUUUGAUUUAUGUGUUGUUGUAGAGCGAUUUUGAGGGCGAAAUCAAAUUCAAGUGGGGGAGAAUUGUAACAUCCGGAUUUCCAGGUAUAUUAUUUUAAUCAUCUAAUUUGAGAAUUUUGGAGGGACUCGACGAGUUGGUGCCUCAACUUGUCGAGUAGGGUCGCAAAUGAUGACAAGGAUUAAUGAGUGGACUCGACGAGUCGAUGAGCUGACUCACUGAGUCAGCACUGUUGACGGAAACCCUAAUUUUCUCGGGCCUGAGCCUAUUUAAAGGCACUUAUAACCUCCAUAUCAUCUCCAUCAGUGCCCAUUUGACCCCUAAGAGAAACCCUAGCAUUUAUUGUGAACAAGAGAGGGAAGGAGGCUCAUUUGAAGUCAUUCUCUUAAGAGGAAGAGCAAGGUAGUGGAUCUGUUUCAUCUUCAUUUUAGGCUUCAGAUCUAGGUAUAAGCUCUUACUUUCUUUGUUGAUUGAUUAGAAUCCUUGGUUGUGAAAUUAGGGCUUGUAUCACCUUUUUGAUGGGGGUUUUGGGUCCAUCAAACCCCCCUUGCGAGUCAUUCUAUAGAUCUGGACCUUGUAAGGUUAAGAAAGUCAAAAAGUACAAAGCUAUGACUGAGUAACCAUGGAGCGUUGAAGCUAAGAAGCUUUAAUGGAGUCUUAAUGGCAUAAGAGCAAUAUAUUCCAUGCAUGGACACAAAGAUCAGGCCUUUACGUGACUUUUGGGUACCAGGAGGCUAGAACUUUGAGCUAGGGUUGUAGAUAUGACCUCAGAAGACCAAAUGAGAAACCCAAUGGAGACAACUCGCCGAGUCUAUGAGAUAACUCGACAAGUCGGAGCGGGUUUGACCUGGCACCCUUGACCCAGUGAUAACUCGUUGAAUUGGGGGUCAACUCAACGAGUUGAGUCAACCUUCACGAGACUUCGGAGGAAAUCGAUGGGACUUGAAGAGUCACACGGGUGCACUCGGCAAGUCAGGUCAAUUAUGGGUUGUUGACUUAAGUUUGAAUCUGUUGACUUUAGGGUUUGGUCAACAGGAGAAAUGGAGACCAUGGAGGGGUAAAAUGGUCUUUUAGCAUUCCAAGAGAUUGUAGAGAGAGGAGGAACAACCUUUGAUAUAUUUGAGUAUGAGUAGAGUAUUAAUUAGAGAUGUUUGCCUUAUGUGUUAGGCGGUGGUUGGUUCGAGAUUCGAGCGCGAGGAUUUGUGCUUACUUGCUUUCGAGGUGAGUCUUCUCACUAUACUUUACCUAGAGUGGUAGUUAUGUGCGACCAGAGGGUCUUAUGUGCUUGCCCUAGUGUGCAUUUUCUAUGUGAUAUGUGGUUUGUGCUUAUAUUAUGUGAUAUUUAGACCAGAUCGGAGGGUCCAACAGAUUAUGAGACCGGACCGAAGGGUCCAACGAGUAGUGAGACCGGAGGAUUUUCACUUAGACCGGAUCGGAGGGUCGAACUAGUUUUGGGACUGGAGGGUCCCACUGAGACACAUUAACACGAAGGUCUUACAGAGCUAUAACUUCGAGUGGCUAAUUAUUUGUGUGUGGUAUUUUGGGGAACUCACUAAGCUUCGUGCUUACCGUGUUAUGUGAUAUGUGUUUCAGGUUUUUCUCAGGAUUGCAGGAAUGCACAAGCUUGAUUAUACACACCAGAGCAGGAGUUAUGUUUUGAGGCAUCUGGAUUAUUAAUCAAGCUAUUACGGAGUUGUGUUUUAUAAAAGUAAACAAAUGAGAUUUUUGUGAUAAGUGUUAUGAGAAUUAUAUGAUUUUAAAAUGAAAAAAUUAGUUCGAAAAUUUACGGUGUUACAAAAGUGUUCCAAAAGUAACUCAAAAACAUGGAAUCCCUAUCAUAAACAAUAGUUUUAGGAAUAAUAUGCAAGCGAACCACCUCUUUAAAGUUCAAAUCACACACAUUAGAUGCAUCAUUGGCUUUAUGACGUGGCACAAAGUGAGCAAUUUUUGAAAACCUAUCCACCACCACUAUAAUGGAAUCCUUCCCCCUUUGAGUUCUAGGCAAAGCUAUAAUGAAUUCCAUUGACACAUCUUCCCAAGGACGAAUAAGAACCGGCAAAGGAGUGUAAACACCAUGCUUGAAAGUUUUUUUCGUCAUCUCACAUGUAACAAACUUGGCCACUAUGUUGGUUACAUCCCCAACAUCUUAGGCCAAAAGAAAUGUUCUUAAAGCACCUCCAAAGUUUUGGUAAUGGAAAAAUGACCCGCCAAACCACCACCAUAAGCUUCACUAAUCAGAAACUCCCGUAUUGCAUGUUUAGGGACACAAAAAUGAUUAUCUUUUGAUGCCUUUAUGGGCUUGAUUAAGUGAGUAGGGUUGAGUAUGGGAAGAAAUUGAUAGAUUAGUAACAAAUCAAGACCUACUAAGCUACAUACCGGUUAAAACAAUCCAAGACAUAUUUGAUUGAAUGCGUAUCAAGUCAAGAACAUGUUUUGACUAUGACAAGUAGUGAACUAUAACGAUAAUUCAAAGUGAACAAAGGUUCUUUCGAUUAAAAUUUCAUCUAUCUCCUUUUUCCAUGCAUAAAAUUAGCUCAUAUGAAACCUUUAUUACAAAAUUGGUGGUUACAAGCCACUCAACCAACUACUCAAUAAAACUAAAAAUGAAAAUUAAAUAAACUCAUGAAACCACACAAAAAAAGUCUAACACACUAUUGAAUGAAAAAAAAACGUCCAUGCUCCAUUAAGGAGCCAUUAGAAGCAUUAAAGUGUAACCCUAAUCCACCAAAGAGUAUCAAAUUGGCUAGGAGGCUUUAUGAAGUAAAAAGUAACGGUUUUGAGCACUUAUGAAGCCAUUAAAACGUUGCCCUAGCCUUCAUGCGACCAUAAUUCAACUCGUAGGUUACCACGCACAACCCAACCAUUGAGCCUAAACCACCUUCUACCCUACUAGUAAUCACUAAUCCAUCACCUUGGGCUUUCAUGAUCCAUGGAUGGAUCAUCCUCUCCCUAUUUGAAAGGAAAUGACCUCAAUUCAUCAAGGCCAUCCUCAACAACAUAAGGUCAAAGGUCUCCUAACUUUAUAUCAUGUGUGGUGUAGUUGACUUCAUGUGUCUUUAGCUUUCUUGAGGCAUAGGUGAUAACCUUACCUCAUUGCAUAAGAACACAACCGAGUCCUUGGUUGGAUGCAUCGCAAUAAACCACAAAGUCUUCUAUACCUUCUGGUAGGGAUAGUAUCGGUGCGCUGCAUAAGCCUCGCUUCAGUGUUUGGAACGCUUUUUCUUGUUUCUCUUCCCAGUCAAAGGACACGCCCUUCUAAAUCAAUGUUGUAAGCGGUUUAACGAUCAUAGAGAAGUUUUGAAUAAACCUACGAUAAUAGCCAGCGAGACCAAGAAAUUGACGAAUUUCUGUAGGUGUCCUGGGAGUUGACAUGUUCUCAAUGGCCCUAAUUUUGGAAGGGUCCACGUGAAUUCCUUCUUCGCUAACCACAUGACCCAAGAAUUCGACUCUUUGGAUCCAAAAUUCGCACUUUGAGAACUUUGCGUAGAGCUUCUCUGACCUGUCGCAGAUGUUGACUAUGCUCUUCCUUGCCCCAAAAGUAGAUAAGUAUGUCAUCGAUGAACACAAUGACAAACUGAUCUAAGUAAGGACGGCACACCCUAUUCAUUAAGUCCAUGAAUACUACACGUCCGUUGGUUAAUCCGAAUGGCAUCACCAUAAACUCGCAGUGUCCAUAACGAGUUCGGAAGGUUGUCUUAGGAACAUCCUCCUCUAAAACUUGUAACUGGUGAUAACCGGAUCUCAAGUUUAUCUUUGAAAAGUAACUCGCCCCUUGAAGUUGGUCAAAUAAAUCGUCUAUGCGAGAUAGAGGGUAACUAUUUUUGACGGUAAGCUUGUUGAGUUCUCUAUAGUCGAUACACAUACGGAACGAUCCGUCUUUCUUUUUCACGAAUAAGACCGGUGCUCCCCACGCCGAGAAGCUUGGUCUAAUAAAGCCUUAUUGAGCAGUUCGUUAAGUUGACUGGAUAGUUCCUGCAUCUCAGCUGGUGCUAGACGAUAGGGCGAUUUGGCUACUGGGGUAGCCCCUGGAACUAAGUCGAUUCUGAACUCGACUUGACGUUGUAGUGGCAAUCCUAGUAGUUCUUCCGGGAAGAUGUCGGGAAAGUCGCGAACUUCUGGGAUGUUCUUUAUGUCUUUUGUCUCUUGGCUCGUAUCGACACCAUGAGCAAGGAAUGCAUGAUGUUCUUUUCAUAAUUACUUCUGGGCUUGUAUACUUGAGAUGAUACGAAGGUUCGUGCCGGGUUUGUCGCCAUAGAUAAAUAGGGUUUCGUUAGAUGGUAGAUUAAGACGAACAACCUUCUUAUAACACAUGAUGUCAGCACGAUGAAGACUCAACCAAUCCAUGUCGAUUAUGAUGUCGAAACUUUUAAUUGAGACCAGCAUGAGGUCAAUUGGGAAUGAAUGGCUAUCUAGGGUUAGAGUCCAUCCUAUGUACUAGUGCUCUUAGUUUUUCCGUUAUCCAAUUCUACAGUGAACGGUUCUUCCAAUGUACGUGAUUUUUGUUUAAGUAAAUGAGCAAAUUUCUAGUUCAUGAAACUUCUCUCAGCUCCACUAUUAAAUAGUAUGCAUGCAUUUGAGUUAUCAAGGAGAAACAUACCAGUGACCACUGCAGGGUCGGCAACUACUUCCUCGUGGCCUAUAGCCAAAAUUCUUCCCACUCCGCCCGCGUUCCCUGCCUUCGGGCAGUUUUUUUGUAGUGACCCACCUUGCCACAUCCGUAGCAAGCCUGGCCCACACCAACACUGGGGACUUGGUUGAUUGGCCUUGCCGGAGACUUGCAGAAAUGGGCAAUGUGCCCCUUCCUGUUGCAGUUAGAGCACAGCAUUUCUCAGCAGGGUCAAAUGUUGUGGAAGCUGCACUUGGGCAAACUCCCAGCAUACUGCUUUAUCGGUGCAGUAGCAAUAGGUGCUAUCGUAGUAUGAACAACCACAACCUGCUGCUUCUUGGCAAAUUUCUGCGCUGCGUUGUUCUUUUUCUUGUUAUCCCAAAACUUCUGCUUGUUGUCAGUGGCUUUGGAUAGUUCUGGGAUGGCCAAGGUUAUUGUAGUUGGGGUGCGGACUCCAUGAUCGAUGAGCCGCUGUGCCAAUCGUUAGGCACUAUCGAAGGUAGUGGGGUUUGAAGCUAAGACAUUCCCCUGGAAUGGAGGCACCAGCCCCUAGAUAUACCUCUUAACUUUCUUUCCCUCAGUAGGGACCAUUCCUGGACAUAAUGUCACCAGAUCGCUGAAUCUGGCAGUGUAGGAAACUAUGUCGGAGCCCUUCAUGGUUAGGCUCUAGAGUUCUUGUUCUAGUUUCUGAACUUCUCCCCUUGGACAGUUUUCUUCAAUCAUGAGCUCCUUUAUUGCUUCCCAGCCCAUAGCAUUAGCCACUAUCAGGGUUAGUGACUUGACAUGUCUAUUCCACCACGUCGGGGCUCUGUCCACGAAGGUGCAGGCAGCAAAUUUAACUUUGCUCCCUUUCGGACAGGAGUAGAUCUCAAAGAUCGACUCCGUCUUCUCGAAACAUUGUGAGAGGGCAAUGAUUCCACCAGUCCCGUUAAAGGUCUUAGGCUUGUAGUUUGUGAAGUCCUUCUACAAGCACUCUCUAGAGCGCAAUGGAGCAUCACCUUGAGUGGAAUGCAUAGUUGUUCCACUUCCGCUAGUACCAUCAGCACUGAAAUGAGCUAAGUCUGCCAAAACAGCCACAACCACUGUAGCUUGGAUAGCUGCUGGAUUGAAUUGAGAAGGAGGUGAUGGUGGUUGAGUUCGAGUUAUCGGAGUACUACGCCUCAUCGAUUGACAUGGAGGCAUUUUUCAACUAAAAAUUUACAAAGAUGAAUCGCCAUACCCCACUAAUAGAUGAGAGUAUGAUUCGAAAUAGAGAUUUAGCAAUAGGAGAAUGAAAGCAUUUGGAUAAAGGUUUCCCAUAAGAUUAAAUGUAUGUCAAUGAUAUUAACAUUAACUAUGUAACAAGUUCGGGAAUAAUAACCUACGAGGAGGUCUUACAUCAACCAUAUAAGGAAAAUUUUGACAGUACUAAGACCUUACUAGACUAUUGAGUUCAAAGUCUCAUCAUAGACAGGAAAUUAAAACUAGAGCUAUUACAUAGACCUAAGUUAUAUGCAAAAGAAAAGUAGGGUAGACUCUACUGGCGACGAGAACGGCUCGGAUGAGUCCUUGAUUCUACAAGGCGACGUUCCAUGUCUCUCAUGUGCCUUUCAAACGUUGCAUGACAAGCUCGAAGUUCCCUGACUUCAGCUUGGGUUGUAGUGAGUUCUCCUUGCAGGGCCGCAUUCUGGCUCAGGGUUCUUCUAUGAGCAGUCUCUAGCUAGCGAAUGCGGACUGUAUUGACUCCCGCAUCGGUAUCAACCUCCAUGACUCGGUUGAUGGCUGCCAUACCCUGUUUGUAAUUGCGAGCAACCUUGCGAACCAAAAUAGGUAGGACUCUGUCUGUUGAGCCUCCCCGCUCAGAUUGUAAAAGCUUCGGUCUCCGUUGUAGGGUAAGGGUUGACCCUGUUCGUGACUCCAUCUAUUCAAGUUUGUUGCCCACUGAGGUAUGGGGCCUUGAAAUCCUGGUCGAGGGAUAGGAUUUAGGAUAGGAGCCACUAAGGGUAGGUUAUUGACUUCUGGCUCGGAAUCAGAAUCCUCUGGGAAGUCUUCUCCGAAUUCAUCCUCCAAAGGGAAUGCUUGAUUCUCAUCUGGCUUUGCAUCGAGCCAUCCGGCAUUACCUUGGUUGGGAAAGUACGGGUCGCCAGGGAGAUGGAAUCCAGCCAUGUUAUCUAGACGAGAAAAGAGAUGAAAGGGAUAGUUAAUAGACGUACUACUUAAGAUAAUUAUAGGAUGAUCUUUACCAGCUACUUCAAUACUUACGCAGUGCAUACUAAUUAAAAUAGGAUAGACCUUCGAAUAAGUGACCCUAACUCCAAAUCCACAACCAAACAAGGAACAGGAAGUAAAGCAAAGAUCACAGCUUCUGAGUCUAUAACACCCUAGUCACAUAUAACCUUAGCAUAUACACUCAGCAACUAUUGACCUAUUAAUAAAGACCCUUUAGUUCGCAAUUAAGUAAUUAUAGUAACAAAAAAUACUCCUAUAGUAUUUUACGUAUAUGUUCUAUUCUAAAGUUUUCAUUGUAACACAUUAGAUGCAUCAUUCGCUUUAUGACGUGGCACAAAGUGAGCAAUUUUUUAAAACCUAACCACCACCACUAUAAUGGAAUCCUUACCCCUUUAAGUUCUAGGCAAAGCCAUAAUGAAUUUCCUUGACACAUCUUCCCAAAGACGAAUAGGAACCGGCAAAGGAGUGUAAAAACCAUGCUUGAAAGUUUUUUUUCGUCAUCUCACAUGUAACACACUUGCCCACUAUGUUGGUUACAUCCCCAACAUCUUAGGCCAAAAAAAAUGUUCUUAAAGGACCUCCAAAUUUUGGUAAUGGAAAAAUGUCCCGCCAAACCACCAACAUGAGCUUCAAUAAUCAGCAACUCCUGUAUUGCAUGUUUAGGGACACAAAGGUGGUUAUCUUUUGAUGGCUUUCUGGGCUUGAUUAAGUGAGUAAGGUUGUGUAUGGGAAGAAAUUGAUAGAUUAGUAACAAAUCAAGAUCUACUAAGCUGUAUACCGGUUAAAACAAUCCAAGACAUAUUUGAUUGAAUGUGUAUCAAGUCAAGAGCAUGUUUUGACUAUGACAAGUAGUGAACAAUAACGAUAAUUAAAAGUGAACAAAGGUUCUUUUGAUUAAAAUUUCAUAUAUCUCCUUUUUCCAUGCAUAAACUUGGCUUAUAUGAAGCCUUUAUUACAAAGUUAGUGGUUACAAGCCACCCAACCAACUACUCAGUAAAACUAAAACCGAUAAUUAAGGAAACUCAAGAAACCACAUAAAGAAAACAUCUGACACACUAAUGAAUGAUAAAAAAACGUCCAUGCUCCAUUAAGGAGCCAUUAGAAGCAUUAAAGUGUAACCCUAAUCCACCAAAGAGUAUCAAAAAUGGCUAGGAGGCUUUAUGAAGCAAAAUGUAACGAUUUUGAGCAUUUAUGAAGGCUUUAAAAUGUUGCCCUAGCCUUCAUGUGACCGUAAUUCAAUUCAUAGGUUACCAUGCACAACACAACCAUCAAGCCCAAACCAACUUCUAGCCUACUAGUAAUCACUAAUCCAUCACGUUGGGCUUUCAUGAUCCAUGCAUGGAUCAUCCCCUCCUCCUUUGAAAGGAAAUAACCUCAAUUCAUCAAGGCCAUCCUCAAUAAGAAAAGGUCAAAGGUCUCCCACAUUAAAGGUAGCACGCACUCCAUGGUCUCCUCCCAAAUCCACCUUAUAAGCAUUAUCAUUGACAUCUGAAACCACUUUGUAAGGACCAUCUGCUCUUGACAUCAACUUUUGUUCUUCCUUUUGUUAGGAAAAUGUUCUUUCCUCAUAUGCACCUACACCAAGUCACCAUCUUGAAAGACACAUGGUUUCCUAUCCAUGUUGGAAUUCUGUUUGUACAACUCUUACACGGCUACAAUCUUCACACAAACGUGUUGGUGUAGUUUCAUCAUGGCCUUCAACUUGUCAUUAUCAUCCUUGUGAACUAAUUCAUCCUUUGGCAAUGGAAUCAAAUCCAAAUUCAUGUAAGGAUUCACACCAUACACAGUUCAAAAGGAAAGUGACCUGUAGUAUAAUUAGGAGAACAAUUACAGGCAUACUCGGCAUGUGCAAGUUUGAUGUCGAAAUGUUUUUGAGUUUUUCUAACCAACCCCCUCAACAACGUAACUUAGUACUAAAAAUUAACUUAGUACCAACUUUUCUCCACAAAGUUGUGACAACCCAAAAAUUUUUGUUUUAUAAGUCCAGACAAUCAAUCGAGAGUCAGACCCGUUUCUGUUAUCUUCUAGCAUUGUUUAGAGUUUGUUUGAGUGUUCUAAGCCUAGUACAUUCAAGGUUUGGGUUUAAUGAUGAGUUAAUUUAGGUUCUUAAUGUUGCACUCGGGCUAAUGUCACACCCCGAAACCCAGGGCGGAAACAUUUCCGAGGCGGACUCCACGUUGAGUAUCAAAUCCAAUGUAUAUAGUAAGCAAAGUAAACUACCAUUACAUUACAUAUAUAGAUUUACAUCUGUUUGAAAACGAAGAGGUACAGUUCUUAUACAUAAGUAUAUAAGAACAAAAGUAAAGACGCAUCUUCUACACAUUCCGUCUUCGCCAAAAAGGAUCACUGGGUACCUGUCCAAUGUUCAUAAGUGGUUUUGUUUUAUGAAAAUGAUGCAAGUUUCCUUUCGUUUUCUGAAAAUGUUACACACCCAAGAAAAUCCCAUAUUUUCUUAAUUGUAAAGUUUGGUUAUUUGUUUCGUUAUACAAAUCUGGUUAUGAACAACUGUUAUCCCAGGAAAAUCCCAUAUUUUCCUAAAAGUUGGUUACCGAGCUGAGAUGUAAUGUAAAAGAUGUAUACUGAAAACCUGGUUAUCCUUGUGAAAUGUAUUAGUUUUAUCAUGUACAUAAAACUAAUAAGUGUAAAGUAAACUGGUUACUAACCCAUUAUUACUAACAAGUAAAUCUCUGUUAUCCAAAUUGCGAGUUCCAUAACCAUACGAUAGACUAGAUAUGACAAUAAGUAGUCCACAUCACCUUAUGAAUUUCGUCACCCUUGAACCUUUCGGUUUGGCUGUAGCUAGCAGUCGGGUGUGGGGUAGUCAGCCCCGUAUAGAUCUAUACACUCAAGUCACGCUCUCCCUCCAGGAGAUUCUGGUUACGNGGGGGCGGUCUCACUCGCGUAUCUCUGUGGAGUGUUACCGAGGAUGUGUCUCUAAUUUAUAGGAAUAACAAAUUUACUAGUAAUAAUACAGAAAGAUACUGUUACAAACGAUGGUCCUCCACUCGCGUAUCUCUGUGGAGUGUUACCGAGGACAAAACAAUGUACUAGGUUUCAUGUUCAAAGCUCAAAGGUUAUGCUUUUAACUGAUAUAAUGUGGAAAACCAUUUGUGAAAAUAUAAAGUACAACAUUUUAUAAUGUUUUUCACAAAUAAUACGAUAGUGUGUUCUGCAAGUUCAAACUGUUAUCUGUUAUGAUUAUCAGUGUUAAAAGCAUAUGUAAUAUGGAACACAACACAUGUAAAACAAGUUUUGAGUACAAGUAUUCCUUGUACUUUGCUUGUAUUCCCCCCUGAAAACAGUGAAAAACAUUGAAAAAGAGUAGGGGUAUGAACUCACCGCUUAAUGUAGGGUUCGAGUGUCAACGAAUGCCCUGAAUGCCUAUGGCCCCUAUUAUUCAUGUGAUGACACAUAAAUGAGUUAGAACUAAGGUGUUUCAUGACUAAACAUGAUGGGAAAACAUCCUUAGGGCUUGGAAUUACUAAGAAUAAGUGUCCUAUGAUCCAAACUUAAUGAUUUAUGCAAGUUUAGGGCCAAAUAUGGGCAUUAGAGUGGGUGUAUGGUCUUGAAAAUGAGUGUGCGGCUAGGGAGUGUGGCCAGUUGUGUGUGUGAGGCAGCACACAAGAGUGUGCGGCCGUACAGAGGGUGUGUGCGGUCGUACACAUGAGUGUGCGGCCGUACACUCCACAUUUGAGUCCAUAUGAUGAUUUUUUAAGUUUUUGCUCUUCACACUUGAGAGUUUUGAAUGUGUGCUGCCCCCAUAUGAAGAUGUGCGGUCGUACACCUUCAAGGGACGAUGCAUAUGAUGAACAUGAUGAGUUUUAAGCUUGGGAUUCAAGUGUUUACCACUAUAAUCAGCUUGAAGAUGGAGUAGAUCACGAUUAUGAAGCCUUCAAAGUGUUCUUGGUUGAUGAUUUAGAGAGAGAAAGUAGAGAGAGGGAAGAGAAACAUCUAAAUGAAUGAAUGAAGGGGUUACCAUCCAUAUAUUGAAUUGGGUGUNGAGGUUGAAGGUGUUUGCGGCUGGGUGUGUGGCCGCACACACCUUAUUUUGUGAGUUUGGCCAGAUUUUGUGAUGCUAAACACUCUCCAACUUCUCCUAAGACUCAUAUCUAGAUUAUACUAAGUCUAGAGCACCCAUAUGGCACCACAAGAUUUAACAAAAGAUUAUGAAUUCAAGUUUUAGUGCUGAUACCCGGUUCAAUUACAUAGGUUAGAAGUUUCGGGUUGUCACAUUAUCCCCUCGUUAGAGGGAAUUUUGUUCCGAAAUUCAGAAUUAAGAUACAAAUCAUGGAUUUGGAAAGAGAUGUGGAUACUUCUGUCUCAUCGAGUCUUCGUGCUCCCAAGUGAAUUCCGGUCCCCGCUUGGCAUUCCAGCGAACCUGCACUAUUGGGAUCCGACUUUGUUUUGUACGUUUGAUCUCUCGAUCCAUGAUUUCGAUUGGUUCUUCCACGAAGUUCAAGUUUUCGUUGAUCUCGAUUUCAUCAAGAGGGAUCACAAGGGUUUCAUCGGGUAAACACUUCUUAAGAUUAGAGACAUGGAAAACAGGAUGAAUGUUACUAAGCUCAUGGGGUAAUCAAAGUUUAUACGCUAUCAGAUCGAUCCUGGCGAGGAUCUCAAAGGGUCCAAUGUACCUCGGAUUAAGUUUCCCGCGCUUUCUAAAGCGUACCAUGCAUUUCCAGGGCGAGACCUUCAACAGGACACGGUCUCCAACCUGGAACUCCAGAGGUUUCCGUCGGUUAUCAACGUAACUCUUUUGGCGAUCUUGUGAAGCUUUCAAUCGUUCCCAGAUUUGGAUGAUCUUCUCGGUGGUUUCGCGAAUGAUUUCAGGACUAGUGAGAGCACUGUUGGGGAAUCGACUCUUGGCUAGCUGCGUGCCUACCUCAGCCCAGCAUAGAGGGGAUCUACACUUGCGACCGUAGAGGGCUUCGAAUGGGGCAGCCUUGAUGCUGGUGUGGUAACUGUUAUUAUACAAGAACUCGAUCAAGGGUAGAUGAGUGGCCCACGACUUUCCGAAAUCAAUGACACAUGCUCUCAGCAUGUCUUCCAGAGUUUGGAUAGUUCUCUCAAUCUGUCCAUCUGCUUGAGGAUGGUAAGCCGUGCUCAUGUCUAGUUUAGUUCCAAGAGCCUUCUGGAGAGAUUGCCAAAAUCUCAAUGUAAACCUGCUAUCUCGAUUAGAGAUAAUGGACACAGGUACACCGUGCAAUUGAAUUACCUCCUGGAUGUAGAUUCGCGUAAGUCUUUCCAUCUUGAAUGAUUCUUUGAUCGGAAUGAAGUGAGCGAAUUUUGUCAAACGAUCAACAAUUACCCAAAUGGUAUCGUACCCACUCGGAGAUUUGGGUAACUUGGUGAUGAAAUCCAUGGUAAUCAUCUCCCAUUUCCACUCGGGUAUUUCGGGCUGUUGGAGUAGUCCGGAGGGUUUCUGGUACUCAACUUUUACCUUGGCGCAAGUCAAGCACUUGCCCACAAAAGUAGCGAUAUCGGCUUUCAUGUUUGGCCACCAAUAUUGUCUCUUGAGAUCCAGGUACAUCUUAUCCGAACCCGGGUGAAUAGAGUAUCUGGUCUUGUGUGCUUCCUCCAUGACAACAUCCAUGAAUCCUCCGAACAUUGGAAUCCAGAUUCGGUCCAUGAAACAGUAGACUCCGUCACCUCUGAUCUCAAGUUUCUUAUCAAUUCCCCUCAAGGCUUCGCUUGACACAUUCUCAGGUUUAAGGGCUUCUAACUGGGCUUCUCGGAUUUGCAUGGAUAAAUGGGAAUGGAUAGUCAUCAUCAGGGUCUUCACUUUGCGGCUCGAACUUUCCUUUCGGCUAAGGGCAUCUGCCACCACAUUGGCCUUGCCGGGAUGGUAGCGGAUCUCGCACUCAUAAUCACUGAAUAGUUCUACCCAUCGUCGUUGCCUCAUGUUUAAGUCCUUCUGAUUGAAGAUGUGCUGCAGGCUCUUAUGGUCAGUGAAGAUCGUACACUUGGUUCCAUAAAAAUAAUGUCUCCAAAUCUUCAGUGUUUGCUCCUAACUCCAGGUCAUGAGUGGUAUAGUUGACUUUGUGUGCCUUCAGCUGUCUCGAGGCAUAUGCAAUCACUUUUCCCCUUUGCAUAAGCACACAGCCUAAGCCCUGGUUAGACGCAUCAUAAUAAACAACGAAGUCCUCUGUUCCUUCGGGCAGGGACAGGACCGGUGCGCUACAUAAGGCUCGCUUUAACGUUUGGAAUGCGUUUUCUUGCUUUUCACUCCAACAAAAGGGUACACCUUUCUGUGUCAGAGUGGUUAGAGAGGUUUGGCGAUUCUGGAAAAAGUUUGGAUAAAUCUCCGAUAAUAGCCAGCGAGACCGAAGAAUUGACGAAUUUCUGUGGGUGUCUUCGGUGCCGACCAAUUCUCUAUCGCUUUGAUCUUGGAUGGAUCCACGUGAAUACCCUCUUCGCUUACCACGUGACCGAGGAAAGUUACCUUCCGAAUCCAGAAUUCACACUUGGAAAAUUUCGCGUACAGCUUUUCGGAUCUAAGGGUUUCCAAUACUGACCUCAAGUGUUGCUUGUGAUCUUCUUCACUUCUGGAGUAGACAAGUAUGUCACCAAUGUGUUCACUAUAACGCACUUGUCUAAGAAGGGACGACACACCCGGUUCAUCAGGUCCAUGAACACAGCCGGUGCAUUGGUUAGACCGAAGGGCAUCACUACAAACUCGUAGUGUCCAUAUCGAGUCCUGAAAGCUGUUUUGGAAACAUCACUUUCAUGAAAUCGUAGCUGAUGGUACCCUGACCUAAGGUCUAUCUUUGAGAAGUAACUAGCUCCCUGAAGUUGGUCAAAGAGGUCAUCGAUCCGAGGAAGAGGAUAUCGGUUCUUGACGGUCAACUUAUUAAGCGGUAGUCGAUGCACAUUCGGAAGGAUCCAUCUUUCUUCUUCACAAACAAAACCGGAGCUCCCCAGGGUGAGGAACUCGGUCUGAUGAACCCUUUGUUGAGUAACUCGUUGAGUUGGCUGGAUAACUCCUGCAUUUUCGUUGGGGCUAAGCGAUAUGGAGACUUGCCUACGGGGGUAGCUCCAGGAAUUAGGUCAAUGCGAAACUCAACUUGAUGUUCUGGAGGAAUUCCUGGAAGCUCUGCGGGAAAGACAUCAGGAAAGUUACAGACUUUGGGGAUGCUCGUGAGGUCUUUAACUUCCUGUUUCUCGUUAAUGACAUGGGCUAAGAAUGCUUGACACUCCUUCCGCAGAAGCUUUUGAGCUUUGAUGCAGGAAAUGAUACAAAGAUUGGAGCUAAGCUUAUCUCCAUAGAUCAUGAGAGUCUGACUAGAGGGAAGGUUGAGACGAAUGGCUUUUUCGUAACAGAGGAUAUCAGCAUGAUUGGGACUCAACCAAUCCAUGCCAAUGAUGACAUCAAAGCUCUUGAUGGAAACUGGCAUAAGAUCGAUGGGAAAAGAAUGGUCGUUCAGGGUAAGGUAACCUAUGAAGAUAUCGCUAGCGUUUUCUUUCUCACCGUUAGCCAUCUCGACGGUAAAUGUUUUGGUUAAUGGUUGGGAAUUAUGUUUAAGGUUAUGCUUGAACGAAUGACUAACAAAGCUUCUUUCGGCACCCGAAUCGAAAAGAAUACUAGCAUACGAUUUAUCAAGAAGGAACGUACCCGAGACAACGGUGGGAUCGGCGACUGCCUCCUCUCGUCCCAUGGCUAGGACUCUCUCGGUGUUAUCAGUUGUCGCCUUCUUGGGGCAGUUUCUCUUGAAAUGCCCGACUUCUCCACAAUUGUAGCAGGCUUGACCAACACCUGCUCUAGAAGAUUGAUUGGCUGAUUGGGCUGGUGCUUUGCAGGAUUGGAUCGUGUGCCCCUUUUUACCACAGUUGGUGCAGGUAAGUUCACGGCAGGGGUCGGGGUUAUGGUGAUAUUUACACUUUUCACAUUGAGGAAGACUACCAGCAUACCUACUAGUAGGUGUUUGAGCUGUGGAUCCCACAACAGAAGCAGCAACAACUGGGGUAGUAGCAGCAUGGACUGCUACUGUCUGCUGUUUCUCUGAGGACCCUUGAGAAGAUUGGCCCUUCUUCUUCUUCUUCCAAAACUUCCUUUUCUCACCACUACUCUUGGUCGGUUUGGGGGUGGCGGUUGUUUCCUCAACAUCAUCAUUGUGGUAAAUUAGGGUAUGGGCUAAACUUUUGGCGUUGUCAUAUGUAUCCGGUUUCGCGGCUAAGACGUUUCCUUUUGUUGGCUGGGUCAAUCCCCAGAUGAAUCUCUCUAUCUUCUUACUCUCCGGGGUAACCAAUCCCGGACAGAGUAGUGCUAGAUCAUCGAAUCUAGAAGUGUAUGCAGCAAUAUCAGAACCCUUCAUCUUCAGGUUCCAGAGCUCGUGCUCUAAUUUUUGUAUUUCACCUCGAGGGCAGUACUCAGCUAGAAGGAGUUCUUUCAUGGCUUCCCAACCCAUAGCAUUGGCUCGGCCGUUCCACCAAGUCAGGGCUUUAUCGAUAAAGGUACAGGAUGCGAACUUCACUUUGUCAGAUUCCGAACAGGCACAGAUGUAACAACCCGAAAUUUAUAUCCCUAAAUGUAACCCUUUUCGCGACUCGUUCCGAUCAUCCAAUCGCCGUUUCCGAUUUCGGUAUUUUAUUAAAGUCAUUAAUGUGGAUUUUAUUUUAUGACUUAAUGAGUGUCUUAAUACCCUUAGAACUCAUUCUAACGCCUCGUAUUAAUGAUCGGACAUUUUUAGAAACAACCAUAUCGGGUUACGGCAAUUUGGCCGGGUGCGAUCAAAAGCCCCGUCUAACGCCGGUAUCGGGUAGAAUUCUACCGUGUCCCGAACUUGGACACUAUUUAAAGUGAUCCAAGUCUUCAUUUUGAAGCUUUUGCUUCAUUCUACAACUAUCACUCCAACCUCUCUCCUCAAACUAGAUUUAAAGGUCCAAAUCUCAAGUUUAAGGCUUCAAAUCUUCAAGGUAUCUUCCUAUACUCAUUGUGUAUCAUUUUGGACCUUCAAAUUCGAGAUUAAAUCAUGAUUUAGAGCCUUGUAUAUGAGUUUACGGCCCAGGAAGGUGCUUAGGCCGUAAACCCAUAUUUAAAGGGUUUUUAAGCCCUUAAACCCUUCCAUGACUCAAACUAGACCUAGAUAUGACUUUUAGUAAUUUGGUAAUGGACUUAGAACACUUCAAACAUGAAUUUUGGGGGAUUUGUAUGAGUUUACGGCCAAGGCAUGUGCUUGGGCCGUAAACUCCUAAAGCAUGGGUGUAAACUCAUUUCCAAGGUGUUAGAAAGCCAUCCAACACCACCAAAAGCCUUGGAAUAAAUCAUAGAACCAACCAAAAAUAGUUUAGGGACCUUAAACAUAACAAAAACUCACAUAUGAGAGUUUACGGCCUUAGAACAUGCUCCAGGGCCUUAAACUCCUAAAGGUAUGUCAAUUGUGCCCCAAAUUCAUUUCAAGGCUUGUAGGAAUUUUUAGAAUCACAUGUGAUUAACUUUGGGACAUUAAAAUCACUUAUUCAAGGGAGUAUGAGAGUUUACGGCCGUAAGCUCCAUGCUAGGGCCAUAAACUCCCUUAAGUGAUGUUAUUUGAUGAAUUAAAUUAAUUCCAAGCCUUAGGUAAAAUUGUUCCAACUCUUCCCAAGUGAUAUUGGCCAUUUAAGCUCCAUAACCCUUGCCAACAUGAGUUCACGGCCGUGAACUCAUGUGUAAGUAGUGUAUAAGGCCGUAAACUCAUUAGGAAGUUUACUCUUGGGGAGUAAACUCAAAUCCCAAGUCCCUCGCUUCAAUUCUUGUCCGUAGAUAUCACCCGGGUCACUCCAAACACUCGUUUUGAGGUGUUUUCGUUCGUUGGAGUGUAACUUCAUAUCUAAUUAAAGUUUAUGAAUCUAAUUAGAUAUAUUUGUAUGCCAUUUCAUUUUACAUAGGAACCUCGCGUGUUAUCAGGCCUCGAUUCGACGUUUAGCAUCCGAAAUCGACACAUUUUCGCAUCCGGUGAGUUCAUACCCCUACCCUUUUAAAUGGUUUUUCAAUGUUUUCAGGGGGGGAAUACAAGCAAAAGUACAAGAAUAUAUUGUACUUAAAUUUACGAUUUCAGUUAAAGGGUUUCAUAAUUGUAUAUUUUUAAGAAUUGAAAACCUUUUAACAAACUAUUUUUAACUUGCAGAGUUGUUUGUUUUAACCUGAUUUUCAAUUCUUAUUAUACACUGUUAUAUUGUAUACUUUACGUUUGAUUGUUCACACAUAAACUGAUAGAACACAUAAACCAUUGUAAUGUCUGUAAUAAAACACUAAGGUUCGAGUGUAAAAGACAGACACCAUCAGAAAACAUAAAACAUCCGUAUGUCCUUAACAAUACACCUAGGCUCGAGUGUGAUAGAUAAAUACAAUCAUAAUACACAAAUCAAUUGUAAUGUCCUUAAUAAUACACCUAGGAUCGAGUGUAAAGGACAAUCAUCAUAAGAUAACACAUAUAUCAUUUGUAACGUCCUUAAUAAUACACCUAGGAUCGAGUGUAAAGGACAGUCAUCAUUAGAUAACACCUAGGCUCGAGUGUAAAGGACAGGCACGUUAGAACUUAGUUAGUCGUAGAUACUACUUCCCUAGGCGAGAAGUGAUGAGUAAUCUUAAAGAUUGGAGACACGUCCUUGGUAACACGUCCCGUGGCACGAGAGUGGAGGACUACCCCUAUAACCAGAAUCUCCGAACGUAGGAGAGCAUGACUUGAGUAUACGUAUAGAUCUAUACGGGACUGACAAUCCCGCACCUGGCUGCUAGCUACAACCGAACCGAAAGGUUCAAGGGUGACGAAAGUCAUAAAAAGGAUACUGGCCACGACUCGAGUCAUAUCUAGUCUGAGUAUGGUUAAGGACUCGCAAUCAAGAUUAUUAACGCUUUACACUUAUUUAUUAGUUUUAUAUACGCAAUAAAACUAAUGUACGUUCAAGGAUGACAGGCACACACACAUACACACAUUCAGGAAAACAUGGGGUUUUCCUGGGAAGAACACUGAACAUAACCAGAAUCGGUAAUGAUACACAUACACACAUUCAGGAAAACAUGGGGUUUUCCUGGGAAGAACACUGAACAUAACCAGAAUUGGUAAAGAUACACACACACAGUCAGGAAAACAUGGGGUUUUCCUAGGGAGGACACUGAACAUAAUCAGAAUCAGUAACAGUUCACACACACAUGUAGGAAAAUAUAGGAUUUUCCUGAGUAACAGUAGUAUGUAACCAGAAAAGUGUAACAAGUUAGAUAACUAAACUUUACAAUUCACAAUAAACAAUCAUGUUUUUCAUUGUACAUCGUUUACUUUACUUUUCAGAUUUGGAAAUUAACUUUACAUAAGAAAAUAUGAGAUUUUCUUGGAUAACCACGUUUUCAGAAAACUAAGGGAACUUGUACAUUUUCAGAAAACAAAACCGCUUAUGAACUCACCAACUUUAUGCUGAUUUUUAAACCGCUUGUAUUCUCAGGUUCACAUGAGGUACCCGAAGAUCUUUUGUUCGAAGACGGAGUUCUCAGAAGACUCGUUUCGUGUUGUUUAUAUAUGAUAUGUAUCACUUGUAUAACUUAUGCUUUUGAAACGAAUGUAAUGAAAUCUAUGUAGUGUAAUGUUUUUGUUUUACUUUGCUUAAUAUGUACAUUGGUUAUGAUAUUCCCAUGAAGUCACCUCCACCCCGAGAUGUUUCCGCCUUCGGUUUCGGGGUGUGACAACAGAUCUCGAAGAUAUAUUCGAUUUUCUCGAACCAUCGGGUGAGGGAAAUGACACCUCCAGUGCCAUCAAAGGACGUGGGUUUCGCGUUCAUGAAAUCUUUAUAGGAACCCUCUUUUCGAUGUCCCAAGCUAUCUUCUUGGUUUUGGGGCUGAGGACCACCUCCUGAACUACCAGGGUUCAUUUGAGACAUGGCGGCUGCUACUGCGGCAGUAACAGCUGCCUGGAACAUCACAGGGUCAAAUUGAGGAGGAGGUGGUGGCGUAGAGGAUUGUUGUUCUUUGAGCUAGGUCUCUUUCUUGGAGGCAUCUUGAUCUAUAAAAAUCAGGNAGUAAUAAAUUAUCAAAGCAGAUAAAUUAUCGCUAAAAGAAUGAUCGAGGAGCAACGCUUGAAUGAGGAUUUCUACAAAGGAUUGACUCGAGAAAUACUCCUAUAGUAUUUCAUGAUUCGCUACGACGACGGCUCAUUGUUUGGGUAUUGGGUAAGUUUUAGGUAUGUCGCAUACUACAGUCACUCCCAAACACAUGUUGGUCGUGUCUCGAAUGAAUAUAGUUGGCCAGGCUAUAUUGAUCCUAGACACGACUACAUAACUGCCUAGGUUUAACCGUAGCAUACAACACCCAUUUACUAUGUUUUGUUCUACUUGUAAAUACGGAUCUCGACGGUUAGGUAUACUUAUAUACUUUUUGAAAAUACUUAUAUUUUAAAGUAUACUUUUAGUUCAGAGCACUUAGGCCCCUUAGUGUUUAUAGUCUUAUACCAUGUAAGGUUUGGUAUACUUAGUUCACUAUAAACAUGGGCUUUGAUACCAAUCUGUCACACCCCGAAACCCAAGGCGGAAACAUUUCCUGGGCAGACUCCACGUUGAGUAUCAAAUCCAAUGUACAUAGUAAGCAAAGUAAACAACCAUUACAUUACAUAUAUAGAUUUACAUUUGUUUGAAAACCAAGAGUUACAGUUGUUAUACAUACAUAUAUAAGAACAACAGUAAAGACGCAUCUUCUACGCAUUCCGUGUUCGCCCAAAAGGAUCAUUGGGUACCUGUCUAAUGUGGACCUGAGAAUACAAGCAAUUUAAAAAUCAGCAUAAAGCUGGUGAGUUCAUAAGUGGUUUUGUUUUUUGAAAAUGAUACAAAUUUCCUUUCGUUUUCUAAAAAUGUUACACACCCAAGAAAAUCCCAUAUUUUCUUAAUUGUAAAGUUUGGUUAUCUAUUUCGUUAUACAAAUCUGGUUAUGAACAACGGUUAUCCCAGGAAAAUCCCAUAUUUUCCUAAAAGUUGGUUACCGAGCUGAGAUGUAAUAAGAUUUAUACUGAAAACCUGGUUAUCCUUGUGAAAUGUAUUAGUUUUAUCAUGUACAUAAAACUAAUAAGUGUAAAGUAAACUGUUUACUAACCCAUUAUUACUAACAAGUAAAUCUUUGUUAUCCAAAUUGUGAGUUCCAUAACCAUACGAUAGACUAGAUAUGGCUAUAAGUAGUCCACAUCACCUUAUGACUUUCGUCACCUUGAACCUUUCGAUUCGGCUGUAGCUAGCAGCCGGGUGUGGGGUAGUCAGCCCCAUAUAGAUCUAUACACUCAAGUCACGCUCUCCCUCCAGGAGAUUCUGGUUACGAGGGCGGUCCUCCACUCGCGUAUCUCUGUGGAGUGUUACCGAGGACGUGUCUCCAAUUUAUAGAAAUAACAAAUUUACUAGUAAUAAUACAGAAAGAUACUGUUACAAACGAUGGUCCUCCACUCGCGUAUCUCUGUGGAGUGUUACCGAGGACAAAACAAUGUACUAGGUUUCAUGUUCAAAGUUCAAAGGUUAUGCUUUUAACUGAUAUAAUGUGGAAAACCAUUUGUGAAAAUAUAAAAUACAAAAUUUUAUAAUAUUUUUCACAAAUAAUACAAUAGUGUGUUCUGCAAGUUCAAACUGUUAUUUGUUAUGAUUAUCAGUGUUAAAAGCAUAUGUAAUAUGAAACACAACACAUGUAAAACAUUGAAAACAAUGAAAACAAUGUAAUAUGUAGAACAUAUGUAAUAGUGUGUUCCUUGUACUUUGCUUGUGAUUCCCCCUGAAAACAAUGAAAAACAUUGAAAAAGAGUAGGGGUAUGAACUCACCGCUUAAUGUAGGGUUCGAGUGUCAACGGAUGCCCUGAACACCUAUGGCCCCUAUUAUUCAUGUGAUGACACAUAAAUGAGUUAGAACUAAGGUGUUUCAUGACUAAACAUGAUGGAAAAAACAUCCUUAGGGCUUGGAAUUACUAAGAAUAAGUGUCCUAUGAUCCAAACUUAAUUAUGCAAGUUUAGGGCCAAAUAUGGGCAUUAGAGUGGGUGUAUGGUCUUGAAAAUGAGUGUGCGGCUGGGGAGUGCGGCCAUGAGUGUGUGUGAGGCAGCACACAAGAGUGUGCGGCCGUACAGAGGGUGUGUGCGGCCGUACACUCCUAAUUUGAGUCCAUAUGAUGAUUUUUGAAGUGUUUGCUCUUCACACUUGAGAGUUUUGAAUGUUUGCUGCCCCCAUAUGAAGGUGUGUGGCCGUACACCUUCAAGGGACGAUGCAUAUGAUGAACAUGAUGAGUUUUAAGCUUGGGAUUCAAGUGUUUACCAUUAUAAUCAGCUUGAAGAUGGAGUAGAUCAUGAUUAUGAAGCCUUCAAAGUGUUCUUGGUUGAUGAUUUAGAGAGAGAAAGUAGAGAGAGGGAAGAGAAACAUCUAAAUGAAUGAAUGAAGGGUGUAUCCAUCCAUAUAUUGGAUUGGGUGUGAGGUUGAAGGUGUUUGCGGCUGGGUGUGUGUGGCCGCACACACCUUAUUUUGUGAGUUUGGCCCAAUUUUGUGAUGCUAAACUCUCUCCAACCCUUCCUAAGACUCAUAUCUAGAUUAUACUAAGUCUAGAGCACCCAUAUAAAAGAUGAUGAAUUCAAGUUUUAGUGUUGAUACCCGGAUCAAUUACAUAGGUUAGAAGUUUCGGGUUGUCACAGCUAAACACUCCAUCAAGAGGAGUGUACGACCGCACACAUGGGUGUACGACCGUACACUCAAGCUGGCCAUAAACCUAUGACCAUAUAUAAGCUAUUCCUUCAUUCCUUCACACUUUUCACACUUCCAAGUCUAGAAAAUCAGUUCUCUCUCAAGUAUCAUCAAGGUUCUUCAUCCUAAUCCUCCAAAAUCAUCUUCGAAUCAUCAUCUUUCACCAAGAACACAAAGAACACAUAGUGGUUCUUGUCCAUGAACCCCCUUCAAGCUUCCAAAUUGUAAGUAUCCUUUCCAUAUACUUAGUAUACAUUAGAACCACUUGAUUCAAAGCCUUGAAACAUCAUCAAACUUAAGAUCAUCAAGGGUGUACGGCCGUACACACAUCAAAACCCUCCAAAUUGAUAAUUUUCUCCAUCCUCUUGUUGUGAAUUUGUCACACUAGUUUCCCCAGGGAUCAAACACCCCCUUUUCUGUGACAACCCGAAGUUUGUUCCGUCGUCGUAACCCGUUCCGUCAUUAAAAAUUCGUCGUCUUGAAUUGUUUCCGGUUCGUUUCUAAAUUAAGCCAUUUAUUUUGAGUUUGCUAUUAUGAUUUAAUAAUUGUCCAAACAUGUUAGAAACUCAUGAAAAUGCCCCAAAUUAUUAUUUGGAAAAAUUUUAGUUUUAUUCCGUCGAGUUAUAAAACAAUUAAAUUUGGUACGACCAAAAGCCUCGCUUAACAUCAGUAUCGGGUAGAAUUCCACCGUGUCCCAAACUUUAAGAAUAUAUAAAGUUGAGAGAGCCUCAUUUUAAGGCUUUUCCACUCUCUCUCUACUCUCUCUCUCUAACCUCUCUCCUCAACUCCAAGUUCUAGGUCCAAAAAUCAUCCAAAACAAGCUUCAAAUCAUCAAGGUAACUAUCCUAGCUCCUAGUAUAACACCUUUGGCCUUCACAUUCGUGAAUUAUAUGAGAAAUAGGACCAUAAACAUGUGUUUACGGCCCUGGAACUUCCUUAGGCCGUUAACACAUGUAAAUGGGGUUUUUGAGCCAUAAAACCCUUCCAAACCUCAUUUGGAGCUUAGAUAUGACUUAUGGGCUUACCAAAUUGGACUUAGAACACCUUAAACUCUUCACUUAGGGUGUAAACAUGAGUUUAUGGCCCAAUCACAUGCUUGGACCGUAAACACCUAUUCAUGGGGAGUAAACUCAAUAUAAGGUGUUAAAAUGCCACUUAAACACCCCAUAAGCCUUGGAACUAGAAGCAACCACAAUCAAGUUAAGGACCUUAAACAUGCUAAAACUACCCCCAUAGGAGCUUAUGGCCGUAAACCCCCAAGAAUGGUUUCUUAGGCCGUAAACUCCUAAAACUUAGUCAAAUGGUGCCUUAAACUCAUUCCAUGACUUGUAGAUUUAGCUAGAAACACUUGUAAAGACCUAUGACCACCAAAACAUCAAAGGAGGGUGUGUGGGGGAGUUUACGGCCGUAAACUCUUAGUUUACUGCCAUAAACUCCAUUAGUUGGUCUAUAUGAUGGUUUAAUCCAUUCCUAUACCCUAGAUUUGAUCCUAGCCAAUUUUCCCAAGUGAUAUAAGACCAUUUAGCACCCUAGAACAACCCACCAUGAGUUUACGGCCGUAAACUCAUGGGGAGUGGGUCAUUAGGGCCGUAAACUCUCUUGGGAGUUUACUCAUGAAGAGUAAACUCCAUAUCCAAGCCUUAUACGUCCAUAGAUGUCACCCGGGUCACUCCAAACACUUGUAAUGAAGUGUUUUCGCAACUAGAAGUGUAUAUCCUCAACUAAUUUGUAGUUCAAAUCCUAAUUAGAUACAAAUGUGUAUCUUUUCAUAUUACAUAGGAACCUCACACGCGUUCAAGCCCCGAACUGACGCUUAGCAUCCUAGACGACGCGUUCCUCGACUGGUGAGUUCAUUCCCCUACACCUUUUUCAGUGUUUUUCAAUGUUUUCAGGGGGGAAUACAAGCAAACUAUAAAUGUUUUCGAAACUUAAAAACUGAUGUAAUUCUAUAAAUAUCUAGCAAACUUUUAGAUAUCUUUACCCCUUAUGUAUUAUGCGGAGCAUAAGGGAUGUUUUAUCGAAUAUAACCACAUGGAUUUCAGUAAAAGAAACAAUCAACUAAUCAAAUUAUUAUGGGAAUAAUUUGGGAUCUUCAGUUCUCGUUUUGUAAAUUCGGAUUUCAUGUAAUGUUAAUAUUAAUACUAUGUCUGAUUCAGUUUAUCUUUGUUUAAUGUAAAGUAUUAUGCCAGAUAGUUUCUAUGUAUUCUACUAUUUAUACGUUAUUAUGUUUCAAAACGAUUAGUAUGUUUGAUAACAUUCGAGAACACCGUGAAUAAAUUAAUACUAGCUUGUGAGAUUUGUCAUUAUUAAACCCUUUGGGUUAUCAGUAAAUCCUCCCCGGAAGUGUAACCAGAGUCUCCUGGAGGGAGAGCGUGGAAUUUGUGAAUAGAUCUAUUCGGGACUGACAAUCCCACACCUAAACUGUUAGCUACAGUUAGGCGGGCACGCUUGGGGUGACAAAUUCUGGAAAUCGUCCGACGUCUAAUGAACGUCAAGGAGGUCUCGGUGUCGUAUUAGCAUGGUUACCCGACUCACAAUACGUAUUAUUAUAAGUUUAUUCAUGGACUUGAUUUAUAUCUAUCUUCAAUCUAUAGUUCUUAUAUCUAGUAUGGGAUGGUAGUCCCAUGGUUUUCAAUCUAUAUCUAAUACGGGAUAGUAGUCUCAUGGUUUUCAAUCUAUAUCUAGUACGGGAUAGUAGUCCUAUGGUUUUCAGUCUAUAUCUAGUACAGGAUGGUAGUCCCAUGGUUUUCAAUCUAUAUCUAGUAUGAGAUGGUAUUCCCAUGACUUUCAAUCUAUAGUUUUGUGUAUUAAAACUACCUUAUAUCUAGUACGGGAUGGUAUUCCCAUGGCUUUCAAUCAAUAUUUUUAUGUAUUAAAAAUAUCUACUGUUGUACUGGAUGGUUAUUCCCAGUGGUUUUCAAUAUAUAGUUUUAUGUAUUAAACUAUACACUGUGGUAUUUAACUAAACUUUACUUUUAGGAAAAUAAGGGUUUUUCCUGGGAUAACUGAACUGUACAUAACCGGAUCGUAUAAUAAACAGAUAACUAAACUAUACUUAUAAGAAAAUAUGGGAUUUUCUUGGAUAACAAACUUUUUCGGAAAAUCAAAGGAAACAUGUUCAUUUUCAGAAAAAAAACACUUAUGAACUCACCAGCUUUAUGCUGAUUUUCAAACUACUUGUAUUCUCAGGUCCACAUUAGACAGGUACCCAGCGAUUCUUUUGGCGAAGACGGAGUACGUAGAAGACACGUCAUUACUUUUGUUCAUAUGAUAUAUAUAUAUAUAUAUAUAUAUAUAUAUAUAUAUAUGUGUGUAUGUAUGUAUGUAUGUAUGUAUGUAUGUAUGNNNNNNNNNNNNNNAUAUGAUAUGUAUAUGUAUAACACAUGUAACUCUUGUUUUCAGACAAUGUAAAUGAAUCUAUGUAAUGUAAAGUUUUGUGUUUACUAUGCUUACUAUGUACAUUGGUUGUGAUAUUCAUGACGUCCUCCACCCCGGAACAUUUUCGCCUUUGGUUUCGGGGUGUGACAUUUUCUACAUGUCUUCCAUGAGUCUACGGUCGUACACUCAUGUGGCCGUACACUCCCUUGGGUGCUCAUAAACUCCCUUUAGUCAAUCGCAUGUGAUUGUAACACUUCCUAGAAAGUGUUUCCUAGUCCCUAAAGGUGUUUCCUUGCAUGUUAGUUGUUUUAAACACUAAUUACAUGCCUAUAUAUGGCAUUAUCUGUCACAUAGGACUCGUUUGUGUCUCAGAAAUUCAUUCGUGGAACUUCUCAUCCUUACUCGAAUAUGCUAUUGAACUACCCACAUAAGGUGAGUUCAUACCCAUAUAAUCACUCAUUUAAAUGUUUUAAAUGCUUUUAAGGGGGGGAUACAAGUUGAAUACAAUGAUAAUUGUGUAAAUGUUUAUCUGUGAUAACCUUCACGUUAACGGAUUUCUUAUGCUCUUAUAAGUGAUCAAAACCAUUUCAAAAACUCUUUUUAAGUUAUGUUACUUUAUUGUUUAUAAAACACCGUUUUUAAAGUACGAGUCGUUACUUUAUUGUUUAUCAAAACCAUUUCAAAAACUCAGUAGAUAAUCGAGUCGUUUCUGCAAACCAGAGACAGUUCAAAACAAACAAACUAGUAAACCAUAAUAGGUAUAGUUUAGGGGUUCAACACAUAUUAUAACUAGAACAGGGAGGAACCUACUAUAAAGAGAAACAGGGAGGAACAUACAAUAUACUAUAAUAGAAGAACAAAUCAUGAUUAACACACUUAUACUAAUUAUUCACAGUAACCUAGGAAGGGAACGUAUCAUUAACUCAUUGUUCUAAACAGAAGAUGAUAAUAAAAGUGGUAUAAGNAUAUAUAUAUAUAUAUAUAUAUACAGAGAGAGAGAGAGAGAGAGCUAGGUUCAAAUGUUUUUAGCAAGUAUUGUGUGCCUAAAUGCACCAAUGAGAAUUCAAGAAAUAACAAAUCAUUAAAUAAAUCAUUAAAGGGUACUUUGGACAUUUUGUACUUUUAAUUAAGGAAAUAAUUUAAUUUAAUUCUUGCAAUUAAGGAAAUAAAGUAAUAUAUUUGACCUAGUCAUUUGAGUUCUCGUUUAUAGGUGUGCAUAUUCCAACCCUAGCACAUCUAUUUCUUUUUUGUGGCCUUCUUUAGCAACCAGCGAGAAGAGAGGGCGAUAUCGGGAAACUCCCCGGAGCUACCAAACUCAAGAACAUCGCCGCCAAGGUCUUCAACCAGUCAAUUUUCCAUUUCGAUCUAUUUCCCAAGCCAAAUCUUAAACGUCGGUUGGAUACUGUUUGUGAUUAUCUUGAAAAAUGCCCAGUAAUCGAUUGCAAAAAUUCGUAUUGAGGGAUUUGGGAGGCAUCGACAUUCAACCAUCGUGAGAACAAGCCUUAAUUUAUUUUCUACAAAGCUCCGUUCUUUUCCUUUUUUUUCUUUCGUUGCCUCUUAAUAACACUACACAUCUUUGUAAUAUGAAAUUAGGUUUGUGCGUGGAUUGAUACCGAUUGAUCGAUGGCAGAAUUGCAUUGCAUAGGUAAAACACCUUUCUAUUUUGUAUGAGUUUCUUUAUUGGUUGGUUUGAUGAAAUAGAUUGUUAGGAUAAUCAAAAAGUAAAUUGCAAAUUGUUGUUUUGUAUAGGAAACCGAGAUGAGUUAUGAAUUAUGUAUAUUUGUUUUAUUUAUUUAUUUUAGUUUUUUUUUUAAUUUCGUAAUUUUCUAAUAUGCAAGCAAGUUGCAAUUAUGGUUUGUAAUAGAGACGAAAAGCUUACUCCAAAAACAGUAUAUAUCCUCAUUAUUUUAUUUAAAGAGUAGAUAUCCCAAAAAGAAUAUAAUUAUUAUAUCACUUCAAUUUUUAGUUGUUGUUUAUAUGUGUGUGUAUGUAUGGAAAACGUUUCUAAUUGAAUUUCAUACAGUAUACUAAAUUUGAUGAAUCUUAGAUGAUUUUGUUGUAUUUAAUUACAUACGCCAAAAAAGAUCCCAAUAUACAUGCCCUCAAAUUGAGGCUUUUGGUUUUUGGUUUGCAAUAUGUUUUUGGUUUUCUAAUUUGAGGUUUUUGGUUCAUGUAUGUUUAUAGAUUUUUCAUUAUGCCCUACAGGUGUUUGAUGUAAUGCCAAAGAAUACAUUUCAACAAAAUUUGGUCUUUUUGAGAACAUAUAUGUGUUCUUAACGUAUUUUUUACCCAAAUCUCUUACAGAACAUAACAAAUACAAAUGCAUCUUACAUGUAAUUUUUUUUGUGUUUCUAUCUGUGUAUGCUUUUGUAAAUGCCAAAAAUGAGACUAGAUGAGCAUGAAGGUACAUCAUAAACUACAUCUUUGUAGUUAUUAAUUCAAGAUACAGCUUUGUGUUAACAUGAUCUUUUCCUGCAUUUAUAUUUCAAAUGUUUUGUUCGUUGGGUAUAUUCUUGAUAAUACAAAUUGUUUAAGUAUAUUUAAAAUCAUUCUGCAAGAAUAAUUUGUUCUGGAAGAAUAUUAUUGUUGUAUUCUGAUAGAAUUGUAGUUAAUUAGUUAUAUGUUUAAUGUGUAGUUGUUACAAGUGUAUCAUUACAAAAUAUUUAGCAAUGAAUUUGUAAUAGAUAGCUUGAAGACCUGACGGGAAAGGCUCCUUGUAUAAAAUCAUUCUCAUGCAAUACAAUUCUGACAGAAUGUCAAUCUCACAAAAUGUCAAUCUCAUACAAUGUUAGCAUAUUUUGAAGUGGCUUAAGGUCAAACAUAUACAAAACAUAUAGAAACGAAACAAGAAAAUGAAUGAGGAUUCUUUCAAGAAUGCCAAUAUUUUUUUUGCAAGAGAUUCAAGAAUGAAUGUAGUUUAUGUUCAUAGUUGAAUUCGUUAAUAAUGAAUUUAAUUACUUAUUCUAGAUUAUUAAACUUCGUCUUAUAUAAAAUUUUUAACAAUUAUUAGUUUUUGAUGUAUUUGUGAUAGGAAUGGCAGGAAGAAGGCGUUGAAGACCUUGAUAUUCUUUUAGAAUAUGUAUAAUUAUAUUAAAAUGUAUAAGGAUUUUAGUCUAUAAGAAAAUGUAUGAAUUUGUAUUUAAGUUCAGAUGUAUAAAAAUAUAUUAGAAUGUUUGUUAUUUUUCAACAUCUGAUUCAAGAAUUUUGUUUUUCUUCAAUGAUAUUCUAUUAGAGUAAAAUUCUGAAAGAGUAUCAUUCUAACAAAAUAAUAUUCAAUUAGAAUAAAAUUCUAAAAGAGCAUCAUUCUAACAAAAAAUAUUCUGACAGAAUAUAAUCGGUAAAAAUUGAAAUUGAAUUAAUUAAAAAAAUUCAGAUUUUUUUAAAUUAGGAGAACUAAUCAUCCCUAAAAAUCUGAAAAUUUCCUUUUAUAAAAGUAGUUAAUUGUCCAAAAUACCCUUUUGUUAAAAAUUGUGUAAUUAUAUGGUACAUGUUACCCCAUUGUAAUAUCUCAAAUCAUGUCCAUUGAUUAAUUUCAUCCGUUGGUCCAGAUCUGUGCAUUCUGGCAUACAAUACUUAGUAAAAACAAAAUAACCUAAGCCUAUAUAUAUAUAUAUAUAUAUAUAUAUANCCUGCAAGUCUACGGGUGACAAAUGUCAUACCAUUUCGAUGUGGUUUUAAGUGGUUUUAAGGUAGUUAAUACAUUCAGUUAAGAGGGGGCGUAUAAUGCUAACUUUAUGAUACCUUAGUAGAUACAUCAGGGUUAUAUAUUAAUCGGAUCCAACAGAUAGUAGGAUGUGUGCUUUCCGCUUCAUUUCAUGUUAAUACAUUCAGUUAAGAGGGGGCCUAUAAUGCUAACUUUAUGAUACCUUAGUAGAUACAUCAGGGUUAUAUAUUAAUCGGAUCCAACAGAUAGUAGGAUGUGUGCUUUCCGCUUCAUUUCAUGUUCCUUGUUUGGUUGUGGGCUUUGAGCAGAUGCACCUAAUCUAUUAUCUAUUCAAUCUUAGUCAUAUAUAUAUAUAUAUAUAUAUAUUCCGUAUACACCAAGUAAUCAUAAGGUGUAUAGGUAUAGGUCAGGUCAUAACAUACUAAGUCAAUACACCGUUUUCUAGUACAAAAACAUACUUUUCAGUUAGAACAUUUAGUAGGCCAAACUAGAAACUUAUCAGGAAAAGGGUUUAAUCCAUAUUAUUAAACCGGUAUAACUUAAAGGACCUUUAGUGGUUAAUUCUAUUAUACCUUAGUUUAUACAUCAAGGUUAUAUAUAAUUAAUACCCGUUAGGCAGUUGGCUGUGUGCUUUCCGCCUUACUUCCUGUUCCUUGUUUGGUUGUGGGCUUAGGGGAGAUUCACCCAAUUAACUACCCGUUCGAUAUUAGAUUAUAUAUAGCUAGUAUAAACUAAGUGAUUACAGAAGGAACUAUUGUGGUUACCAUUUUUACUGAAGGAAAUAAGGGUUUUUCUUAAAGAAUGUUUUCAUCAAAGAGGAUCUAAACAAACAAUGGGAUGUGUGCUUUCCACCUUACUUCCUAUUCCUUGUUUGGUUGUGGGCUUAGGGCAGAUUCACACAAUCGAUUGUCUGUUUACUCUAAAUUAUAUAUAACUUUUAUCCAUUUAGUACCUAUAGAAAGGAUUGUAGAGUCAUUUUUACUUAUCAUUCAUCAUAUCAGAAAAUAUAGGAUUUUCUGGAGGAAUAGGCGAAUUUUUCUAAAAAGAACUUGUAGUCUACUUUUCAUAACUAAAAUACUUAUGAACUCACCAGCUUAAAUAUUGAUCUACUCUUUCAAGUUAACUUGUAUUCUCAGGAAACUAGAAGACACGUUCGUGCUCUGGGAUUCAGAAGAUGAAGUAUAGUAGCUUCAUGUCUUGGUUUGUUAUUUACCUUUUGGAUUCAAUCUUUUGUGAAUCACUACUUUGUAAACAAUAUAAUAUUAAUACAAUGUUACUACUAUGAUUACUGUGAUACAUGUGUUGUGAUACUAAACAUGACAUCCUCCGCUCGCGAAAGUUUUCGCCAUUCCGGUUUGGGGGUGUGACAGAUUGGUAUCAGAGUAAUGUUUAUAGUGAACUGAGUAUAUCAACCUAUAAAAGAUAUACAACUAUAAAUGCAAUAGGGCUGUAGUGCUUUGUAUAAUAAUAUGUUUUAAAAAUAUAACAAUACCUUAUAAAGGUAUACAUACUUGCUUAUACAUAUAUACAUAAUAGACCAAGUAUCACAAGAAGAACAGAACAAAAGUAUUUAAAGGUUGAACACUGCAUUCAAACCUGGAUAGUUAUGUAAUCAUAGUUGGGAUCAAUAUAACCUGAUCAACUAUAUUCAUUUGAGAUAUGACCAACAUAUGUUUGGGAGUGAUGUGGUGUUGCAACAGUCUUAAAACUUACCUAACUCUAUGCACAAGGGAAUUCUAGAUCAGAACAAAAAGUUAAAAUACUAUGAGAGUAUUUUAUGAUACUAUAAGACAACAAGUUUAAAAUAUAUAUAUAUAUAUAUACACCAAGUUCAUUACAUUAAAAUACUAUAGGAGUAUUUUAGGCACUAUAAAUAACUUACGUGAAAAUUUAAAAGAUCCUUCUGGUAGGUCGAUAAUUCUGGAGUAUAUACUCCCAAGAUUUUAUAUAAUUGAGAUUUUAUAGACUUAGAAUUUGUGAUCUAUGCUCUACUUCAUGUUCCUUGCUUGGUUGUGGUUUUGGAGUAGGAACACUUAUUCGAAAGUCUAUUUAAUCUUAAAUUAUAUACAACUUAUACCAUGUAAUUAUAGGAGGACCCGGUAAGGAUCACCCCAUAAUGUUUCACUUAGUCUUAUAGAUUCUUUAGACACUUCCGUUCGCAUACAACAAACCCUGAUAGAUGUAACCACUCCAUCAUAGCAGUCAGCAGACGAGUCAAGGAAAGACAACAAGAGAUUUCCAAGAAAGGACCAGCCGGAGAAACUAAAACGUCUUAUGCGUCACACUAAUAAAUAAUUACCUUAUUUGACUUAGUGAGCUAAUAAUUUCACUACUCACACUAUGUGUUUGGAUUAUUUCUUUUCAUGCUGCCAGUAUCGGUUAUUCAAUUCACAGAAAUUCAUUUCGAGGAUAGCCACUUCUGAUUCAUAAAGUUUAUUUUAUAUAGACUCCCUUUUAUGAAUUGUUUCCAGAACCCUAUGAAAGUCGGAACCAGAUACAUUUAGAACUAGGAUAACUUAGUCUCUCAGCUUUUGGCUUAUAUCCACCACUAUAGACUUAUUUCCAUUUCAUCUUUGUAUACUUUUUAGCAAGAUGCCUCCACGUCGAUCAGCGAGACGCACUACUCCGAUAACCUCAACUCAAUCUCCACUACCUCCUCCACAAUUCAAUCUUGCUGCUCUCCAAGCAGCGAUAGCCGCCGCAGUAGCAANNNNNNNNNNNNNNNNNNNNNNNNNNNNNNNNNNNNNNNNNNNNNNNNNNNNNNNNNNNNNNNNNNNNNNNNNNNNNNNNNNNNGGGUCGUACAAGGACUUCAUGAGCUGCAAACCCAAAUCCUUUAAUGGAAAUGGUGGAGGCAUUGCUCUGAUGCGAUGGUUUGAGAAAACAGAUUCAGUCUUCGAAAUCUGUCUUUGCCUAGAAGGGAGCAAAGUGAAGUUUGCUGACUGCACCUUUUGUGAUAGAGCCCUGACAUGGUGGAGUGGUCAUAUUAAGUCAAUGACCCUAUCAGUGGCUAACUCAAUAGGUUGGGUGAACCUGAAAGAGAUGAUGUUGGAAGAAUACUGCCCAAAGGGUGAAGUUCAAAAGCUGGAACAAGAACUAUGGGAGCACACUAUGGUCGGCUCAGACAUAGCGACCUACACUGAUAGGUUUAGCAACCUGGCAGCACUAUGCCCUGAGAUGGUUACCUUGGAGAGUAAGAAGAUAAGAAAGGUACAUUUGGGGUUUAUCUACCCUGAUUCAAGGAGAUGUACUGUCUUCUAAACCAACUACAUUCGAUAGCGCCAAACACUUGGCCCAACGACUCAUUGACCAUGGAGUUCGCCAUGGCGUAGGCGACCCCUAUUCCCGAGCCAUUGAAGGGAGGAGACUAAAAACGGAAGUUGGGGAAAAAGAGGAAGGAGCGAACAGCAUAGGAACCCCCACAAGAGCAACCAACGGUUACUGUACACGUCCCUACAAAACCUACCGCUCCAGCACCUGCCAGUCAAUAUGCUGGAACACUCCUGAAGUGUGGCAAGUGUAACUAUCACCACACUGGAAUGUCUCGGGAAAUGUCGUGCUUGAAUUGCCACAGGAAGGGGCAUACUACCUGUUUCUGCAGGGCGCCGACACAACCGAUCUCCCAAGUCCCCGGAGUAGAAAUAAACCAGGCCUGCUAUGGCUGUGGUGAGACAUGGAAAUACAAGAGAGACUGCUCGAUAUCGAAGAACUCAGGAGCGAAUGGCCUAAUUCUGAUGAUCACCGCACGGGAAGCUAUCCCGGAGUCCCCAACGACCAAUGGUACGUCUUCGAAUUAAGAAUUGAUUUAAAAAUUAAUUUAUAUUUAUAUAAGAUUAAAACUUGGGGAAAACAUUUAAAAGUAAUUAUAAUAACUCACUCAUCUGAACAAGUCACAACAUUCAUAAGAACACAAAAGGUCCAUUCUGGGAAGCUAUAAUGGCUUAGUAUGUACAUCAGGGUUGUGCAUUGCUAAGAUUUUGCUGAUUUAGAGUGAGUGAUUCCGCCUUAACUCUUGUUCCUUGUUUGGUUGUGGAUUUAGGGCAGAGUCAUUCAGUCGACCGUCUUAUUCAUCUUAGUUAUACAUAACUUGUAUAUGCAAGGCAAUCAUAAAGGUACCGAGGAGGAUCAUAAUAUAAAGAAUCGACACUAGUUAUCAAGACACUUGCACUGUUUAUACUCGCUCUUAGCAGUACAAGUGUGACAGUGGUAGCAUCAAGGAGAAAACAAAAAGCACUAGAACAUUUACACAGAGUACAUUGUCGAACACACUUGGGAUAUAUCAUCGUAUAUCAAAUGUUUCUUUCAAAUCAGCCUAACUUUUGUUUUUGUAAGAGUCCGGUGUCAUCAUUCGUCAUGGAUUGGCAUGAUCCUCACCAUACUAAGUUCAUAUGUUUCCAUCGCCUUGACCGUGAAAUCCAUGAAACCCUUGUCAUUUGUAACAACAACCCGACCUAGACCUUAGUAUUGUCUCUUGUCUUCUAAACCCCAAAGUACUCAUGUGAGGAGUACCUUGCCCUCCAAAACCUUGCCGCCGUAUAUUCAGCAAACCUUCCCGAACUACCACGCAUCCAACAGAUCAAGUUCCAGCAUAGAGGCUAAGGACAAAUACAUCCCACCUAUCACUAAUAAGUGUAUAUGCUAGAGUGGUAUAUACUUAUGAUUAUGCAGAUUUAGUAUGUGUGUUUCCGCCCUAUCUCCUGUUCCUUGUUUGGUUGUAGACCCACGGUAGAAAUGCACAUCCGACCGUCUUACUAAUCUUAAUUAUAUAUGACUUGUAUACACGAGGUAAUGAUAGAUCGACCAAGUAUGAAUCCUAUCAUGGACAUUAGGGCAAAGUUGCCCAGGUUUACAAGUGGGUCUUCUGCCAAUCAUAGGAGCACAGCCCUAGGAGUACUGCUAAAGAAAGCUAAUUUCGGGACGAAAUUCCAUCCAAUGGGGGGAUGAUGUGACAACCCAAAAAAUUUUGUUUUAUAGGUCCAGCCAAUCAAUCGAGUGCCAGACCCAUUUAUGUUAUCUUCUAGCAUUGUUUAGGGUCCAUUUGAGUAUUCUAAGCCUAGUACAUUCAAGUUUUGGGUUUAAGGAUGAGUUAACUUAGGUUCUUCAUGUUGCAAUCGAUCCAAACACUCCAUCAAGAGGAGUAUACGGCCGUACACUCAAGGUGGCCGUGAACCCAUGGCCAUAUGUAAGCUAUUCCUUCAUUUCUUCUCACUUUUCACACUUCUAAGUCUAGAAAAUCGGUUCUCUCUCAAGUAUCAUCAAGGUUCUUCAUCCUAAUUCUCCAAAAUCGUAAGUGAUUCUUCUAUCCUUCUUGAUAUCUUCCCUAGUUAUGUAUCAUCUCAUGAUUCAUCCAUGAAAACAACUCUUUAUGGUAGAUUUUCAAAUCUUCAUCCAUUUCACCAAGAACACCAUGAACACAUACUUGUUCUUGGGUCGUAAACCCCCUAAAGACCCUCAAAAGUGUGAGUAUUCUCUCUAUCAUCUAGUUAGACAUGUUAAACACUUGAUUUAUAGCCUUAAAACGUCAUCAAACUCAAGAUCAUCAACGGUGUACCGCCGUACACACCUCAAGUCCUUUCCAAAACGAAAGCUUUGUUCAUCCUCUUGUUGAGAAAUUGUCACACUAGUUUCCCCAAGGAUCAAACACCCCAUUUUCAUGUUCUUCCAUGAGAAUACGGCCGUACACCCUUGGCCGUACACUCCAUGAGUGGCCGUAAACUCCCUUUAGUCAAUCACAUGUGAUUUUAACACUUCCAAGCAAGUGUUUCCAAGUCACUAAGGGUGUUUCCUUACAUGUUAGUUGUUUUAAACACUAAUUACAUGCCUAUAUAUGCCAUUAUAUGUCACUUAGGACUCGUUUGUGUCUCGAAAUUCAUUCAUGGAACUUCUCAUCCUUACAUGAAUCUGCUAUUGAAUCACCCACAUAAGGUGAGUUCAUACUCCUAUAAUUAAUCUUUUAAAUGUAUUAAAUGCUUUUAGGGGGAUACAAGUUGAACACAAUGAUAAUUGUCUAAAUAAUUAUCUUUGAUAACCAUCACAUUAGAGGAUUUCUUAUGCUCUUAUAAGUGAUCAAAACCAUUUCAAAAUAUCUUUUUAUGUUAUGUUACUUUAUCGUUUAUAAAACACUGUUUUUAAAGUACGAGCAUAGCUUGGUAGAUAAUCAAGUCUUUUCUGUAAACCAGGGACAUUUCAAAACAAACAUAUUAGUAAACUAUAACAGGUAUAGUUUAGGGGUUCAUUACAUACUAUAACUAGGACAGGGAUGAGCAUACUAUAAAGAGAAACAGGGAGGAACAUACAAUAUACUAUAACAAAAGAACGAAUCAUGAUUAACACACUUAUACUAAUUAUUCCCAAUAACCUAGGAAGGGAACGUAUCAUUAACUCGUUGUUCUAAACAAAAGAUGAUAAUAAACGUGGUAUAAGGAUAUAUAUAUAUAUAUAUAUAUAUAUAUAUAUGCUGCAUCUACAAAAUGCCAUGAUUUAUAUAUGUAUGGGGUACAUCUAGAAAGUACCAGAGUUAUAUAUAUGGGGUACAUUUGCAAAGUACCGACGUUAUAUAUGGGGUACAUUUACAAAGUACCAUAUUUAUAUAUAAAGGGGUACAUCUACAAAGUACCGGACAAUAAUAAAUAAAACACAUAACUUCCUAGUAACUUGAACAUUCAGUAGAAAGCGGCCUAUAAUGCUAACUUUAUGAUUCCUUAGUGCAUACAUCAGGGACAUAUAUAAAUCGGGUUCGACAGACAGUAGAAUGUGUGCUUUCUGCUUCAUUUCCUGUUCCUUGUUUGGUUGUGGGCUUAGAGCAGAUGCACCCAAUUAACUCUGUAAGUACCAAAUAAAUACACCAAGGUUGUAUACAAUGAGGAUCUAAACAAACAAUGGGAUGUGUGCUUUCUGCCUUACUUCCUGUUCCUUGUUUGGUUGUGGGCUUAGGGCAGAUUCACACAAUCGAUUGUCUGUUACUCUAAAUUGUAUAUAACUUGUAUCCAUUUAGUACUUAUUGAAAGGUUUGUAGAGUCAUUUUUACUUAUCAUUCAUCACAUCAGAAAAUAUAGGAUUUUCUGGAGUAACAUGCGAACUUUUCUAAAAACAACUAUUUCAGUUAACUCUGUAAGUACCAAAUGAAUACGUCAGGGUUAUAUAAAAUGAAGAUCUAACUAACAAUGGGAUGUGUUCUUUCCGCCUUGCUUCCUGUUCCAUGUUUGGUUGUGGGCUUAGGGCGAUUCACACAAUCGAUUGUCUGUUACUCUAAAUUUUAUAUAACUUGUAUCCAUUUAGUACUUAUAGAAAGGAUUGUAGAGUCAUUUUUACUUAUCAUUCAUCACAUCAGAAAAUAUAGGAUUUUCUGGAGGAACAACCGAACUUUUCUAAAAAGAACUUUCAGUUUACUUUUCGUCACUAAAAUACUUAUGAACUCACCAGCUUAAAUGCUGAUCUACUCUUUCAAAAUAACGUGUAUUCUCAGGAAACUAGUAGGUAGGUAUGCGCACUGGGAUUCAGAAGAUGAAGUAAAGUAGCUUCAUGUCUUGUUUUGUUAUUUACUUUUGAGUCAAUCUUUUGUGAAUCACAUACUCUGUAAACACUAAAAUAUUAAUGCAAUGGUUGUUUGUUACUAUGAUUACUAUGAUACAUGUAUUGUGAUACUAAGCAUGACGUUCUUCGCCUCCGAACGUUUCCGCCGUUCCGGUUUGGGUGUGUGACAGUCGGCUCAGACAUUGUGACCUACACUGACAGGUUUAGCGAUCUGGCAGCACCAUGCCUUGAGAUGGUUACCCCGGGGAGUAAGAAGAUAGAAAGGUAGAUUUAGGUUUUAUCUACCCCGACUCAAGGAGAUGUACUGUCUUCUAAACCAACUACAUUCGAUAGCAUCAAACGCCUGGCCCAACGACUCAUUGACCAUGGAGUCCGCCAUGGCUUAGCGGUCCCUGUUCCCAAGCCAUCAAAGGGAGGAGACUAUAAACGAAAGUUUGGGAAAAAGUGGAAGGAGCGAACAACCCAGGAAACCCCGCAGGAGCAACAAAUGGUGACUGCAUACUCCUCCACAACAUCUGCUACUCAAGCACCUGCCAGUCGAUAUGCUGGAACUCUCCUGAAGCGUGGAAAGUGUAAUUACCACCACACCGUAGUAUGUCGGGAAAUGCAUUGCCUUACUUGCCACAAGAAGGGGCACACUGCCCGGCUCUGUAGGGCACCAGUACAAACGCUCUCCCAAGUCCCUGGAGUAGAAAUAAACCAGGCCUGCUAUGGCUAUGGUGAGACAGGGCAUUAGAAAAAGGAUUGCCUAAUAACAAAGAACUCAGGCGCGGAUGGAUGCAUUAUGAUGAUCACCGCAGGAGAAUCUACCACGGACUCCCAAGCGACCAGCGGUACGUCUUCGAAAAAAGCAUUGCUUUAAAAAAAAAUUAGUUUAUAUUUAUAUGAGAUUAAAACUUGGGGAAAACAUUUAAAAGUAAUUAUAAUAACUCACUCAUCUGAACAAGUGUGACAACCCGAAAUUUCUAUCUUGUACAGUUAUCCAAAUCAAUCAAGGUCAUACUCGUUUUUGCUAUCUUCUAGCAUUGAUUAGAGUCAAUUUGAGUGUUCUAAAGCUAGUAUAAUCAAGGUAUGGGGCUAGGGAUGAGUGUAUUUGAGUUCAACACCUUUCAAAUGAGCCAAACACCCCUUCAUGAGAUGUGUGCGGCCGCACACAUGGGUGUACGACCGUACACCCAUCCUAGCCAUACACUCANNNNNNNNNNNNNNNNNNNNNNNNNNNNNAUUUAUAUAUAUAUAUAUAUGACUUAGCCUUCACUUACCUUUUCUCACACUCCUAACCCAAGAAAUCAACUUCUCUAUCAAGUAUGAUCCGAUUUUCACCUAGAUAUUCAAGUUGUAAGUGUUUCUUCCUUUGAUUUGAUGAUUCAUUACACUAUCUAGUAAGGAUCUAUCAUUUCAUCCAUGAUAGAUCUUCAAGUGUUCCCCAAGAACACUAAGAACACCUACUAAGUUUUUGGACCUCAAACACCCCUAAAGGCUUCUAUAUUGUAAGUACCACACCUCAUGCUUGUUACUUACUAGCGUUACUCCUUAGAAAACGUCCAAACCAUGAUCAUCAAGGAGUGUACGGCCGUACACACCCCAUGUGGUCGUACACCCCUUUGUUUAGUGCUAUUUGGCUUCAAACUCAUGAUUCUAUGCUAGCACAUGAUCAAGAACACUUAGGGGAUGCACGAUAGAACCUUGGAAUACACAUUUGACCAUUUUUACAUGAAUAUCAAGGGUGUACGGACGUACACUCCUUGUGUGGCCGUACACAACCUUUUUAAAGUCCAAAAUGGCAUUAAACAUUCAAUAAUGCUUAUAAGGUGGAUUUUGGAGGAGACCAUGGAAUGCAUGCAACCUUUAAUGUGGAAGACCUUUCACCGUAUCUUGUUGAGGAUGGCCUUGAUGAAUUGAGGUCAUUUCCUUUCAAAGGGGGAGGGGAUGAUCCAUGCAUGGAUCAUGAAAGCCCAAAAGGUGAUGGAUUAGUGAUUACUAGUAGGCUAGAUAGUGGUUUGGCCUCAAUGGUUGGGUUGUGCUUGGUAACCUACGAAUUGAAUUAGGGUCGCAUGAUGUGACAUGUGACACUUUGUAAGGACCUUCAUCUCUUGGCAUCUACUUUUGUUCUUCCUUUUGUUAGGGAAAAGUUCUUUCCUCAUAUAAACCUAAACCAAGUCACCAUAUUGAAAGACACGUGGUUUCGUAUGCAUGUUGGAAUUCUGUUUGUGCACCUCAUUCACAACUUCAAUCUUCACACGAACUUGGUGUAGUUUCAUCAUGGCCUUCAGCUUGUUAUUAGCAUCCUUGUGAACCAAUUCAUCCUUUGGCAAUGGAAUCAAAUCCAAAGGCAUGUAAGUAUUCACACCAUACACCACUUGUAAAGGAGAGUGACAUGUAGCAUAAGUAGGAGAUCGAUUACAGGCAAACUCAACAUGUGCAAGUUUGAUGUGCAAAUGUUUUUGAGUUUUCCUAACCAACCACCUCAACAACAUACCCAAAGUUCUAUUAGUCACCUUCGUUUGCCCAUCAGUUUGUGGAUGAUGGGAUGUACUAAAAAGUAACUUAGUAAUAACUUUCCUCCACAAAGUGUUCCAAAAGUAACUCAAAAACAUGGAAUCCCUAUAAGAAACAAUAGUUUUAGGAAUAACAUGCAAGCGGACCACCUCUUUAAAGUACAAAUCAGACACAUUAGAUGCAUCAUUGGUUUUAUGACAUGGCCCAAAGUGAGCCAUUUUUGAAAACCUAUCCACCACCGCUAUAAUGGAAUCCUUCCCCCUUUGAGUUCUAGACAAAGCCAAACUGAAUUCCAUUGACACAUCUUCCUAAGGACAAAUAGGAACCAACAAAGGAGUGUAAACACCAUGCUUGAAAGUUUUUUUGUCAUCCGACAUGUAACACACUUGCCCACUAUGUUGGUUACAUCCCCAACAUCUUUAUGUGACAACUGGCAAUUUCUGGUCAAAUCAAAUCCAAUUAAAGUCAGCAAGUCAAAUCGGUCGACUCAACUAACCCUUGUAUAUUAGGGUUUACAUUAUGUUACUGUUGUACAACUCGCUAUUUUUUUAUAAAAAGUUAUCACUUGGAAAGUUCGUAUGUUCAGAAAUUCUAAACCCUAACUGGAGUACGUGAUGAAACUACUCGAUAAAACAUUAUACCAUACCCCUAGGGGGUGUAUAACAUGUAUAACGAUGCUUAACGGGGUUUACGAACCUUGCGUUGCGAAGCUAAACAUCCAAAAAGGUCACAAACGAAACAUCUCUCAAUCUCUCUUUAUCAAUCUCUCUCUCUCUCCCAAAUCUCUCUCAAAACUUCUUUCAACUUUUUAUAAUAAUUUGGGGCAUCCUGACCCUUAACUUGGUCAAAAACCGCUCAAAACGGAGUGAUUAUUGGUAAAACAGCCUUAUAGGACCGAAGCCCCAUAAGACUGAAUCCCAAAGAACCAAAGUCCCUAGGAACCAAAACUACAGGGACCGAAACCAAACCUCGGAGGACCGAAGGUUCCUUCGGACCGAACCCUUCCUUUCGGCCCAUUUCGCCUUCGGUGCAUUACUCGACCCGUUCCGCCUUCGGUUCUCACCAUGCAACCGAACCUACCUUCGGUUUUGGCUGAUGGGACCGAACCUUCGGCCCAAUCCGAGCAACUUCGCAGCUUCACUCUUUUCUCCUGGUUUUCGACCACGACUUCGUUUUAAGCCCAUUUUCGAUGAUUUUCGCACGGGAUUUUCGUACAAAUCCAUAUUUUAAUAUUUUUAACCUUCCAAGAUCAUAAAAUAUGCAUAUUCUAAGGAUUUCCAUAUUUUAUAAUCCACACCUUUCUUAAGAGCAAAGGCAAAGUACAAAAGGUGAUUCUUGACUUGUCCCAUAAAGCUAUGACACCAUCAGUUCGUUAUUCAUGCUUUAUGUCACUAUUCACAUCUGAAAAGUCAAUCCCUUGUACUCUCACCAUUCCCCCACAAGUUUCCUUAAACCCAUACACACAAAGAAACUUUACUACUCACUUUCCCUAGAUCACCAACACUUCACCAAAAGCAAAUACACUUUUUCUCUCUCACUUCCUCUCCAAGAUUUCAAGAUUCUCCUGGAGUUUUGAUCUCGUCAUCCUCUUUUGGGUAAGUAAUUUCAUCUUCCACUUGAUUAUCUUACACCCUUUCACUCAAGUCAUGGAUUCCUUACACAAAUAUCAUCAUAUUUGUUCAUAGAAUCUUCAAAUCUUCAAGCAUCUCCCAAGUGUUCUAGGCUUGGAAACUGGUCCUUCAUCAUCCAUCUACUGAAAUCAGUCAAGGUGAGUUCAUACCCAUAUCUUUUAAUGUUUUUCUUAAGUUUUAUGGGGUGGAAUACAAGUUAAAACACCAAGAGCACAACUAAACCCAACCAACAACUUUCAUCAGAAAAGUUGAGUCCCAUUCACGGACUGUUUUGACCUUCUUAAACUUUUUAUCUUUCAAAACUGUUUAACAUGCAAUUAGUUCAGGUUCAUACCUUUAAAUGACUACUUGCACAUCUGCAUACGAUUUUUCUACAAUUUAUGGUAAUCUUUACAAAACUGCCUAUCAUUUCAGAAACAAAUCCAUACCAGUUUAUGAAUCUGUUUUCACACAAGUUAGAGGUCACUAAAAAUCAAAAUAAAAUUAUGAACAAACUAGACACAUUUUCUAAGCUUUCAGAAUUUACGGAUUCUAAUUUCGACCUCUGAUGAUUUUUCAAUGAUUUUUCGAAGGACAGUAAUAGAAAAGUUAAAAAUUGAAAAUAGAUAACACAUUUCAUUUACAACUUGUAAACUUGCUGAGCAAGGUGUGUGCGCUAUUAUGAAAAUUCAUGUUGUUAUAUUUCAUGACUUUCACCUUAGUAAAAAGGUAUACAUUAUAUACAAAGGAUUACUAUACAAUACAAACAUUUGUUAAACUAUAAUAGGUAUAGUUUAUGUGCAUUACAACACCAACCUUCAUGAUAGACUAUAACAAAUAUAGUUUAUGUUACACUUACAACCUUACUACAAAAAGGAUUCAUUUCUACAUAAAGGAAUCUUCAUUUCAUUUCACGUAAAUCUGUUAAUGAAUAAAUUUGUGAGAUUUUCGCUUCACGAUACUUUUAAAGUAACGCAUUUAAAGUUCUGUAAUUGUACUUAGAGUCUCUUGUAGGGAGAGCGUGAUAGUUGUGUACAGAUCUAUAUUGGGUCUCACAAACCCACACCUUAGCUGCAUGCAACAGCUAGACUGGCAUUUCUGGGGUGACAAAUGUCAUUAACAUUUCGACGCCUGAAGAACGUCGUAUAAAAGGCCGACUGGGUCAUAUCAUGGUUAUAAAAACUCAUAUGGGAUAUUAACAAAACAUAUGAUUUACGGGGUUUUCUAACACUUACACGAGUUUAUGUCGAUUUAAACUUGCAUAUACUACAAUUAGUAUGGAAAAACACCAGUACAUUUCGGUCUUUGACAUUUAAGGCUACAAUACAUUUUAAAGUAAAAUAUUGGAUUUUUCUGGAGUAAACAAUACUUUUACAAAGAAAGGAUUUCAACACUACAUUUAAAAGCUUAUGAACUCACCAACUUAAUUGUUGACACUCUUUCAAAACUACUUGUAUUCUCAGGAAAUCAGUAAAAUAGGUAAUCAACUGCUUUUGAGGAUGGGACGUUAAGGCGUCCAACAUUUUAUUUUUGUCAACAUAAUGUAAAUUGAUUUAGAAACAUGUAAACUUAUACUAUGGUGUAACUUUUUCAAUUAUAUUAUGUUGGUUGUGUUUGCUUUGGUCACUAAUAUACUCGUUAUUAUGAUACUGUACAUGAAGUCCUCCACCCCCGGACGUUUCCGCCAUCCUUGGUUUAGGCUAGAAGAAAUGUUCUUAAAGAACCUCCAAAGUUUUGGUAAUGGAAAAAUGACCCACCAAACCACCACCAUGAGCUUCACGAAUUAGCAACUCCCGUAUUGCAUGUUUAGGGACACAAAGGUGUUUGCCUUUUGAUGCCUUUAUGGGCUUGAUUAAGUGAGUAGGAUUGUGUUUAUGUAAUUUUAGCUAGAAUAACAACCACAAAUGAUAGGUGUAUGGGAAGAAACGGAUAGAUUAGUAACAAAUCAAGACCUAGUUGUAUACCCGUGAAAACUUUCCAAGACAUAAUAUUUGAUUGAAUGCGUAUCAAGUCAAGAACACGUCUCGACUAUGAUUAAAAUUUCAUCUAUCACUUUUUUCCAUGCAUACUUGGCUUAUACGAAGCCUUUAUUACAAUGUUGGUGGUUACAAGCCACCCAACCAACAACUCAGUAAAACUAAUAAUCAGAAUUAAAGAAACUCAUGAAACGACAAAAAAAACGUCUGACACACUAAUGAAUGAAAAAAGGUUCCAUGCUCCAUAAAGGAUCCACUAGAAGCAUUAAAGUGUGUUACCUAAUCCACCAAAGAGUAUCAAAAAUGGCUGGUACUAAAGGGUAGUGACGAACUCACAAGCUAGUACUAAACAAUUCACAGGGUUCUCAUACGAUAUCAAACAUAUAUAAAAGAUUAUGCAACAUAAUACAAUGAAUACAGAUACAUACAAUGAAACUAUCUGGCAAUACAUUCAAAUGAUGCGGAGAUAAACUGAAUCAGACAUAGUUUAUCUAAUAACUUUAUAAACAUAUCAGUACAUGAUAAAACAAAAACUAAAGAACCCCAAAUCAUUCCCAUAAUAAUUUGAUUAGUUUGGUUAUUUCCUUAACUAAAAUUCAUUUAGUUGUAGUUGAUAAAUCAUCCCUUAUGCUCAGCAUAAUACAUAAGGGGUAAAAGUAUUUAUAAGUUUGCCAGAUAUUAUUUGAAAUACAUCAAAGUUAUGUUUUGAAAACAUUUAUAGUUUGCUUGUAUUCCCCUGAAAACAUUGAAAAACAGUGACUGUUCUCUUGAUUUUGGGUUUGAGUACCACCGGAACCAUCCGAGUUCCUUUGAGACAUAACAGCUACCACCGCGGCAUUGACAACUGCCUGGAACAUCACAUGGUCAAAUUCAGGAGGAGGUGGUGGCGGAGGGUUGUUGGUGCUCUUCGAGCUGGGUCUCUUUCUUGGAGGCAUCGUGAUCUAAAAAGAUCAGGAAAGAGAGGAUCAUAAGUCCUCUGAAUUGAAUCAAGAGAUAUGGAACAAAUGAUAUCUCAUCAAGACGGAUAUAGCAUCAUAAUAAGCGAUAAAGCAGGGAAGAGUUAUCAAGACAGAUAAUUUUAUCGCUAAAGGAAUGAUCAAGGAACAACGCGUAUACGAGGAUUUUCUACAAAGGAUUGACUCGAGAAAUACUCCCAUAGUAUUUCAUGAUUCACUGCAACGACGACUCGUUGUUUGGGAUAUUGGGUAAGUUUUAGGUAUGCCGCAUACCACAGUCACUCCCAAGCACAUGUUGGCCGUGUCUCGAAUGAAUAUAGUUGGCCAGGCUAUAUUGACCCUAGACACGACUACAUAACUGCCCAGGUUUAACCGCAGCGUACAACACCCAUUUACUUAUGUUUUGUUCUACUUGUAGUUACGGAUCUCGACGGCUCGGUAUACUUGUAUACUUUUGAAAAUACUUAUAUUUUGAAGGAUACUUUUAGUUCAGAGCACUUAGGCCCCUUAAUGUUUAUAGUUUUAUACCAUGUAAGGUUUGGUAUACUCCGUUCACUAUAAACAAGGGCUCUGAUACCAAUCUGUCACACCCCGAAAACCAAAGGCGGAAACGUUUCCGGGGUUGACUCCACGUUGAGUAUCAAAUCCAAUGCACAUAGUAAUCAAAGUAAACAACCAUUACAUUACAUAUAUUUGAAAGUUUACAUUUGUUUCAAAAGUAAAUUGUACAAGUGUUAUACAUAUAUCAUAUGAACAAAAGUAGAGACGAGUCUUCUGAGCACUCCGUCUUCACCAAAAGAUAUCGUCGGGUACCUGUCUAACGUGGACCUGAGAAUACAAGCGGUUUGAAAAUCAGCAUAAAGCUGGUGAGUUCAUAAGAUGUUUGUUUUCUGAAAAAUGUACCGGUUUCCUUUAGUUUUCCGAAAAGGUUUGUUAUCCAAGAAAAUCCCAUAUUUUCUUAUGUAAAACAGUUUAGUUAUCUUUCAUUACAGUUCAAUUACGCGUUAUAUGUUACCCCAGGAAAAUCCCAUAUUUUCCUAAAUACAAGACCGAUUUAAUAUCACAUAGUAUAGUUUAAUACACAAAACUAUAUAUUGAGAAUCUUGGGAUUACUAUCCCGAAUUAGAUAUAAAAUACUUUAAUAUACCUGAACUGUAGAUGGAAAAUAGUUUGAAAACCUUCAGACUAACAUCCCGUACUACAUAUAGAUUUAAUACCAUGGGACUAUCAUCCCGGACUAGAUACAAGAUAGUUUGAUAUACUUGAAAAUAUAGACUGAAAACCAUGGGACUACCAUCCCGGACUAGAUACAAGAUAGUUUGUUAAAACCAUGGGAUUACUAUCCCGAACUAGAUAUAGAUUCUAACCAUAGGAAUAACAUCCUGCAAUAGAUAUGAACCCUAUAGACCAAAAACCAUGGGAUUACCAUCCCGUACUAGAUAUAAGAUCUAAAGAUAGAAGAUUGAUAUAAAAUCAAAUCCAAAACCAAAGCCGUGAAUAAACUUAUAUUAAUACGUAUUGUGAGUCGGGUAACCAUGCUGAUACGACAACGAGACCUCCUUGACGCUUGUCAGACGUCGGACGAUAUCCAGAAUUUGUCACCCCAGGCGUGCCCGCCUAACUGUAGCUAGCAGUUAAGGUGUGGGAUUGUCAGUCCCGAAUAGAUCUAUUCACAAAUUCCUCGCUCUCCCUCCAGGAGACUCUGGUUACACUUCCGGGGAGGAUUUACUGAUCAUCCAUAAAGGGUAGUGACGAACUCACAAGUUAGUACUAAACUAUUCACAGGGUUCUCAUAUGAUAUCAUACAUAUAUAAAAGAUUAUGCAACAUAAUACAAUGAAUACAGAUACAUACAAUGAAACUAUCUGGCAAUACAUUCAAAUGAUGCGGAGAUAAACUGAAUCAGACAUAGUUUAUCUAAUAACUUUAUACACAUAUCAGUACAUGAUAAAACAAAAACUAAAGAACCCCAAAUUAUUCCCAUAAUAAUUUGAUUAGUUUGGUUAUUUCCUUAACUAAAAUUCAUUUAGUUGUAGUUGAUAAAUCAUCCCUUAUGCUCAGCAUAAUACAUAAGGGGUAAAAGUAUUUAUAAGUUUGCCAGAUAUUAUUUGAAAUACAUCAAAGUUAUGUUUUGAAAACAUAUACAGUUUGCUUGUAUUCCCCUCCCCCCUGAAAACAUUGAAAAACAGUGAAAAAGGGUAGGGGUAUGAACUCACCGGACGAGAAACGUGACGAUUUCGGAUGCUAAACGUGGGUUCGGGGCUUGCAAACGCAAGAGGUUCCUAAGUAUAAUGCAAAGAUACACACUUGUAUCUAAUUAGGACUUAGAUUAUUUAAUCGUUAGGGACAAACACUUUUAGUCGCGGAAACACCCCAUUGCAAGUGUUUGGAGGGACCCGGGUGGCGUUUAAGGACACAUAUAGCUAGGAUAUUGAAUUGGGACUUCAAGAGUAAACUCCUUAGGGAGUUUACGGCCUUAGAUACCACACCCACAUGAGUUCACAGCCGUGAACUCAUAAGUGGUGUUUUUGGAUGCUAAAUGGCUUCAUAAAUCAUGGAUAAUUUAACUAGGAUUGCAUCUAAGGCGUAGGGAUGAAUUUAAACUCACUUAGGGACCAUUUAUUGGAGUUUACGGCUGUAAACAUGGAGUUUACGGCCGUAAACUCUCCCAUACACAAGAUCCUUAAUGUUUUGGUCCUUUAAUCAAUCACAUGUGAUUCAAAUGAUUUUUCCAAGCCUUGAAUGGAUUUUUAAGGGACUUUUGACAUAGAUUUAGGAGUUUACGGCCCAUGAACCCCCUCAUGGCCGUGAACUCCUUGGAAGGGUGUUAUAAUAUGUUUUAAGGUCCAAUACUUGUUUGUAAACAUUUCUAGAAUUUAUCCCAAGGCUUGUUAUCUCUUCAAGGCAUCAAAUGACAUCAAUUUAGGAGUUUACGGCCCAUGAGUAUAUGCUAUGGCCGUAAACUCUUAUAUGUCAUGUUUUGUUAUGUUUAAGACCCCCAAACUAUUUUUAGAUGGUUCUAGGAUUUACCACAAGGCUAUUGGUUAAGUUUCAAGGCAUUCUAACAUGUCUAAAGGUGUUUUCUCCCCAUGUUUGAGGGGUUUACGGCCCAAGCACAUGCCUUGGCCGUAAAUUCUCAUUUGUUCCUCAAAAAUUAUGUUUAAAGUGUUCUAAGGCUAAAACCAAUAUUCUAGAAGUCAUAUCUAUGUCUUGUUGGGUUAGAGGAAGGGUUUUAGGGCUUAAAAACCCUCUAAUUAUGUGUUUACGGCCUAAGCUCCUUCCAGGGCCGUAAACUCAUAUAAAAGGCCUUAAUUCAUGUUUUAAUCCCGAAUUUGAAGGUUAAAUAUGAUAUACAAUGAGUUAAGGAAGGUACCUUAGGGAUUUGAAGCCUUAAAUUUGAGAUUUGGACCCUUAAACUUGGAUUUAGGAGAGAGGUUAGAGAGAGAGAAGAGAGAGGAAGCAAAAGCUUCAAACGAAAAGUGUAACACGUUUAUAUAGGUCGCAAAACUUGGACACGGAGCAAUUCUACCCGAUACCGGCAUUAAACGGGGCUUUUGGUCGCACCCGAUUAAGUUUCCGUUACUAGGCGGGAACGUUUCUAAAAUUUUUGAAAUAACUAUUUUGGGCUAAUUUCAUGAGUUCCUAAGGGGUUUGGACACUCAGUAUCAUCAAAUAAACAUAUAAGUUUAAUUAAUUUAACCCAAAAACGAAAUUGGAACGAAUUGAUAUUCGGCGAGUUUUACGGGUAGAACGGGGUUUUCGGCAAUGAACAACUUCGGGUUGUUACAUUAUCCCCCCGUUAGAGGGAAUUUUGUCCCGAAAUUCAAAGAGUAAGAUAUAGAUCAUGAAUUGGAAUGUGACACGAAUGGAUUUGUGGCCUCGGAUCUUCACGUUCUCAAGUGGAAUCGGGUCUCCGCUUGGCGUUCCAGUGAACUCUCAAUAUCGGGACGCGACUUUUGUUUCGCACAUUGAAUCUCUCUCAAUCUAUGAUCUCAAUCGGUUCUCUCAUGGAAGUUUCAACCCUGGACGACUUCGGUUUCCUCAAAGGAAAUCACUAGGGUUUCGUCGGGUAGGUACUUCUAAGGAUCCGAGACGUAAAGUACCGGAUGGAUGUUACCAAGUUCUGAAGGUAGCCGAAGUUGGAAGGUUACGAAAUCGAUUCUAUGAGGAUCACGAAGGGUCUAAUGUAUCACGAGGGAAGUAUUUCACACUUCUCAAAGCAUAUCAUGCUUUUCUGGGAUAUAGCCAUCAACAGAACACACGCUCCAACAUGAAAGCACAUCUUCAAUGAGCCGGGUAGCUAAGGGUUUGAUGGCUUUAGAAGAAGUUUAUGGGUAAGACUGUGAUAUUAGUUGAUGGGACCCAAUAAUCGACAGGUUUCUACGGGUAUUUUCGGUGCCGACUAAUUUCCUAUCUCCUUAGACGUUGGAAAAGUACACGGUUACGACUAUUUUGCUUGGCUACAUGAUCGAGGGAAAGAGAUUUGACCGAAAGGAUACCACUACUAAUCCGUAGUGAUCAUAUCAGUUCUUGGUCACCGUUUUGAACACGUCAUUCUCACUGAGGUUCGGUCACAAGGUAGAUCUAGAGAUUAGGCCGAUGCGGAACUAAGCUAAACGUUCGAAAGGAAUUCUCGAGAAUUCUUCGGGAAAGACAUUUAGGGGAAAGAGCUGCUGACUUCUCGUUUCCCGAUGGUCUCAGAAACGAGGGAUACACGGCAAUUCCUAUCGGGAAAACUUUUGAGCUUAAUGAAAUGAUACGAAGGUUUGAUGCCGAAGAUCACGAGAGUCGGGUCGGGCAAAAGAUCUAGACGAGCGACCCUUUCGAAACCAAAGAUAACAACAUGAAUGAGACUCAGUCAUUUCAUGUCAAACAUAGCAUCAAAGUAUUUCGUGAAAAGUUUCCCCCAUUUAAAUCGAAUGGAACAGAAUAAUCCUCCGCACUGAGGAUUCAAUCUAUAGGUACGAAGUUAGUGUUCUCUAUCUCACUGGUUAUCCGUCUUGAUUGUACUAAAUUUCGAUUACAAACAAAGGAUUAAGUUUAGAAAUUGUUUGAAUGGAUAGAUAACAAGUUUCCCUUCUGGUACUAGAAUCGAAAAGAGUUGCAGGUAUAAGAAUUGUCAAAGAGGAGUAUACCUGCGGCGACAGUGGGAUCAGUGGUUGUAGCUGCUUUGGGGCAAUUUCUUUUGAAGUGCCCUACUUCGCCACAAUUGUAGCAGGUUGGACUGAUUCCCGCUCCGGAUGGUUGGUUUGUUGAUUUGGCUGGUUUUCUGCAGGUUCGAGCAAGAUGGCCCUUCUUGCCACAGUUGUCACAAAUCCUUUCGCGACAUGGACCAGGAAUGCGGUGGUGGUAGCUGCACUUACCACACCAAGGAAGGGUACCAGUGUAUCCACUGGUAGGAGUUUGGGUCGGGGACCCGACAGCUGAAACAGCAACAGGGGCAGUAGCAGCAUGGACUGCUAAUGUUUGUUGUUUCUUAGAAGACCCUUGCGUACUCUGGGCCUUCUUCUUGUUCCAAAAUUUCUUUUUGCUUCCACCUCCACUUGUGACCGGUUCGGGAGUGGUAGUCUCCUCAUCAGAUUUGUCUUCGUGAUCGAUCAGGGUUUUCGCAAGACAUUUAGCGCUGUCAUAGGUGUCUGGCUUCGCAGCCAAGACAUUCCCUUUGGUUGGCUAGGUCAACCCCCACAUGAACUUCUCGAUCUUUUUACUCUCCGGGGUAACCAUUCCCGGACAGAAGUAACGCCAGAUCAUCGAAUCUUGAAGUAUAAGAGGCUAUGUCGGAACCCUUCAUCUUAAGGUUCCAUAGUUCGUGUUCUAGCUUCUGAAUUUCGCCCCGAGGGCAAUACUCUGCGAGUAGAAGCUCCUUCAUAGCUUCCCAACCCAUAGCAUUUGCUACAGGUAGAGUUAAGGAUUUGACUCCGCCGUUCCACCAAGUCAGGGCUUUGUCAAGGAAGGUGCAGGCGGCGAACUUUACUUUGUCAGAAUCCGAACAGGCACAUAUCUCGGCCGUAAACUCUCCCACACACAAGAUCCUUAAUGUUUUGGUCCUUUAAUCAAUCACAUGUGAUUCAAAUGAUUUUUCCAAGCCUUGAAUGGAUUUUUAAGGGACUUUUGACAUAGAUUUAGGAGUUUACGGCCCAUGAACCCCCUCAUGGUCGUGAACUCCUUGGAAGGGUGUUAUAAUAUGUUUUAAGGUCCAAUACUUGUUUGUAAACAUUUCUAGAAUUUAUCCCAAGGCUUGUUAUCUCUUCAAGGCAUCAAAUGACAUCAAUUUAGGAGUUUACGGCCCAUGAGUAUAUGCUAUGGCCGUAAACUCUUAUAUGUCAUGUUUUGUUAUGUUUAAGACCCCCAAACUAUUUUUAGAUGGUUCUAGGAUUUACCACAAGGCUAUUGGUUAAGUUUCAAGGCAUUCUAACAUGUCUAAAGGUGUUUUCUCCCCAUGUUUGAGGGGUUUACGGCCCAAGCACAUGCCUUGGCCGUAAAUUCUCAUUUGUUCCUCAAAAAUUAUGUUUAAAGUGUUCUAAGGCUAAAACCAAUAUUCUAGAAGUCAUAUCUAUGUCUUGUUGGGGUCUAGGAAGGGUUUUAGGGCUUAAAAACCCUCUAAUUAUGUGUUUACGGCCUAAGCUCCUUCCAGGGCCGUAAACUCAUAUAAAAGGCCUUAUAUCAUGUUUUAAUCCCGAAUUUGAAGGUUAAAUAUGAUAUACAAUGAGUUAAGGAAGGUACCUUAGGGAUUUGAAGCCUUAAAUUUGAGAUUUGGACCCUUAAACUUGGAUUUAGGAGAGAGGUUAGAGAGAGAGUAGAGAGAGGAAGCAAAAGCUUCAAACGAAAAGUUUAACACGUUUAUAUAGGUCGCAAAACUUGGAUACGUAGGAAUUCUAUCCGAUACCGGCAUUAAACAGGGCUUUUGGUCGCACCCGAUUAAGUUUCCGUUACUAGGCGGGAACGUUUCUAAAUUUUUUGAAAUAACUAUUCUAGGCUAAUUUCAUGAGUUCCUAAGAGGUUUGGACACUCAUUAUCAUCAAAUAAACAUAUAAGUUUAAUUAAUUUAACCCAAAAACGAAAUUGGAACGAGUUGAUAUUCGGCGAGUUUUACGAGUAGAACGGGAUUUUCGGCAAUGAACAACUUCGGGUUGUUACAAAAUGUGACACCACUUUUUAAGGACCUUCUGCUCUUAACAUCAACUUUUGUUCUUCCUUUUGUUAGGAAAACGUUCUUUCCUCAUAUGCACCUCAACCAAGUCACCAUCUUGAAAGAGACGUGGUUUCCUAUGCAUGUUGGAAAUCUGUUUGUACUCCUCAUUCACGUCUUCAAUCUUCACACGAACUUGUUGGUGUAGUUUCAUCAUGGCCUUCAACUUGUCAUUAGCAUCCUUGUGAUCCAAUUCAUCCUUUGGAAACAGAAUCAAAUCCAAAGGCAUGUAAGGAUUCACAAAAAGUUUGAUGUCCAAUUGUUUUUGAGUUUUGCUAACCUAACCCCUCAACAACAUACACAAAGUUCUAUUAGUCACCUUCGUUUGCCUAUCAGUUUGUGGAUAAUGCGAUGUACUAAAAAGUAACUUAGAACCAACUUUCCUCCACAAAGUAUUCCAAAAGCAACUCAAAAAGAUGGAAUCCCUAUCAUAAACAAUAGUUUUAGGAAUAAUAUGCAAGCAAACCACCUCUUUAAAGUACAAAUCAGACACAUUAGAUGCAUCAUUGGUUUUAUGACAUGGCACAAAGUGAGCCUUUUUUGAGUUCUAGGCAAAGCCAUACUGAAUUCCAUUGACACAUCUUCCCAAGGACGAAUAGGAACCGACAAAGGAGUGUAAACACCAUGCUUGAAAGUAUUUUCGUCAUCCGACAUGUAACACGUGUGCCCACUAUGUUGGUUACAUCACCAACAUCUUUAGGCCAGAAGAAAUGUUCUUAAAGCACCACCAAAAUUUUGGUAAUGGAAAAUUGAACUGCCAAACCACCACCAUGAGCUUCACGAAUCAACCACUCCCGUAUUGUAUGUUUAGGGACACAAAGGUGAUCACCUUUUGAUGCCUUUAUGGGCUUGAUUAAGUGAGUAGGGUUGUGUUUAGGUAAAUUAAGCUAGAAUAACAACCACAAAUGAUAGGUGUAUGGGAAGAAAUGGAUAGAUUAGUAACAAAUCAAGACCUACUAAGUUGUAUACCCAUGAAAACAAUCCAAGACAUGCGUAUCAAGUCAAGAACAUGUCUCGACUAUGACAAGUAGUGAACUAUAAUUAUAAUUCAAAGUGAAAAAAGGUUCUUUUGAUUAAAAUUUCAUCUACCUCUUUUUUCCAUCCAUACUUGGCUUAUAUGAAGCCUUUAUUACAAAGUUGGUGGUUACAAGCCACCCAACCAACUACUCAGUAAAACGAAUAAUGAAAAUUAAAGAAAACUCAUGAAACCAUACAAAAAAACGUUUGACACACUAAUGAAUGAAAAAAGCGUCCAUGCUCCAUUUAGGAGCCAAAAGAAGCAUUAAAGUGUAACACAAAUCCACCAAAGAGUAUCAAAAAUGGCUAGAAGGCUUGAUGAAGCAAAAAAGUAACCGUUUUGAGCACUUAUGAAGCUUUUAAAAUGUUGCCCUAGCCUUCAUGCG
rnacentral:lncRNA from 1 species